UUUUUUUUUUUUUUUUUUUUAAAUGUAGGAAAAAACCAUCAAAUUGCCACUGAAAAUUGAAAACUAAAAGAAUCAUCAUCUUAUAAGCACUUCAAAUAAAAAAAAAAGAAAGCUAGUUAGUUAUUUUCCGUCUGACAGAUAAAUCCCAACUAAUAAAUAAGUUUGUGGUUCUUUUCCUCAGUACAGGACUUAGACGGUUCCUAAUUCUUCAAUGCAAAAUUUUUUUUUUUAAAAAAAGGUAUAUUUGUUUUGCGCAUGAAGCUUCCAAAAUCUUUAAAAUUUUCAUGUUCCAGGCUGCAAUUGUUCUUAGUUGUGAAUAGCGUACACUUUUGCUAAUAUGAUUGAGAGUGUGAAUUUUUAGGCGGGCAAUAGAUAGAGAAAAAAAAUGAAAAUUUAAAAUAAUGCAAGUUGGGUGCAAUUACAGAAUAAGAUUAAAGUUUUUAUAAUUUACCCUAACAUGUUUUCUAAUUUGUCAAAGUUAACGGCGGCCACCACCCAAAAAUUUUCUACGUCAAUAUUAUUGUUAAUUCUUGUUUUGCACAUUCACAUUUUCAAUUUUGCUAUGGAAUAUCAGAAGCUUUUCUAGGCUAAAGGUCUCAACUCAACUAAGUGUGGAUUGUUUUGCACAUCCACAUUUCUUGGUUAUUUCUCAGAUCCAAGAAGUGCCCUAAAUGAGCACGUUCACAACAUAUACGUGCAUGCAUGACGUCCUUUGCUUCAUUUCAUGGCGGCACCGCAAUGAACCGCCGACUCAUUCAUGGCGGCUGUCCGCUGAGUCCCAGUACUCAUAGAAAAUCCUCUUUUGAUGAAGUCACUUGGAAUGUUUAAGUAGCUUGCUUUCACCAAUUGUCAUGCACUAGUAGGUGAAAAUAUCUCAUUCAGGCAACUCCUUGAUUGAGUCGUCAACGUAGUGUGAAUGGAAAUUGGAUGGAAAGCCUAGAUUAGGUCAAAAAUACUUUCUUUGGAGGGCCAAUCAAUCGACUGAGAAAUUCUCAAGUUUUUUUGCCAUAAGAGAAAUUUUCAAUUCGAAGGGUAUGAUUUAAAGUUUUUGUGCGAUGUUCCAAUUUUGCGAGUUUAUCUGCGGCACCCAUUUGUACGAGUUCCCUCUACCAUAAAAAUGAAAAAGCUGUCAUGGUCCUAUGAAAUUUUAAAAAGGGUUAAUUCCACUUUGUCCCCCCAAACUUUGGACGAUUAUCCACUUAAGUCCCUAAACUUCAAAAUGGGACACUUAACUCCCUAAACUUAUAAAUACCUCCCACUUAAGUCCCUGAACUUAUAAAAUGGGACACUUAAAUCCCUAAUCCCUUAUAAAAUGGGACACUUCGACCACCAACGUCAUUCAAGAUUUGUUAACAAUUUUCCUUAAGUGGGAGAUAUUUAUAAGUUUAGGGACUUAAGUGUCCCAUUUUGAAGUUUAGGGACUUAAGUGGGUAAUCAUCCAAAGUUUGGGGGGACAAAGUGGAAUUAACCCUUUUAAAAAUAUUCGCAGAUAUCAAUUUCAUUUAAAAAUAUUCAUUCCCUGUUUUUUAAGAAAUUUUUCUUCUUUUUUUUGGGAAUUAAGACUAAAGAGUGAAUUCUUUUUUUCUUUUUUUUUUGGUUCCUGUAUGCCCUUUUUCUUGGUCAGGAGUAGACAGCCAUUUUCUUAACCAAGACCAAAGAAGUAAGAGGCAGACUAAAGGGCUUGAAGGCAGUUGGCAGUUGGCAAUGGGCAUAAAAUGGGAGAGGAAGCCAAUUAGCAAUUUCGCUCCCAUCUCAUCCCCACCCAAAAAGCCACGGCCCCACUGGCGUACGUCACCACCAAAAAAAUCCAUGCUGCCCCGCCCAAUUGUUGUAGUAUAAAUACCACAACCUGUUCCCAGCAAUUUCCCUACCAGUGUUCUCUACCGGUAAAUUCUGCCAGUGUUCUGCUUUUAAUAAUAUUACUGCCAGUUUUAUACGUAAUUGCCCAUAUAAUAUACAUACUGCGAGCACUGAGAAAUGAGGGGACAAACCGGUACUGUUGUUUUGGCCUUCCUCUUGGUAUGGGCCUUCAACCUCAAGCUCGCCGAGCUGCCGAUUUUCAUACGGCAGAGCGGGGCGGACGACUCAGUAGCCCCACAGCCACAACCCAUGCCCAUCGCCAUCGACGACGACCUCGAGCGAGGUACAAGUGGAAGACUACCUGAAUCAGAUGAUCAUGGUUCCAAAAUUCCCGACAUGCCAACCAAGCUGCUGUGGGGGCAGAUGGUCAUCGGAGUUUGUUUUCCGGCUGUUAAUACCGCCUUGCUAGCUCUCCAUACUCCGGCGCCUCUCCCCAGGACCUUUCCCUGGUUCUGCCUGACAUUCGAGCUGGCCCUUUUCGCUUCCUUGGUGUCUAUCUACAUUCGACGCCGUUCCAAGAAGGCAUCUCUGAUCCUGGAGCAUCUUGCUGUACUCUUCGGCGCUACGGCUUUCCUCCUAGCCAUUUCAAUGCCUCUUCACAACCCAAUGAUUGAGAUAUGCAUCGCCGUCGGCUGCAUUUCCUUCUUCAUAAUCAUCAUUGCCAAUCGUUCUCUGCGUGACUGGUACACCUCUGUUUUUUUUUUUGGAUUUUGCAGUUAUUUGGUAUUGUUAUGUUUUUUGUUUUUCUUAAUGCAUGGAGUAUUUGAUACAUUUGAACCAGGAUUUAACCGGGAGAAUGGUGCUUUUGCUGGAGAAAUUCAAACAUCUUCUGCCACGGUUUCAUGACUUGAUGAUGAGACAUGUCCUUUUUUAGUUAAAAUAACAUCUCUCUUUGUAUGGUCUUUUCUUGAAGUUGUUUCAGGAGACAUGUAUGUGUAAUGGUUAGUACUGUACUUUAAGUUUCUUAAUUUUUGGGAAUGUUGAAAUGAUGCUUUGAUUGGAUUUCUUUUAUGUGUGACUGGAUCAUGUGGGUUCGAUUCCAAUCAUUUGACCUAUGGAACGAAGUGUCUAUUAUAUUAUACUGUACUAUAAUUGGAGAUUGUAAUUUCGAUUGCAAUGAUUGGUCCCGUGGCAAAAAGUGAUCAUUAAAAAGGUUGAUGGUCAAAAGACAAGGAAGCGCCUAUCGCCUUCCCUAUUAUUAUUGUAUUUGAAGAUGUACUGUGAGUUGAUCAGGCGAGAAUUCUGAUUUUCCAGUAAAGUAUCCGCGGAAGGGUGUCUGGUUAGGGGGCUGGGUUUUUGGCCUUUUCUUUCUCAGUCUUCCUUAAACUUUUAACACAAGUAGGGGGGUUUUAACACAUGUUAUUUUUUAUUCAAUUAAUAGUUAUUGGAUCAUAAAGAAAUAAAAAGGAAUUAAAACAUGAUAUUUGUGAAGGAGAAAUAGCAAUAUAAUAAAAAGUGGAAUAGAAAUUGGCACAGGGUGUGGGACAGAAGAUCCGUUGCGACACCCUGGUUAUUUCAUAGAUCCCACCGUCAAUAUACUGUGCUGAUCGAGUCCCCAUGGGUGAUACGAUGAAGAUGCAGUGGGCAUUUCUAGUAGUUUCUUGACAACGGAUCUUCUGUCCCACAUCUUGUGUCAUUUUCUAUCUCACUUUUUAUUAUAUUGUUAUUUUCUUACAUAAACAUCAUGUUUUAUUUUUUUUAUUUUCUUAAGAUCCAAUAACUAUUAAUUGAGUAAUAAACAAAAUUUAACAAAUUCAAAAAAUCAAAAUGCAUAAAAAAUGAGAUUUUUAUGAAUUUUCUGCUAUAUUUUUAAUUUUCUAUUAUAUAUUACUUUUUUGAAUCUGUUGUAUUUAUUUUUUAAUUCAAUUAAUAGUUAUUGAAUUUUAAGGAAAUAAAAAAACACUAAAAUAUGAUAUUUAUAUAGAAGAAAUAGCAAUACAAUAAAAAGUGGACAGAGAGUGAGACAGGAGAUCCGUUGCGGAGUUUCUUUCGCCACCAUUAGCACUUCCCUGCAAGCUGCCCAAAUUCCUGGCCCUCUCCCUGCAAUCUUCCAUUGGCACUGGAGCUGGCCUUUUUGGUUGCUUUAGUGUCUAGUUACCUACAACGCCCUUACCCUAAUGCUUCUCGUACGUCCUCUUUGGCGGUGUUGCGUUUAUACUGGCCAUCUCGAUGCCUCUCCUCCAUCCCCCAUUGAAGCCGUUAUCCAACAAGCUCUUUCUCAUUGCUUUUCUCAUACUAAUCCUUGCCAGUCGUAUUAGUUUCUGGUAAUUUCUUUCUUUCUGGAAUUUGUCAGUGAAGUCGUUUUAUUUUUGGUUAUGUUUGGUUAAUGUAUGCAAACCCUUGACACAGGGCUUAACAUGGUGCCGAUCGUUUUCCAGCUUUUGUGCGACGGAGUUAGGAUUAUGCUUUUCACUUUGCCUUUUAGCUUUCAAAAUUCUCAGUUUUUCUGGGAAGCGUUGUUGUAUAUGAUUCAACUGAGAUGAAAUGAUGUUUUAUGAUCACCGUGUUUAUACUUUUCCUUUAAUUGUGGAGUUCGUGCUAUGAUUUGACUUCUAUAUGCAUAUGUGAUUCUUUCUUUCUGUUCUGAAGCCUAUUAUUGGAUUUAUGGCACUAAUUUUUUUUUUUAAACAGGGAUAUAGUAAACUAUAAACUUAAACACCAAAAGCUGCUUGAUCAUGUUGAUAUUCCUAAAUGCUAUUAUUCCACAUAAUUUAUACUUUGCCAUUCCCAAUUUAAUAGAGGUAUGUGUAUUUCUCUAAUUAGCACAAUCGCGGUGGUUUAAAUCUAAGCAUUAGAUCCGAAAGUAGAGCUUCGAAUAAAAGUGAUUAAGCAUAGCAUGGCAUAGAUAUAGCUUAAUUAUUCCUUUUUAAGCAUUCAAGAAUUAUACUAUAAAAAUAAAAGAGAGCACAGAAAGAGCCAUACACAUGGAAAAUUGUUUGUCCGCAAUACAGUUUCUCUUUUUUUAGGGCUGUACGAACUAUACUUGAUUUGGCUGCAAAGUAAGGAAUUAGGAGAUAAUUAUCAAUUAAAACCAAGGCAAUCAAUUGCUAAGUGGAAAUCAUUUGUACGAAUUAUUGCCAAUUUUUAGUGUAUGAAAUAAAGAUUGCAGUUUUUGUGGACAAGUUUUUGUAGAGUAUUCUCUUCACACAAUUUUUAAUUACUCUUUUACCUCAUGUACAUUUCAUCUCAAAUACGUGUCACAAUAUAUUUUUCCCCCUAUAGAAACUACUGAAAACUUAUCAAAAACCCAAUGCAAAUUGUCUCUUAAUGUUUUAAAUAUGUUACUCAAAUUAAUUUUGGUAUCUAUGAAUGCUUCCAUACUGAAGAGGCCAUUUGAAUCAGUUUUGUGAUUCCGCUUGUUUAUGGGCUUCAACUAUUGAUUCUUUGUUUCUGUUUGAGCUGCCUAACUUGACUGAGGAUUACUAUUAUGUGAUUUUUAACUCAGUGUCUUGUAGAUUAUAUUAGUUGAAUAUUCUGUUAUGGCAUACUAUUGGGAAAUAGAUCAUACCAUUAAAGAGCUGUUUGAUCAUGAUUGGUAUGGUCAAUUUUAUUUACACUCGUAAAGUUUGAGACGAAAGUUUUGUCAAUUAACGUUUCUGACUUCAGUUUGUCAUAAAUAAAUAAAUUACUACAUGUACUUGCCUCGUUAUCUCUCCUCCCCUCCUCUUUUGCUUUAUACUUUUUUUUUCUUUCAUUCCUUCCCAAGUUCUUUGCACUUCACAGCUUCUACAGCUCACAAAGUCGGUGCUAUUUCAUUUAGUGAUCAUUUUGUAACUGCAUGACUUUUCUGAAUUUGGUGAGCAGAUUUGAUAGCAAACUUGGUUCCAGACGAGGCUAUCCCAAUAUCCCAUCACUAUCAUGCCUUUGGUGCUACCUUCGGUGCUGUUUGGAUGGAAGAGCAUUCUCAUAUUUCUGUUAAAGGAAAAUGGAUGGUGUUUUCCUCAAGGAGAAAUGGAAAGAAUGGAUAAGUGACCACUUACCAAAACAAAAAGUUUCCAAACUGAACGAUGUUGUCUUCCCCCCAAAAAAAAAAGGUAGAAAAAAAGAAGAAGAAAAGAUUAUAACUCUACAAUGUGGGUUCAACAAAGUUUUUAUUUUAUGGUGGAAUAAAGUAUUCACAUAUGAUCAGUCAUACUUGUAUUGAUUAUAACUCUACAAAUGUAUUUUUUCGAACAAGGUUAUAGUAUAAAAAAAAAACAAGGUUUCCGCAUAGGUGUGCAUAACAAUGUUAAGAUUUUCUUCUACGCAAAAAAAUAACAAUACACAUUACCUUCCAUUACCUUCCAUUGCCUUCAUUUCAUUUUGGUCACGCUCGGCAACAACCAAACGGGGCCUAAGAGUGGAGGCUACAAGAAAAUUCUUUCAACACAAAUUGUUAUUAAAGAUAUCCAUCAUCAUGAUCAGUGACAAUACCCUAAAAUUUGAUCCCCUCGUAAAGUCUCUUUUUCAAUUUUGUUGGCUCCUAAAUUUGUAAAGAUUAGUCUCUUUUAAAAUGGUAGUGUGGUGCUUCCUAAAUAUAUUAUCUCAAUAAGACUAUGUAAUGACGGAACAUUCUUGUCCAAUGACUGUAGAUUUCAUUUGUGGAACUUGCAACCUGGCAAGGACAUGAAUGCAAUAGAACACAAUUAUGUGCAUUUUUUUUUUUCUAAAUCCUUUUGCGUACAACAAAAAUUUACCUGGGCUAUCUCUGUAAGUAUUGUUUAUGGGGUGGCGCUAAUUGCCAACAGAAUUUAAUUUAGAGUGCAUUAGAGUGUGAUCAUUGUCUAUAUUCAACAAUUUCACAUCAACAAGACUAUUAAUCUAAUUGGUCCUUUCCUUUAUUUAUUUUUUUGUUUUGUAUAAUAGUAUUCUACAGGAAAUGUAAUUAAAGGAUAUACUAACAUCAGAAACUGUUAAAGCUAAAGGAACUAGACGUAAACCACAAGAAGUAGGAAAGUUAAAGGGACCAAAUUUGUUCAUCAUGUGUCUAGAGAUAAUUUAUCAAGUGUCUGCAAAUUAUGUAUAUCAUGUGUCUAGAGACAAUUUAUCAUGCUUAAUUUCUCUGACUUCUAGUAAUCUUGAUAAAUUUUUAUUAAAAAAAGGGCAAAUUAUAUGCCUUCAAUGAAGAAUAUGAAGGCCAAUGUAGGAACAAAACACUAUAUUUUCAAUUCAUUGAUCAAAUGAUUGUAACAGCAAAAUUUACUAAUCGCUUUGCAGGUGACAGUUUGGAUUUUGAUUAGGUUCCAGGGAAACGCGCAGUCUUGAGGAUCCAAUUCGUCCCAUAUCGAAAAUUUGAAGUGAACGUGCUUGGGAUAUGUCUUUAGAUUCAUUGGACUCGGAGCAAAAUCUUGCUAUAGGUUGUUCGGCUAAUCCUUGGGCUCAAGGAUUCUCUCGUUGGGCUUGGAGCAAAAUCUUAUCCAAAGGUUCCUGGCUUGAGUCCCAGGACGACAUAUGCUCCCACUAAUGUCGCCAUCUCAAAACUUCAGACAAAGUUUCAAUGCCUCAAAUGCGGCGGUCAAAUGCAGGUUGGCAUUGAAACUUUGGUGCAAUGCUAGGAGUCGUUUUCACCCCAAAGUUCCAGCCAUGGCAUUGAAAAGUUUCAAAUCAAUAUUUUCCCCAAAGUUUCAAUAGGUGCCAUGACACUGUUCAUCAAUUGCUAGGAGUCGUUUUCACCCCAAAGUUUCAAUGCCAUGGAAAAUAUUGAAACUUUGGGGUGAAAACGAAAACCCCAAACGACUCCUAGCAUUGAUGAACAGUGUCCUGGCAUCUUUGUCAGGACACUGUUUAUCUUCAGGACACCCUGCCUAUAUAUAUGGUAUCGUUCCAGGAUUGGCAACACAUCUUCAGUUUCUCUCUCUCAACCUUUUUCAAUUCCUCACUCUCUCCAUCUUAUAGCCAAAAAUAAUACCUUGUCAAGAAAUCCUCAAUUUCUCUCUCUGUCAGCCCUUUUCAAUUCCGCACUCUCUCAACCUUAUUACCAAAAUAAUACCUGUACGUACCUGGAUUUGUCCUUCACAACUAUGGUGAUGAGCAUCUGGACAAAAUCCAUGAACGUCAUCAAUCGUGCUAAAGACAUCCGUCUCUGGUGGGCGGAUAGCCCAGAACAGUCCCAGUCGCCACCUGAAUUGCUAAGCAUCCGAGUAGACCAGACUAAUGCAACACGUUCCACUGAUGAGCCACCCGGGGGUGGGAGACCACGUCCAGCCCCUAGCAAUGCUGCUGAUGGUAACAAGAUGAGCGUGAAACAGUUAUUGUUGGUGAUGGGAGUUUGUUUGACUGCUGCUGGGGCUGCUCUGCAAGCUCUCCAAACUUCAAAACCACUUCCGAUGGCCUUUCAUUGGUUUUGCGUGGCUCUCGAGCUGUCCUUUCUCUCCGCGAUUGUGCCCAUAUACAUCCGACCCCGUAACCAGCUGGCAUCUCUUGUGAUGCACCAUGCUGCCAUUUUCUUGGUGACCACGGCAUUCAUGCUGGUCAUCUCAAUGAACUUUCCGACCCCAGUUCUGGUGAUCAACAUGGCACUCUACUUCAUUUUCAUCCUUCUCAACAUCGUUGCCAAACUUUUGAUGCCCUGAGACACAAUAAAUCCAUAUAUAUUACUAGUGGUUUGUUUGCUUGUUAAUCAGUUUCUGCUUUUAUUUUAAGCUUUUAACUAGCAGUUUAUGAGCUCAGUUGUAUUUCGUGGGGUAUUCUCGAAGGUGAGCAGUUAUGAUAGUAUGUUUUUGUCGAAUGUCUUUGAAAGAAGAAGAGAGGUCAAGGUGUUAUACAUGUGGAUAUAGCCAGUUCCCGUGAUUAUUUCUUUGAAUAUUAAGGAUAUAAUUCAGCAGGUGUUCAGACUUUUUUUUUAUAAAUGAUGUUAUGUAUUUUUUUAAUCUUUUCUUUGUUCGAAAAUGGACAUCGUGUCGUCGUGAUCAAAUAUCUGAUCACAGAGAAUUGAUCUUCUCAGUCAUGAAACCUAUCAUUGAAUUUAUUAUUAUCAUUGCAUCCAAAAAAAGAAAAGCCAAAGAUACAUAUCUAUCUAAAUAUAUAAAAGAGAGAGUUGGAGAAUGAACAGUAGCUUUUUGGUCAAGCGGUUAUGCUGUUAUUUUUGUGACUUUGAGGGGCAUUUUGGUCUUUUGGCAUUGGAUGGCAAUGGUUUUGCUGGAAAUUCGCUUUUGGCAUUGGAUGACUUUGAGGGGCGUUUUGGUCAUUAAAGUUCUUUGCUUUACCUCCUUAGCCACGGACCAGAUGGCUCAAAGCAAAUUUAUUUCCAACACCAAGCCACGUGCCUUGCCUUGCCGUGGGAUUAUUUCCAACACCAAGCCACGUACUUCCUGUGGCAUUUGGUUUGGAUUAUCUUGAAGAAAAAAUUGUAGGACAAAAUAAGUUAAUAAAACACACUAAUUCAUGGGUAAAAUAAUCUAAUCUUUAACAAUAUAAAAGGGGGAGUUGCCCUAUGAAUAGUUUUUUUUUUGUCAAGCGAUUAUCCUGCAAUUUUGGAAAUAAAAGAUGGAGUUGGCGUAUGAAUAGUGAAUUUUUUGUCAAGCGGUUAUAAGGUAAUUUUGGGCAACUUUGAGGGCAAAUUUGUUGGCUUUUGUAUUUGUUGGCUUUUUCCUUUUUUUUUGCACAAAUUAAAACAUUUAAUCAAUAUAAUCACAACAAUUAUUUUUCGGAGGGAGUUGGCUUAUGAAUAGUGAAUUUUUUGUCAAGCAUUUAUAAGGUAAUUUUGGGCAACUUUGAGGGCAAAUUUGUUGGCUUUUGUUGGCUUUUUCCUUUUUUUUUUGCACAAAUUAAAACAUUUAAUCAAUAUAAUCACAACAAUUAUUUUUCUUUCAUAUUUUUGUAAAAUGCUGCUCACUAAUAUUAGAUCAUUAAUCUACAUUAAGAGCCAUGUAUUAUUACAUUGUUUUUGAAAUUUACAGUACUUUAAUUUUUUUAAUGUAAGAAACAAUCUAAAUAAUGUUGAGUGUUUUGUAAAUACACAAUUAUUGAGGAAUAUAAUUAAUAAAUUAUUAUUGGCUUUAGUGACUUUAAAAAAUGGAUUUUAUUACAGCGACAUGAAAUAAAAUUGUUUGGAAAAAAAUGAAUGCAUAUAUUGCAAAAAAAAUGAAAUAAAAUAGUGCUCUGUAAAAUUGUUGAAUGCAGUAAUUGUUUAGCAUGUUCAGCAGUAGCUUUUGACUAAAUGAUUCCCAAAAGUUUAUCAGCAGUAAAAAAAAAAAGAAAAGAAAAGAAGUCCAACAUUAUUAUCACAAUUAACCAAAAUCGAUUAAGGUGUCAUCGACUAAAAAUGGUUUCUAAUCCUACUACUUUUUAAAACAUACAAUUAUAAAGAUAUAUUAGUCUAUAUAUCCAUAUUACUCUAUAUAAUUAUUACAAAUUUUUAAUGCCCUUGUUUUUAUUCUUAUUUUUCGUUCUUUAAAAAAGAAUAAUUAGUAUGUUAUUUACUAAUAGUCCGUGCAUCCAAUAACAAUUGCAGGAUAACUGCUUGACAAAAAAAAUUGUUCAUGGGGCAACUCUCACUUUUAUAUUGUUAGAUAAAUAUCCAUAUUUAAUAUAUAUAUAUAUAUAUAUAUAAUUAUUAUAAAAUGUUUCCUAAUGGCUCUAAAUUUAAUGUGUAUAUAUUCAUUUUUCCUAAUGGCUCUAAAUUACUCUAAAUUGAAAAGCAAUGUUGUAUGCUAUUUUUUUAUUAUUCUUUUAGUCAAACAUGCAACAUUAAUUACAUUGUUUCUUACAUUAAAAAAAUUAAAGUACUGUAAAUUUAAAAAACAAUGUAAUAAUACAUGGCUCUUAAUGUAGAUUAAUGAUCUAAUAUUAGUGAGCGACAUUAUACAAAAAUAUGAAAGAAAAAUAAUUUUUGUGAUUAUAUUGAUUAAAUGUUUUAAUUUGUGCAAAAAAAAAGGAAAUAGGUCCAUAUUUAUGGAACUUAGUGAGUAAUAGAGAUAUACGUAAAUAUAGAUGGAUAUCUUUAUGUGAGAACCCGUAUUUUGCAUUUUCCAGGUUUUAUUAUUUUUCAUGGCAUGUUUUCUGCAUUUUCGUGCUUAGGAAAAAAUUUCUAGAUAAUUUUAAGGAGCAGAUAUAAUUUUUAGAUGAUUUUUCUAGUAUCGAAUAGGUUUUGAGAAAUUAAGAGCGUAUACCGGACGUGAGACCCACUAGUGCGAAAGUUCGGAAAAAUUCGGCCAACUAGGUUAAGUUUUGGAUACUGGACUUAAAUUACCGGGUGUUAAGAGAUAAGUAGAGGAUGCUAAGUGGAUGGGUAUAAGAGAGACAAAAGUUAGGCAAGCAUUAAUGAAGGUGACAAGUGUCACCAUGGGAUUUGGUCUUAAGUAAGACCACUAUUCACCUUUUGUACAAUUGACCAAAUAAAUCACAAAAAUCACAAAAAAUUCACCAUAUUUCCCUUCAUCUUGGCCGGCCCUCUCUCUCAAGAAGAAAGAAAGAAACUCUUCAAGUUUUGCUUCCAUUUAGCUCAAAUCCAUCCAACCAACCAUUGAAACUUGAAAUUUCUCCAUAAAACCUCUUCAAUUAGUGUUAGUGAGUUGAUUUGUGGGGUUAUUUGGAAAGCUAAGAGGAUCUAUUGCUCCCUCUCUCUUGUUUCUAAGGUGAGUUGUGAAGAACCACUUUCCUUCCUCUAAUGAUGCUUAAUUUGUGAUUAGUGGUAGUAUAAGGUGCAAUAUUAUGGAUUACAUCUUGAUUUGUGGUUGAAUUAGUGAAGUAUUCUAUUUAUUGGUGAUUUUUCUGUUUUAAUAUGAACAUAAUUGUGUGGCUAUCUAUGAUGAUUGGAAAUGGUAUGUAAUGACUUUAGGAGGUGGAAAAAGUGAUUAAUUGCAACCAAUUUCUGUUUGGAAGAAAAAUUGACAAGUUAGGGUUUUUGUGAAGAACAUUCUGCCCGGUUUUGUAGCUCCUAGAUAGAGGCCAAAUUGGCCUUAGUUUAAAACAUGAAAGUUGUAGGGAAUGACAUUUUAGAGGUGCCUCCAAAAUUUCAGGUCAAUCGGAGUAGUGUAGAAUGAGAAACGUCGAAAUUACCCUUGCUGUCUUGGUUUUAUCCGAAUGUAAGAAUUCCGCCUGUAAUUGGUUGUUUUGGCUGGAAUUGCUUUGGAAUUGGUUGUUGAGGUCUUCUGAUGAAAUGUAUCCCUGUUUCUAAGCUUUCGAGUGGCUUUGGAAUUUCUGGAUUUGGACUUGUGUAGACUGAGUUAUGAUGUUUACACCAGAAUGCAUUUUGUGAAUCUGUUUUUGUAGUUUUGAUGUAGUAUCUUGCAUUUGUGACCUGGUUGCACUCAAAACUGGGUUGAGUGACCUUCUGCAAUGUUGUAGCCCUGUCUUUUAGCUUCGAAACGGUGUAUCGUACACCUUCAUCCGGUAAUCGUGGUGCCCUUGGUGCCAUUACCGCAAAAAGAGGUCAAAAACUAUUUUUUUCAGGGCCGAAGCUAAUUGCAUUUCCGAAUUUUCUGGUUUCCUCUAAUGUGUGAGUAUGCUUAUGGAACCCUAUUGGGGUCAUAUUUGGCAUUGGAUUAUGACUCGUUAUCGAGUUUCAUUGUACUUGUUUGCAUGUUUUAGGGCGUGACGGUGGUUCACGACGUUCUUGUGACGGAAGUGCAUGAAACCGCAUUUGCAAGCUUGGUGAGUGUACUACUCACUACUCACUUGUGUGUUAAUAUAUGGCUUUGAUACUUGAACUUGGUGCUUUGAAUGUUAAUUGCUUGAAGUGAAAGUGUACUUUAUCACUCUCACUUAUUGUUUAUCAUGUUAUUGGAAUGUUAUAUGAAAUGCUACAUGAAAUGAAAGUACAUGGCUUGGUGUCGUUUGGACGAGCAUCAAACGACUACAAUUGUUAUCCUUGAGCUCAACCCCAUGGGUCGUUGAUUGAAUCGAGCCGGCGAGGGCUUGGUCGUGCCAAUUAAUGUGCCUUGGGGAAGUGUUAUAUGGAAUCUUGUAGUAUGAGAGACUCUCGAUUCCGGUUUACUCGAGUAAUACCACAAUGCAAGUGUUUGGAUUUCGGGCCCGGUAGGGGAAUGUUAGGUGGAAGGAAUGGAAUUAAAGUGGAGUCUACGGUUAGUUAUUUUUUGAACAUUGACGGAGAGUCAAUGACGUCCGAUCAAGAAAUGCAAACGAGAAAAAAGGGCUCUUGAGAGCCAUCCGUAUCCUUUUAUCACCACCAUUAAUGUGUGCCUUUGUUUACUUUUGGUGAAUUGAAAUGAAAAGCUUUAUGUUUACAUGAACUUGGUUGCUUAAGUGAUAGUAUCUCAUUGGGCAAUUAGCUCACACCGUUCCUUUUGUUUUUCUUACAGGAAUAUGACUCUUUUGGACAUUAUUCUUGCUAGUUGGUUGCCGAAAUAAGUAAUGAAUGUCUCUUUUGUAUAGCUUAUGAAUCAAAACCAAACUGUACCUUUAGGCGCCGUUUCACUUUUGAUUUUGGCAAACCUUACAUGUAGUAACUUUUGUAUCACUUUUGUAUGGGCCAUUUUUGGCUUGUAAAUGCUAAAUGUUAUGUUGUAUAUAUAUUUUGAGGUUUGAUUGGGUUCUGACGGGUCGGUUACUAAUUCAUGGCCGACUCCGGAUUUCAUUUUUUUUUUUAUUUUGGGUUAUUUUACCAUUUUGACUUGUUUACGUGCGUUAUAAGUUCCGGAACGCAAUAGAUCGCUCUAAACCGCACCGUUAGUCCUGGCGAGAGUUGGGCAGGCAAUCCGCUAACCCCUUUGGUUCGCCUUAGGGGAAGGUGGGGCUGCCACACUUUAUAAUUACCUCACCCAAACCACAUAAUUUAUACAAAUCAUACCACACAAAAUAUCGACACUGCAUUGUCUCAAUUAUUGUACUUUAUUAACCAUUAUAUUACAAAAUAUCCUCCAUACUUCAUAAACUAUUAACACUAUAUUCAUCCAAUCAAUUUACCGCACUAUUAUUUUAUAAUUCAAAUCAGACUUAUAAUAAUUAUAUAACUCUCUAUAUUAUAAGAAAUAUAUAAUGGCUAAAAAUUAAGCAACUUAACACGGAAAAUAUUAGUGCUCCUGCGCAACGCGCAGGCCGUCUCAGUAGUAGUAUAAAAAGGGUCACAAAAAGGAACAAGAACAAAGGUUGGAAUAAUCAGAUAAUACAUGUCUGAGCACUACUGCUGAUGGGGGUCCCAAAAAAGGAAAGGCCAAAAAAAAAAAAAGAGAGAUGGAGAUUAAUGCUUUUGUUUGCCAUCACGAUUUUUCAAAUAUCCGUUUAUUCCCUCCUGCUUACAAGCAGACACCACAUUAAAGGUACAACUUUCAAAGGACAAGGUACAAAGGUGUCAAGCUGAGCUCGUGCUUUAUCACUUUUACCUUGAUUCUUACUCACUCUUCCAAAAUUUUUAUACAUCUUGUUAAUUAAAAUUCCACGUCAUUAAGGUAGUAUAAAUAGCGGCCUAGUUUGCGUUGGUAUUAUUCUGUUAUUAGUUGGCUUGUUUCUUUCUGCUAUUUUGUCCUUUUUUUUUUUUUCCUUGUUUGGUAAGUAGGAGUAUUUCCUUGUCCAUUUUCUUUCCUGCUGUGAGAAUGAGAAAUUCUCUGUAAUGGUACUCAGAUUUUUCUGGUUUUCGUUAGAAUCUUUUUUAAUCUGACGUGGAUCAUUUCUCGCCAAACGUUUGCACUCUUUUUUAAUUGCCAAAGUGGAAAACGUUUGCAAAUGCCUGUGCACAGUAUAAAUACCCCAAGUCACGCUCAGGCUUUUGCAGCCAUCAACUUCUUCUUCUUCACCUCGAUGGAGUUCGCUAAGGGCUUCCCGGUAUGGAAAUGGUGGGAAUCUAGAAACAGGGCCGCCCAACUCCUCACGCCACCGUUGCCAACCGUGCAAAUCCAACAACUCCCACCACAGUUGCCAACCGUACAACUCAAACUCCAACCUAGUGCAGCAUCUCAACUUGAGGAGCAGCCGUCCCUGCCUACCGUCCGGCAACCUAAUAAUAAUGGCGAUGAUCAGAACCCCAACUUCGUCGACUAUGUGAUGAAGAUGCAAUGGGCAGAUGUUGUGUGUGUUUUUGAAAGGAUUGUUAUCCAUGUAUUUUACGAAUCCGUGUAAACAGGGCAGAUGUUGUUGUUUUAGCUGUUGUUGCCUCAAGGAUGAUGUUUUUAUGACUACCACCACGUUCGUACUAUUCCAUUCUUGGAAUGCGGACAUCAUGCUAUAUUUGAAUUGAAUUUCUGGUUAUAUAUAAGUGCAUCUUUUCCUGUUCUGACAAGUGUAAAGCCUACUCCCUCCCUUUUUUUAUAACUGACGUUUAAGGUUUUGCACACUAAUUAAGAAAAGUUUUUUAAUGCUUAAAUCUGUACACUACUUUCCUUUUGUACCCUCAUUAAUUGUCCAAUUCACCCAUGUUUUUUCUCACUAUAGUACUAAAUGGUGCUGUUUUACUAGGCCAAAAGCAAUGCAUGGGAGUGUAUUAAUACCAGAGAGAUAAAAGGGUAAAAUUGUGAAAAAGUAAUUAAUGCUGUAUGGGGAUAAUAAAAUGACAGAUAAAAGUACACUAGAGCAAAUUUCUUAAACGUCAGUUAUAAAAAAAGGGAGGGAGUAUUAUUUAUUGGAUUGAUGGCACUGAAUUAUUUAUUUCACAAAAAAGAAGAAGAAGACAGAACAGAAAAUUCGAGUGUCGAUAUAUAGCGGUUUUAAUUUCUGCACCUGAUGAUUGGUUUUAUUGCGCAGUGCAUACAACAAAAGAAGAAAUGACGUGGAUAAGAAAUUAGGAAUGACUAGAAUUGUUAACCAUGAUCCAAUUUUUUUUUUUUGACAAAAAAAUAAAGCCGUGAUUGACUUUAUUCUCUUGGAGAAAUAAAGAGAUCUCUUCAAGGAAACUUGAAUUCAACAUCGAAGUUGAAAUUCCACAAAUCUUGUGCCAUAAAGACUUAAUUUUUCCUUGUAGUAUAUUACUAAACUGCAUCAUUCUAGUUAAUCAUAAGUUGGUGAUUUUUGUCCUUUAAGGAAUUACUUUUGAUAGGUCGCUCAUUCAAAUGAUUUAUCAAACAAAUUAGAGUUCCUUGAUUAAGCACCCCUAUGAAGUGAUAACUGUUUUAGAUCCUUCAGGUGACUCCAUAAACCAGAUUUAGUCACUUUUACAGUUAUAAACACUACUCAAAAUCCCAUAUAUUCUUACACAUGUUAAAAGAUUAUAAUCAUAUACCAUGGCACACCAACUUAUAUAUGCAUAAUUAAUGGUAGGGCAAGAAUGCACUGGAUGUACAAAUCUGAACCCAGGUAUAAGUUAAAUCUAGGCCUUCUAUCAUAGAGCUUCUGAUGAAGUAAGCAAGCACAGGAAAGUACCGACAUGCUAGCUUUUUUCCUUCUAAUAUCUCCUGUAAAUUAGAGCUUCAAGAUAAUAUAUAAUAGUUCAAUAGCAUAAAAGUGCCAUUAAUACCCUGUGAUAACCGAUGAUGCAGUACUGCCAUAAAGUUUGCUCAAGAGUACAAGAAAGAACGCAAAAUGGCUCCUCCUCACAGAUAAAAGAAUACUGAUGCAUUAUCUGGUAAUAUUAUGAUUACAUAUGAGUCGAUUCAUUACAAACAUACAAUGCCAAUAUUUAACUGACAUCAACGUAAACUGUAGUGUCUUCCACCACAUAUUAUGUUGUAUUAAAUAGAGAGCAGGCAAGCCUAUAAAAUAGCUGACAUGAUAAGUUCCUGAAAGAAUGCUGCUCGCUGCGUUCUGUCCUCAUAAUCUUGUUCUUGAACUGCAUCUGCGAAAGAUGGUCAGUUACUGCAAGAAGAAAAUUAAUCACAAAUUCUGUCAUCCUAUCGUGAAAGUCGAGGUCAUGCACAUUAGAACUCUAGUCUUUCACGAGAGGAUAUGCAACUAUUCAGUUUUUCUUUCCUUUUCUUACUAUCUGCUGUUGAUCAUUCGGUAAUUUUCAGACGAGCAAAAUAUCAAAAUUGCACAUUCAAGUAUAUAAUUUUCAGACAAAUUGGAGAAAAGUUUGCAAUUACAUGACAUAAUUAUUGCUAAACAGAAGCUCUGCCGCCAGAGCAAACAAUAAAAAGUUACAGUAGUAUCUGAUCAACUGGCAUGCAUACAUAGGAAAAGUAAUGCAGCAGCUUCUAUCGACAAGCAUCGUUCAGUGUUCUGCAUUUCCAGUUCACUCUAUCCAAUUUACAUGCUCUGGCAACUUUCUUAUAAACUCACUGCAGUGGAUUGCCAUUAAAAUGCCUUCUAUUUUCCAAGUACCCCGGAUAUAGAUUACCAUUUUCACUUCGAUUUUUCUUUUUCUUUUUUGGGGUUGAGUGGAAGGAUUGGAGAGCAGGGGUGAGCGUGAUAAACUGCUCAAAGAGAUAGGCUAUCAUAUGAGUGGAAGUUAGACAAGAAACUUAGGCAUCAUCAACAAUGAAUCCACUUCCUAAUCUAAAGAGAAUCUUACGACAUUUAUUGUUGGUGUUAAACCUUCUGCUCCACCUUAUUCCCUCUAUUUAGGCAAAGAACAAAAAGAAUUAUAAGAAAAGGAUAGCUUAUAAACACGAAGAAUAAAGUUACUUAGGACUGGGAGUAAUAUUAAUUAGAAUUCUUCUUCCCAAUGGUGCUCUGAUUGGGCUUGCCAUGCAAAGCAACCCCCCAGACACGUGAUAACUGACAUGGACAUGCUGAAAGUCAAUAACUUAGUUAUGAAUUUUGGGCUGUAACCUAGAAACGAAAAGUUUGAUUUCUGGAUUUUCCUAAAAUGUAAAAAAUGCUUUUAUUAGACAAAAAAAAAAUGAUGCAUUCUGUUGUUCGGUUUUCUACCAAAACAAAAAAUGAUACACUACAUCUCAGUUUAAACAGCUUUUUCAGCUUCAUCUGUAUUCGUUCAACUGCAAUUUUGGGCUUCACAAUCAAGAAUAUUAGCUAGGAUUUGAGUCAUGCUGAGAACUUCUCCUAUUGAAAUAAGGCACUUCUUGUGUUCUAUGUUCACUUUGCUGUAGAACUAGAGAAUCCUCUUUUUCAUGCUCCAAUCAGAAAAUUUGCGAAGAAGCUAGUAGAACCUGAGAGCAUGUCAAAGUCUUAAUUCCUAUGAUAGUGAAGAUACUCACACCGCUUGAAAACUGUGAAGCUACCACUACAAGUUUAUCAUCUACCAUAAAUUAUAGUAUGAUACGUAUGCAUUCUAUUAAGAUGAGUAACCAAACAUUAAUAGUUACUCUCGUCAAAAGAAGUUCAGGCAGAAGACAUGCUUACGGAAUUUCAUCCUGAGCAAAAUAAAAAUGCUUUUCAUUUUCCAAUUAAAUCAACCCAGAUGAUCUUAACUUGGCGUGCUUUCAUCAAUAAAUUAAGGCGAAGGAGCAGGAGAGUGAGUUGUCCUGCCCCGAUUUGUUUUUUAGUGUAGUAAUUUUUCUUUCUAGCGUUUCUAAUUAGUGUCGCGCCGAUUUUUCUGGGUGAAAAUAAAAUGUUUACAAAAUGAUGUGAUUUUAUUUAAAAAUAGGUGAAAAAAGGCCUAGAUUGAGACUGUAAAAAAUGUGACAAUUUGGGUCCAAAGUUUAGUCUAAAAGAGUUUUUAAGAAAAAGAGAAGUCGUCACUUGAUAUUGAGUUUAGGCGUACCAAAUCAUCCCAAAAAUAUUUUUGACAAAAAUAAAAUAAAAUAAAACCCUAUUCGACAACUCCAGAUCUUUGAAAAACAAGAGGAAAUGGGGUUGGGAGUCACGAUUAAAGAAAGGGAAAGCAAAGAUUCGAUUCUAGCGUUUCUAAUUAGUACCAUUAAUUUUUGGGCAAAAUAUAUUGGCGCUCAUUAAACUAUUUCCUACGUCUAUUUUUAAUCAUCAAACUAUAUUUCGUCACAAUUCAGCCACUCAAGUAACUAAUCGAUAUAUAGGUGGUCAUCUUGUCGGAUUUUGCUCUUAAUUUACAAAAUAAACCAAAUGCUGAAAGUCGCAUGUCAAAAUUUAAGGGUCAACAAUUCCACUAAACUUCUCAAUCUGAACCUAAAAACUCUGAUGGCCACUAAACUUUUUCCACUCGUACAAUUUUUGACCACUCAAAUAUUUUUUGUUUCAAUAUAGUCACUUAACUCUUAAAUCCGUGUACUAGUGCUCAUUCCGUCAAAUAUUUUUGUUAAUGCUAACAGACUGAGCUCCAAAUGCAUUUCAUGUACCAAAAAUAAAGACAAUUUCUUAAGAUCAAUUGUUAGAUUUUUUUUUCCAUCUAGAGUUUUAGAUUUUUUUUAAUUGACAAAAAAUAAAAUUUAGAAUCUUCAAUAGUUGCUUUAAUAUAUUCUAAUUUAUCAGUUUUGACAAAAAAAUCUAAAUUAUAUGCUCAAGUUCUUGUGAAUUGUUUCCAAGAACCUUGAAAUCAAAUGAAAAUAGUAGAUCUAAGAACAAAAUUUGAAUAAAAGCUAGCUAAUAUACUAUUUCGGUGAGUUGAGUGGUCAAUUCGAAAGAAAGAUCACUAAGAAUACGGUGUUUUGUAUGGUUCAGUGGCCAUUUAAGAUUUUUUUUGUCUCAUCUAUUUGGACAAAUUUACUUAUGGACUUUUGGCGUGCUCAUCCCAUUAGGUUUAACGUCAAAUAUGGACAGAGUAGCUGCUGAGAUACACAAUAGCCAUAUGCAACUUAAGGUAUUUUGUCGGUUUCUGUCGAACGUUUGGUUUGUGCAUCAAUUUAGAGUUUGUCUGGUUACGAAAUACAGUAUCGGUCGGGCCUUUGUUAAGCAAAUCCAGGGGGGAAAAGAAUAUGCCGCUGUAUUUGGGCUUCGGUUAUAUUUUGGGCUGUUGAUGAAUGUUUAGUAAAUUCAGUGAAUUAUUGUCCAUAUUCAUUCUAAUAAGCAAGGGGAGGUCCAUAGUGUUUCUUUUGUUUCCUAUUCUUAUGGAUUAAUUACAACGAAUAAAUGUUACCUCCAUUAAAGGGCGAAUCAACGUCGGAAAAAAUGUUUCAUGUUACAAAGUAAAAAAUGGUCAUACAUUUGCAUUCAGGGAUGGGCUGACUGAUGGCAACAUGAUUUCUGUUUAUCACAGUAAGCCUAUUAUCCAUCAAAAAUUACCCUACAAUAAAAGAUGUAACUAUUCGUUGUCCUUUGCUUUCCUUUCUUUGCCAAAAAAAAAAAAAAAAUUCAAUCCAAUCUCUGUUGAGUGUCUCCGUUAGAAUUGGAAUUGCAAUUAUGUCCAAUCAAAUAUAGAACAGGACACAAUUGCAUCAAUUUGGUAGCUGACAUAGGAUGGAGGAAGAUCAUUUUAUGAGUCCUAAGGCUAAGGCACAAAAACAUUAGUCCUUCUAAUGCCAUAUUAUCAAGACACUUCCUAGGCAUUUCGUUCAGCUUUGCAGAAACACAUUCCCCUUUGCCACAGAAAAAAAUUCCCUUGAAGCACACAUUAAUUGUUCCGAUAAGGAAUGUGGUGGGGGAAAAUUCAGGCUUGCAAUCAAUACCGUGAUCGACCUGGCCAAGCAGCUCCCUCUAUGGAGGACGGUAAGGCCAAUUCCACCAGAGUUGCCUACUGCCCAAGUUGAGCCUAGUGGUGCAGUAUCUGAAACAGAGGAGCUGCAGCCCGCGCGUAUGGUGGAGCAGCAGCAACCCGAUCAAAGUCAUCAUGAUCGAGCCCAGAUUGACAACGUGAUGAACAUGCAGUGGGCGUUGCUGGUUAUUGGAGUUUCUUUCGCGGCCAUUGGCGUCAUCUUGCAAGCUCUCCAAACUCGUGCAACUCUCCCUGUAGCUUCAACCUUUCCCUGGUUCUGCAUGGCUUUCGAGCUGGCCUUCUUAGCUUUGUUGGUAUCUGUUUACAUGCAUUGCCAUUACCACAAAGCAUCUUUUGUCAUGGAGCAUGUUGCAAUUUUCUUCUGUGCUGUUGCGCUUUUCUUGGCCAUCUGGAUGACCCCCCGCUCAAGCAGAUGCCCGUCGCCAUCUUCUUCAUUGGGUUCACCAUAAUAAUCCUUGCCAAUCGUUCUCUGCAUGAUUGGUGAAUUUUCUCUUUCUUUCUAGAAUUUUUCACUUUAUUUUGGUUCUAUAAUGUUUGUUAACAUAGAGAUAUAUCUGAAACAGGGCUUAACGGGACUAUUGCCGAUUGUUUUUCUGCCUCUGAGAAGUUAGAAUUCUGUUUUCCACUUUGUCUUUUCAUUUUCUGUUAUAUAGUAAGUACUAUUGUUUUAUAUGCAUUGGACAAGUACAUGUAAAACAGGGCAAACAGAGACCAAGCUGUUGUUACCUGUUGCUGUUGGGGGAGAUACCUGGAUUAUAGUUCCUUUAAGGACUAGUACUACUAUGUUUGACUUUUUCUUUCUUAAAUUGUAUUCUAUCUCUAUUUAAGUGGAUCUUUUUCGUUCUCAAGCAUGCUUGUUAUAGGAUUGAUGGCGCUGAACUUUUUUAUUUUUCAUUUUUUUAAAAUAAAGAGAGAGAAAAAAAAAGGUAAUAAGGAAAGGAUUGGACUCGCAAUAAUUAGAUCUUUCCAGUUAUGCACCUCAUUAAUGGAUUUAUUGAAUUGCACAAAGAAAAGAAGAAAGGCUGUGGAUAGGAACUAAUGAGAUGGUUCAGGCUGAACUAGUACUAAGAUGGGGAAAAGGGAAAUGGAUUAAUGGAACAAGGGAUAAUAAUUGAUCAUUAACUCCAAGCUGCCAAGACUGCUGAUGGAUCUUUCCUAGUAAUAUCUCCUAUUAGUUUUAAGGUGGAAGAUAUAUAUAGUUCAAUAGGGUUUGAGUAUGAUGGAUGAUCCGAUCCCUUUACAAGAGACCUUUCAAUUGCGUUCACCAUAAAAUUCACCCAACAAGCCAAGAAUGACACCAAAAUGGAUCCUUACAGACAAACCAAUAAUACACCAUCUGAUAUUGUGAUUGAAUAUAAGUCCAAGGUGUGAAUUAUGUAACCAUUCCCUUUACAAGUUUUAAGUUUUAACCAAUGCCCAAUUGAUUAAUGAGUCAUUGUAACAUCUUGCACUGCUAAGAGCAACCUGAUAUCCAAGUCCAUAAAGCAAUUAUCCUCCCUGAGUUUAUCUGUCACAGUAUAUUGAGAGCAGACAAGCCUAGAACACUUUUAGGCAAAAUCUUGAUCUUGAAAGCUCAUUCCUCUGUUCUUUUAGAACACUUUUAGGUAAACUAUGUCAUCCUAUCUGGAAAAUGAAGGUCAAACAGCAUGCAACUCUAGUCCAGUGCAGUCAUUGUACCACUUCACUCACUGAGAGUAUAUAUUUAUCAUUCCUGUGUUCUUUCCUAUGUUACUCUAUCACAAACUGCUGUUGAUUGUUGGGUAAUUUCCGGUCAGUAAAAUCCUUCCCUUGCACAUUCUAUUUUGAAUAACUUCAGACAAAUGACAAAAAAUGACAUCAGUUAUUUGCUAAAAGCAAGCUCUACACCAGAGCAUACAAGGAAUUGUUACUCUUAAUCUAUCCACUGUCAUGCAAACAGAGCUAACGCAAUGGAGCAGCUUACAUUUAAUCAUUAAUUCGACAAGCAUUCACUCUAUCAUGUUUAAAUGCUCCAGAAACUUUCUCAUAUCACCAACAUUUUUUUUUGAAAAUAUUUUCUGGAGUAGCAAAGCAUGCUCAGGUUGGUUUCUCAUACGUUCUUAAGUUUCAAUCUCACUAACACUUCCCUAAAUCGGAAACAUUUCAACUAUACCAUGAUCACCACCACCAGUCCUUCUCCUCCACCCAUCCGAAUCACCACCACCACCACUAGCUUCACAAUUUGAACCUUAAAUUCCCCUCCUUCUCCAACCCCUACUUCUCCUCCCAUGUUAGCCUCUAAAUACUACAGAUCUGUCGCUUCUCUUCCACAUUCACCGAGCUCAACCUCUUCCUCUUUGGCACUGUUGCAUUUGUGCUGGCCAUCUUGAUGCCCCUCAAUCUCCCACUGAAGCAAUUAUCUAUCCAUCGCUAUCGUCCUUGCUGCAUUUCUCCUAAUAAUCCUUGCCAAUCGUUCUACAGGUGAUUGGUAAUUUCCUUCUUUCUUUCUUUUGGAACUUUUUUCUGUAUUUUAUUUUUUGGUUAUGUUUGGUUAAUUUAUAGAUAUAUUUGACACAGGGGUUUUUUUUUUUUUUUUUCUCCACAGGGGGCUUAACUUGGUGGAUUAUUGUGUCAUCCUCUGAAAUAUUUAAACAUCUUCGCCAAUUAUUUCAGGCUUUGAUGACUCGCGUUUGUCUUUUAGUUUUCAAAAUUCUCAGUUCUGGUUUGCCUGUUUGAUCGUCCAUUUCCUAAGAACUAAGGGAACUCGACAAUGCUUUAGUAACGAUAGUUAUGGUAACGAAACAGUUUUUAUCUAAUAUGACAGGUUGUUGUACUUUUAGCGACCAUUUGAUUAUUUGUUGGACCCAUUCACCUAAAUAGGAUAAUACCUAAAAAUAUGAAAGUAAGUUUCCCAUCUAAAAUAGUAAGUUAACCUUAAUAGAUUAGUAAUUUUUAUACCUCAAAAGGUAAAUUGGAAUAACGAUUAAACUUACAUUUUAAAUAAAUAAAUUACUAUUUUAUAUUUCAAACUUAAUUUUUAGAGAGUAAGUUUAGUUCAAGUAACAGUAAGUUUUUAUACAUAAAUAGUAAUUUUUACUAAUAACAUGGUAAAUUUUAGUAAUGAUCAAAACUUACUUGUUUUUGGUAUUAUACAAUUUUACAUUAAAAAAUUAUCUCAAACUAGUAUUAGAAAGUUUAUUUGAAAUAAUGAUAAGAUGUUUUAUUAAUGAUUACAACUUAGUACCUUAGUUAGUAAGUACUCGUAAUAUACCUAUAUAAUACAUGAUUACAGGUAUAAUUUAAAUUUUUUUUGUAUUUAUAUAUUUUAAAAUACUAUGAAAAGUAGUUUCAUUUUUCAGAUAACCUUGUAAAAUAUGUAAUAAAAUUUUGUCAUAUUAUAAGUUUUUAAUCAUUUUCAGUUUUUGAAAAGUUUGAAAGUUUGAAUAACAAUAAAAACAAAUCUUCCUGUUAUAUAUAGAAUAUCACUUGUUUAUAUAUCACAAUUUUUAUAAUUUAACACCUAUGAAUAUAAUAAGAUGAUAAAGUUUUAAUAAAUUUACAUCUGGGACACAAGAAUUAAUAAGAGUUAAACCUCAAACAAAAUGAGAAAUAGUAUAACAAUAAAAAUGACAAAAUUAGUAUAACAGUUAAUAUAAGAAAAUAAGUAUGUUCUGAACUUUUUUCCUUGGGAGAUUGUUCAUAAAAAUAAGAUCCAACAAUUAAAUGAAUAUCACUUGCACAUAUAAUCUAUUGUAUAAUUUAAAUUAAAUUCAGUUCACGUAUAAAACGGUCCAAAAAUAAUUAGCACACUAUGAUACAAUGUUAUUUUAACAACCAAAAUUUGUUUUACUAAAAGUCCCAAAUAUCCAUUACAUGCAUAUGAGGGAUAUUUUACCACAUUUGUAUCCAACUAUAAGCACAAAUUUCGUUGCCAAAAAUAAAAGACAUGAAAACUUGCACAAAUAUCAAAUUUAUUAAAUCAAAUAAUAAGAGACUUACAAUCUCUAAAAAUUCUUUUUUCUUUUGAUAAUUACAAUCUCUAAAAAUUCUUGAAUCAAAGAAAUUAAUCCCCUAAUUCUUCUCUUCAAAAGCACUCUUAAUUAAAGCAUAAUAAAAUCAAGUUUUUUUUUAAAAUUUUUAAUGUAGUAGUUAUGUUUACUACAAAAUUAGUAAACCAUUCCUACAAUGCAUUGCUUCUCCUAUAAGUACUAAUAUUUUGUAAAUAAAUUGAAAUAAUUUUGUAAAAGAUUUUAUGCAUUUUCACUAAUAUAAUCAAGAGAAUUUUGCACAUUUAAAAUAUAUAUAGAAAGAAAGGAAAAUGGUAUGAGUAUAAAGGCAACCAAAUGCAAUAUAUAUCACAUCAUGUGUUUAGAUAUGAUUUGUUAAGUAAUCAGUAAUUUAGUCCUGGUCAAUAUAUGAUGCAUAUUGAUUUCUUAUAAAUAAAAAUAUAAUUUAGCAAUUAUGCACUAACAGAAUUCAUAGUUUGAAUGCAAUCAAUUGAGCAUCUAUUUCCUUUUUUUAAGUAGCUAUUAUUUAUUUUAUUACUUAGGUUAUAUAUUUACAUGUAAAAUAACAACAAUAGCAUGCCAAUCCUCGGACCAACAGAACUUCAAUUAUUGUUAACUAAACUAAUUUUACAUUGAUAAAAAUUAGUCUAGAAAAUGAAAUGUUAAUGACAACAAUUGGUCAAAAAUUGCAAUCUUUUAAUUUUAGAAAAAUAAAAAAUAAGUUCCCAAGAUAUUUCACUUUUAUUUUUUAAAAAAAAAAUCUCAACUUGUUAAUUAAAUUCAAAAUGAUUUUAUUAUAAAAAAAUAUUCUUCCUCAAAUUAACAUCAAUGAUUAGACAUGAGAUACAAAUAUGGGAAAAAAGAGAUAAAAAUAUGGUAAAAUAUUUCUCAUACAUAUAUCGUGGAUAUUGGAGACUUUUGGCAAAAAAAAUUUUGUUGUUAAAAUAAUAUGGUAUUGUAGUAUGCUAAUUAUUUUAGAAUCAUUUUGUAUCUGAACUAAAUUUAAUUUAAAUUCUACAGUAGACUAUAUAUGCAUGUGAUUUUUGUUUAGUGGUUGGAUCUUAUAUUCGUGAACAAUCUCCAAAGAAAAAAAAAUCCAGAUUAUACUAAUUUUGUUAUACUAAUUCUAUUAUUUUUAUUGUUGUAUUAAUUGUUACACUAUUUCUCUCAUUUUGUUAGGUCUAUAUUAAUACAAGUUUAAUUAUUAUUAUUUCUUGUGUCUCAGACAAUAAAUAUAUUAAAACUUUAUCAUCUUAUUAUAUUAAUAGGUUUUAAAUUAUAGGAAUUACAUAGAUAAGUGAUAUCCCAUAUAUAACUAGGAAGAUGUGUUGUUAUUAUUAUCCAAACUUUUAAACUUUUCAAAAAUUAUUCAAAAUUAUAAUACGACAAAAUUUUAUUAUUUUAUAAGGUUAUGUGAAAGGUCAAAAUAUUUUUCAUAGUAUUUUAAAAUAUAUAAAUACAAAAAUUUUUAAAUUAUACAUAUAAUUAUGUAUUAUACAAAUAUAUUACGAGUACUUACUAACUAAGGUACUAAGUUUUAAUCAUUAAUAAAACAUUUUAUUGUUAUUUCAAAUAAACUUCCUAGUAUUGGUUUGGUAUAAGUUUUUUAAGCAAAAUAGUACAUUUGUGCCAUAAAUUAGUAAGUUUUGGUCAUUAAUCAAAUUUACUAUGUUAUAAGUAAGAAUUACUAUUUAUGUAUAAAAACUUACUAUUACUUGAAAUAAACUUACUCUCUCAAAAGUAUGUUUGGGAUAUAAAAUAGUAAUUUAUCUCUUUAAAAAGUAAGUUUCAUAUUUAUUCCAAUUUACCUUUUGAGACACAAAAGUUACUAAUUAUUAUGGUCAACUUACUAUUUUAGAUGAGAAACUUACUUCUUUAUUUUUAGGCAUUAUCCUAUUUAAGUGGAUAGGUCCAACAGGUAAUCAAAUGGUCACUAAAAGUAUAAUAACCUGUUAUAUCAGGUAAAAACUAUUUAGUUACCAUAACGAUAGUCACUAUAGCAUUUUCCGUAUAGUAGUGAUAAUAUUGGUUAAAAAAAAAACUGUCCGUGGGAGGAGCAAGGCAGGGGCGGGGGUGAGGACAAAGGGAGUUACAUUGCAACAGAGGGAGUUAUCUCCUGCUUCAAACUUGCCCGUUAUCUUCCCUAUUCAAAGAAAGAGAGAAAUAGAAAGAACAAUUAGUAGUAUGAUCAUCUCCUAAAUAGUAGUAUCCAAAAUAAAUGUUAGAGGUGGCAAAAUGGGCGGGAUGGGCGGGAUUUGCUUGGAUUUGUGAUGGAACCGAGUCAUAUGGGUUUGGAUCCAACCUUACCCAUAUGUGUUUUGGGACUAACUUGGGCGGGAUCACUUUGGGAUGGAUUUAGAUUGAUCCCGCCCAAUACCCAAAUCUAUUUUCUACAUAUUUUUUUUCCUUCAUUUUUAUUUUUUAUAUAAUUUUAAUAUUUUUGAUUUAUUAAAUUUUUUUUAGUUUUAUUAAAUAAACAUGCAAGUGCUUUAUACUCAGGAUUCCCAUCAAAAAUUGGAUUAACAAAUAAAGGAAAAAAUAGAUAUACAGUCAUAUUCCAACAUAUAUCAAGAUGGCCAAGGUACUUAAGGUGUUGAAUAUUUAUCCUCAUCAUUGUCCAAAGAUGACAGGUCUAAAUUGACUGAAAUGUUGAAAAUUCUUGUGGAUAAUGACUAGGAAAACUACUAGAUUAUAUUCUCUAGUAUGACUAUAAAAAUUGUUAAAGAUAAUUUUUGAAUCUAAGAUUCCGUUUGGAUUGGCUAUUUUUUCAAAAAAUAAGUUUUUCAAAUACAAUGUUACAGUAAUAUACAAUAACUCAAAAAACAUCACAUCCAUAUUAGUAUAUCAAAUAUUUCAAAAAAAUUUUAUAGUAAAAAUUUUCAUAUACACUGCUAUAAUAAAAUAUUUCAAAAAUACCCCCCAAACAUAGCUAAACCAAACAGAGCCCUUGUUAUUUGAGCCCAAUGGGUACCCAAGUAUUUCCCAAGUAUUCCCAUCAAUUAAUGAGUACAAUUGGGAUUUGUCCCAUUUUAAAUCCAAUAUCAAAAUCCAAUACCCAUCCCGCCCAAAGUCCCCAUGGGCAUGGGUAACCCAUUGGGACUUGGGACAAAUUGCCACCUCUAAUAAAUGUAUUACAAGUUUUAUGGAAUGCUCCGAGGUGGGGGGAUGACCAUCAAAGGGUUUCAAAAAGGAAAAUUAGUAUGUGCCUGCCUAUCUAAUUGCCAAAACAACAUUAUCUGUAAAUUCUUGUGGGAUGAUUUUCUUCCUGAUGUUUUCUUGCUCCUGCACAAGGCAUAUCUUAAUAAAUAGUUGCUGAUUCUUAAAAAAAAAGAAGACUUUACUCUAAAAAAUGAUUGCAUCUAAUCUAGAAAUCAUGAUCAGUGACUUUAUGCUAGACUUUGAUCAUGGAUGGAGCAAUUCUUUGAACACAAAUUUUUAUUAAACACAUCCAUCAUCAUGAUCAGUGACAAUACCCUAAAAUUUGAUCCCCUCGUAAAGUCUCUUUUUCAAUUUUGUUGGCUCCUAAACUUGUAAAGAUUAGUCUCUUUUAAAAUGGUAGUGUAGUGCUUCGUAAAUAUAUUAUCUCAAUAAGUCUAUGUAAUGACGUAACAUUCUUGUCCAAUGACUGUAGAUUUCAUUUGUGGAACUUGCAACCUGGCAAGGACAUGAAUGCACUAGAAAACAAUUAUGUGCAUUUUUUUCUAAAUCCUUUUGCGUACAACAAAAAUUUACCUGGGCUAUCUCUAUAAAUAUUGUUUAUGGGGUGGCGCUAAUUGCCAACAGAAUUUAAUUUAGAGUGCAUUAGAGUGUGAUCAUCGUCUAUAUUCAACAAUUUCACAUCAACAAGACUAUUUAUCUAAUUGGUCAUUUCCUUUAUUUAUGUUUUUGCUUUGUGUAAUGGUAUUCUACAGGAAAUGUAAUUAAAGGAUAUACUAACAUCAGAAACUGUGAAAGCUAAAGGAAGUAGACUUAAACCACAAGAAGUAGGAAAGUUAAAGGGACCAAAUUUGUUUUUAGAAGAUAUAUAAGGAAUUAAAGCAUCACGAGUCUAAAACUUAUGGGACGAGAACCCAAUUUUGCCUAGCUAAAACGACCAUGUUGAUGUAGAGUGGAAAUAAAACGAAAAUGAGGGAUUUGUUCUUUUGCGUUUGGGCUUGGUUUUUGAGUGUGAAAAGGGGCUGAUAGUGAAUGAGGCGGCUAUAGCAAAUUUAGUUAUUAUAAAAUUUUGUUUAGGUCCAAGAAUCGACAAAAAUGGUAGGAAGGAAGAGUUAUGAUAAAUCAUCAUGUGUCUAGAGAUAAUUUAUCAAGUGUCAGCAAAUUAUGUAUAUCAUGUGUCUAGAGACAAUUUAUCAUGCUUAAUUUCUCUGACUUCUAGUAAUCUUGAUAAAUUUUUAUUAGAAAAAAGGCAAAUUAUAUGCCUUCAAUGAAGAAUAUGGAGGCCAAUGUAGGAACAAAACACUAUAUUUCCAAUUCAUUGAUCAAAUGAUAGUUCCAGCAAAAUUUACUAAUCGCUUUGCAGGUGACAAUUUGGAUUUUGAUUAGGUUCCACGGAAAUGCAAAGUCUUGAGGAUCCAAUUCGUCCCAUAUCGAAAAUUUGAAGUGAACGUGCUUGGGACAUGUCUUUAGAUUCAUUGGACUAGGAGUAAAAUCUUGCUACAGGUUGACUGUGUGUAGUGAGCUUUGAAUCAAAGCUCAAAGCUCUUACACACAGUCACCCGCUUAGGUGCGUGUUUCACAAUCAAAGCAAGAAACUUUCACGCGUUUGAGAAAUUUUCACGCACCUAAGCGGGUAACUGUGUGUAAGAGCUUUGAGAAAUUUUCACCCACCUAAGCGGGUGACUGUGUGUAAGAGCUUUGAGCGCAAUUUUCACGCACCUAAGCGGGUGACUGUGUGUAAGAGCUUUGAGCGCAAUUUUCACGCACCUAAGCGGGUGACUGUGUGUAGCUUUGAGCGCAAUUUUCACGCACCUAAGCGGGUGACUGUGUGUAAGAGCUUUGACGAUUUUCACGCACCUAAGCGGGUGACUGUGUGUAAGAGCUUUGAGCGCAAUUUUCACGCACCUAAGCGGGUGACUGUGUGUAGCUUUGAGCGCAAUUUUCACGCACCGCUCAUCAAAGCUCUUACACACAGUCACCCGCUUAGGUUGAAAGUUUCUUGCUUUGAUUGUAGCGCUCACAAGAAAUUUUCACGCACCUAAGCGGGUAACUGUGUGUAAGAAAACAAGACACCCUGCCUCUAUAUAUGGAAUCCUUUCAAGAUUGGCAACACAUCUUCAGUUUCUCUCUCUCAACCUUUUUCAAUUCCUCGCUCUCUCCAUCUUAUAGCCAAAAUAAUACCUUGUCAAGAAAUCCUCAAUUUCUCACUCUGUCAGCCUUUUUCAAUUCCGCACUCUCUCAACCUUAUUACCUGGAUUUGUCCUUCACAACUAUGGUGAUGAGCAUCUGGAAAAAAUCCGUGAAUUCCUUCAUCAAUCGUGCUAAAGACAUCCGUCUCUUUAGACCCUGCACCUGGUGGGCGGACAGCCCAGAACAGUCCCAGUCCCCACCUGAAUUGCAAAGCAUCCGAGUAGACCAGACUAAUGCAACACACUCCACUGAUGAGCCAGGAGGUGGGAGACCACGUCCAGCCCCUAGCACUGCUGAUGGUAACAAGAUGAGCGUGAAACAGUUAUUAUUGGUGAUGGGAGUUUGUUUGACUGCUGUUGGGGCUGCUCUGCAAGCUCUCCAAACUUCAAAACCACUUCCGAUGGCCUUUCAUUGGUUUUGCGUGGCUCUCGAGCUGGCCUUUCUCUCCAUGAUUGUGCCUAUAUACAUCCGACCCCGUAACCAGCUGGCAUCUCUUGUGAUGCACCAUGCUGCCAUUUUAUUGAUGGCCACGGCAUUCAUGCUGGCCAUCUCAAUGAACUUUCCGACCCCAAUUCUGGUGAUCAACAUGGCACUCUACUUCAUUUUCGUCCUUCUCAACAUCGUUGCCAAACUUUUGAUGCCCUGAGACACAAUAAAUCCAUAUUCCUAGUGGUUUGUUUGCUUGUUAAUUAGACACAAUAAAUACAUAUAUAUUCCUAGUGGUUUGUUUGCUUGUUAAUUAGUUUCUGCUUUUAUUUUAAGUUUUUAACUAGCAGUUUAUGAGCUCAGUUGUAUUUCGUGGGGUAUUCUCGAAGGUGAGCAGUUAUGAUAGUAUGUUUUUGUCGAAUGGCUUUGAAAGAAAAAGAGAGGUCAAGGUGUUAUACAUGGAUAUAGCCAGUUCCCGUGAUUAUUUCCUUGAAUAUUAAGGAUAUAAUUCAGAAGGUGUUCAGACUUUCUUUUUUUAUAAAUGAUGUUAUGUAUUUUUUUUAAUCUUUUCUUUGUUCGAAUAUGGACAUCGUGUCGUCGUGAUCAAAUAUCUAAAUCACAGAGAAUUGAUCUUCUCAGUCAUGAAACCUAUCAUUGAAUUUAGGGCAAAUUACAUUUUAUCCCCUUGUGAUUUUCGCAAAAACCACAUAACCCCCUAUGAUUAUAAAAGCUAUACAUAAACUCUCUAUGAUUUGGGUUGAAGUGUCAAAUAGACGGAAAACACCCAUCGUGACGAUUCGUAUCUUACACGUGCUUGUACUACUGGUAGCAGUAAGAAACGUUUGCAUAUUACCUUGACCACUUUAACGGAUCCAAUAAAUCCUAGAUCUGUGCUCCUUAUCUCUUUCAAUGACGGCAAUGGAUAUGGCUCUGUAGAUGGUAAUGGUGGUGGUUAUGGGGCUGGAAGCGGAGGCAGCAAUGACGGCAGUGGAUUUGGCUUUGUAGGUGGUAAUGGUGGUGGGUCGGAUCGGGUGGAGGUGGUGGUCCAGGCGGUAAAUAUGGUCCAGAUGGCGACGGUAAUGGUGAUGGAUGGAAUGGUGGUAGCUAUGGUCCUGGUGCAAGCAGCAGGCAAGGGAGUUGGGGCAGCAGCUAUGGCUAUGGCAGGGGCUGGUGCAGGGGCCCUGGCUUAAGAUAUGGCAGCAGUAGUACUGGUCAUGGCAGCGGAGGUAACAAUGGAGAAGGGCAGUAUGGAAUCACUGGUGGGGGCCUAGACAGGGACAAUCAGCUGCUCCCAUACAGCAUGAAACCAUGACUAGAGCUCUUGUUUCAGAAAUCGCAUUUUUUGGUAGUUGACCAACGGAAAAGCAUGGGAGAAAGAAGGAUGCAGAAACCGGAAUCCUAUCUCUUGAAGAGAGGUGCAGAAAGCUCUCCCUUUGACUCAGGUGGGCCUUCCACCACUUUGACUGUUGCGGAUGUAGUUCCUCUCAUUGUGAAGAAAGAAGUAAUGAAAGGAAAGAGAAGCCCAGGCCGUGUUCGUUGUUGCCUUUUUUGUAUUUAUAUUAGGGUAAUUUGGACAUUUCGCCCACAAAUCGUGACGAUGGGUAGUUUCCGUCUAUUUGACACUUCAAUGCAAACCAUAGAAGAUUUAUGUAUAACUUUUAAAAUCAUAAGAGGGUUAUGUGGUUUUUGCGAAAAUCACAUGAGGGUAAAAUGUAAUUUUCAAAAUAGUGCAACUUACAAUGAAGGUUUCGCCUUAGAUUUAACUGUUAGUCUGUUACAUAGGAAAAUUUUCGAUCAAAAGAUCUCAUCUUGGGCAGUAUUCAUGAGACUUUAUUUUUUCUUUGCUAGAAAACAAAACAUGUUUUGGUUCUCAAAAUUAGUUUGUCAAUUUUAUCAGUUCAUAUUAAAUGAAUAAAUACAAGUCUGUGCUAAGCUUUAUCAUAAAGUGCAACUCAUGUGCUUUUUUCUAGUCUUACUAAAACAAUAUGUAUCAAAGCAGUGCAAGCAAACGGUAGAAGUUGACCUGACAUAGAUCUGACAAUGUUUAGUUGUUUAAGAAUAGUACCUGUGGAACAAGCAAACGGGCUAAUUUUCUGGGAGUUUUAUUGAACUUUUAUUAUUUGUGUUUUGAAUGAUGGUGUGACUUUAAAGAAAUGCUCGGUUGAAAUUGGAUGCAGCCUUGUCCUUGAAUGAGGUUGAAUUCUGAUUGUCCUUUCAGCCAUGGUAAUUGAUAAGUAUUAUAAUUGGGUUAUAUUGGGUGUAGGCUUUGAAAGGAGGAUACAGAGAGAAAGUGCAGAUAGCAAUCAAGUUUGGCAUUGGAGCAAGGGAUGGGAAAACGGACAUUCGUGGUGAUCCAGAGUAUGUGCGUGCUUAUUGUGACAGCAGCCUGAAGUGGCUUGAUGUUGAAUACAUUGAUCUUUUUUAUGCUCAUCGUAUUAAUACUCAUGUUCCCAUUGAAGUCACGGUUAGUUAUUUUUUCGAUACCACUUUAAUGCCAUUUUUACCUGGUAUUAUGGGUUUAACCAUUUGAAAUUACAAUUUUUAGAUUGGAUAAUCCUGAUUACAAAAUACUGUUUCUUCAACUGAUUUAGUAAAGCUUCGUCUCAAAAACAGCAGUAACUGACAUAGAAAAGCUGCCAUAUUUUAAGAAACUGUCAUAUUUUAAACUGCCAUAUGCUUCAACAUUACUACAAUUAUGGUUUGUAUAAGGUAGUACUGGUAUGAAUUCUUUGAAAUGUUCACUUUCAGAUAUAUUGGUCAUCGUAAAAGAACUGCCAUAUUUUAAAGGCUCAUCUGUUGGCUUUUAGUCUGUUUGUCCUUUCCAACAAAACCUUGUCCAUGAUUGUCUGUUAAGAUUUUUGGAGUACAUAUCUGCCUACUUUAAUGGUGUUAAUUUCAGUUGUGCUUGCUUGGUGCUCAUCUCUGAUGCCUGCCAUGUCUUAUGAUUACCAAUAAAAUGAACAUGCUUGUCUCCCGAUUCCUUCUGGAAGUUUUUGAGCCAGGUUGGAGAGAUGAAAAAACUUGUUGAGGAGGGUAAAGUUAAAUACAUCGGUCUAUCAGAGGCCUCUGCUUCGACAAUCAGAAGGGCUCAUGCUGAUCAUCCUAUAAUAGCUGUUCAGUUAGAAUGUCCAUUGUGGUCAAGAGAUUUGGAGGAAGAAAUUCUUCCGACAAGCAGGUAGAAAUAUUUUGUGCUGUUACAAUUGGUUUGGAGGAAAUUAAAUGACUCUAUUUACUUUCCUGUUUCAUUAUCAGAGUGCUUGGUAUUGGCAUUCUCCCUUACAUCUCUCUUGGACGAGGAUUUUUCUCUACAGGACCACAACUGCUUGACAACUUAGCAGAGGGUGACAUGCGUCAGGUUGGUGUACUGAACACUUAUGAGUAUAUUUUCACCUUAUCACGAUUCAUUGCGCUUUUCUCUUUUGUCUUCAAUGGAGUUGGGAAAGUUAGCGAGUAGAUGGCUGGUAAAAGAGAAUGCAUAGAGCAAAGGAUUUUCUAAUUUACAUUAUUUAUCUAUAGCAUAGUAACAUCUCAUCUUAUUUUUGCAUGUACCAUGCAUUUUCUUGCCCAUAAAAGAUGUUUCUGCUGCACGCGCAUGUGUGUGUUUUGACAUCUUUUUCCCCCUUUGUCAUUGGUUUGGUAAGAGGGAGGAGGCAGUCCUUACUUUCAGGUUUUCUCUAGAUUUUCAGUUUUUCGCUGCAGAUGCUAAUGGUCUCCUAAUAUCUGUCCUUGUGUUGUAUGAUAUCUGAAUGGCCAUUCAUUUCUUUUUUCACUAGAAUUCUGCUGAGUGCACGUUAAUGAUACAGUGUUUUUUUCACGUGUGAUACAGCUCUUUUUGCAGGAUUAAUGAUUCAACUUUUGCAACUCUUUAGAAUUAGUUCCAUUCCUGAUAAAGUGCAGUCUUUCGUUGCAGAGUUUUCCAAGGCUGAAACCAGAAAACCUGGAGGAAAACAAGAAAAUAUUUGCACGGGUUAGUGAAAUGGCAGCAAAGGAUGCACCCAAGCACAGCUGGCCUUGGCUUGGGUUCAUCAUCAAGGAGAUGACGUGGUUCCAAUUCCUGGUACCACCAAGAAGGAUAACUUCAACCAAAAUGUAAGAGCUCUAUCAGUAAAAUUAACACGAGAGGGCUUUUUUGGACAAAAAGCUCCAUUUUUUCAAUGGGUUCUACUCUUGCAGAAUAAGGAAUUUUUUUUUUUGUUUUUCUUUCUUGCAAAGAGGGCUUGAUUUUGUGAUUAUGUUCUUGAUUUUGGUAAAAAAAAGGUUUAAAAUUUUCCUUAUUGGUAUUUUAGAUGUGCAGAAAGCAGAAGAAUAGGAUAUGAGUGCAUUAUUUGCCAUCGUUAUUUCAUGAGUCCAUUCGUUACAAACAUACAAUUCAAUUCGAUUCAGUCAUAUGAGUCGACUAAUUUCACAUUAGAGUCGUUCUAAUGUCUUGCACCACUAAGAGCAACCUGAUAUCCAAAUCCACAAAGCGCUGCUCAUCUUCACUGAGUUGUAUCUGUUGUAUUAUAUAGAGAGAGCAGAUGAGCCCAGAAAAUGCAGCUCGCUGCAGCCUCUUCUCACAAUCUUGUUCUUCAAGUGCAUCCGAUAAACAUAGUUUGCUGCUGCAAUAAAAAUUUACCAAUAAACUGUGCCCAACCAUUUGGAAAAUCACAGUCAUGAAGCAUGCAAGUCUAGUCCAAGGCACUCAUUUUACUAGCCCACUAACCUGAGAGUAUAACAGUCAUUCCUCUGUUAGUGCCUAUUACAAACUACUGCUGAUUGUUCAGUGAUUUUCAGAAGAGUAAUAUCCUCUGUCUUUCACAUCCAACCUUGAUUGACUUCAGAUAAAUGCCAUAGAAGGAAAUUUUGUUAUGACGUUACAUAAACGCUACAUGCAAGCUCUACUUCCAGAGCAAACCAGAUAAAGAUGCACUAGCAUCUGUGCCAACCUAUUUGGAAAAUCAUGUCAAGCGUGCAAAUCUAGUCCAUGGCACUCAUUUUACUAGUACAGAAACCAAGAGUAAAAUCUACUGUUGAUUGUUAAGUGAUUUCCAGAUGAGUAAUAUCCUUGUCUUGGACAUCCAAUCUAGAUUAACUGCAGAUAAAUUCCAUAGAAGAAACAUUCGUUAUGACAUUACAUAGUCAGAGCAGACAAGAAAAGAUACAGUAGCAUCUGUUGACUGUCAUGCAAAACAGAACACAGGUAAUGGAGCAGAUUCUGUCGAUUCUGAUUGUUGAUAUAAACAUUUUAAUUUGACAAGAAUUAUUCGUUGUCCUUCAUUCCGGUUCAUUCUGUCAUAUUUAAAUGGUCCAGUGACUUCCUCGUUGGGUUGCUGGUUACUAAAGUUUGAUUGACAGCAAGUGCCUUCUAUCUUUUACAUAUGUUCCGGCUUUAGCUUACCAUUUUCACUUGGAUUUUUUUUUUCUUAUUUUGGGUUGCCAUGGAUGGAUUUGAGAGCAUGGGUGAGACGGGGUGAUCAAUAUGAAGAUCUAUUCAUAAGAUUCCGUGAAUCAGACAAAAAAAAAUUGAGCAUUAGAAGUAAAAUCAUUUUCAAUCUGAGGAACAUCUUAAGACUUCUAGCAUCGGAAUUCAACCAGCUCCACAUUAUCCACAGUAUAUAAAGAAGAAAAGAAGAACAAAUUUAAUGAAGGACAUGAGGUUGUAGUAUACAAGAGGAACAGAGUUCGACUAGCACUACUACGAACUAUUCUUCUCAGAACUCAGAAGUGCUUACUUUACUCUUGUCCUGAUAACGCAACAUGCUAUAUAACUCACAUUCGAUCUUCUUAUAGACAUGCGAUUUUUAAACUCAGUGUCUUGUAGAUUCUAUUAAUUGAAUAUUCUGUUAUGGCAUACUAUUGGAAAUAGAUUAUACCAUUAAAGAGGUGUUUGAUCAUUAUUGGUAUGGUCAAUUUUAUUUACACUCGUAAAGUUUGAGACGAAAGUUUUGUCAAUUAACGUUUCUGACUUCAGUUUGUCAUAAAUAAAUAAAUUACUACAUGUACUUGCCUCGUUAUCUCUCCUCCCCUACUCUUUCGCUUUAUACAUAUUUUUUUCUUUCAUUCCUUCCCAGUUUAUGUUGCAAGAACAUCAUCUAGUUUCCUGGUUUUGAUAUGAGUGCGGAAUCAUCUCGUAUCGUAUCUGAGUACGUACAUAAAGAGUAACAUCUGCAAAGUUCGGGAGCGGGAAACGCACUGCGUGGAUUGCUUUGAGCCUGGUGGUGCAGUAUCUGAAACAGAGGAGCUGCAGCCCGCGCGUAUGGUGGAGGAGCAGCAACCCCAUAAUAUUCAUCAUGAUCGAGCCCAGACUGACAACGUGAUGAACAUGCAGUGGGCGUUGGUGGUUAUUGGAGCUUGUUUCGCGGCCAUUAGCGUCAUCUUGCAAGCUCUCCAAUCUCAUGCAACUCUCCCUGUAGCUUCAACCUUUCCCUGGUUCUGCAUGGCUUUCGAGCUGGCCUUCUUAGCUUUGUUGGUAUCUGUUUACAUACGGCACCAUUAAGACAAAGCAUAUCGUGUCAUGGAGCACGCUGCAAUUUUCUUCUGCGUUGUUGCGCUUCUCUUGGCCAUCUGGAUGACCCUCGAUCCCCCACUCAAGCAGAUGUCCGCCGCCCUCUUCUUUGUUGGGUUCACCAUAAUUAUCCUUGCCAAUCGUUCUCUGCGUGACUGGUGAAUUUUCUCUUUCUUUCCAGAAAUUUUCACUUUAUCUUGGUUUUGUAACAUUUGUUAAUACAGAGAUAUAUCUGAAACAGGGUUUAACGGAACUACUGCAGUGUGAUCCUCUGAUGCAUGCGAUUUAACAUCUCUGCCGAUUGUUUUUCUGCCUCUGAUAAGUUAAAAUUCUGUUUUCCACUUUGUCUUUUCAUUUUCCGUUUUUUAGUAAGUAGUACUGUUUUAUAUGCAUUGGACACGUACAUGUAAAACAGGGCAAACAGAGACCAUGCUGUUGUUACCUGUUGCAGGAGAUACCUGAGUUCCUUUAAAAGACUAGUACUAUGUUUGACUUUUCCUUUCUUAAAUUGUAUGCCAUCUAUUUUUAAGUGGAUCUUUUUUGUUUACAAGCCUGCCAGCCUGUUAUUGGAUUGAUGGCAUUGAACCUUUUUUAUUUUUCCUUUUUUUCAUUUUUUUAAAAUAAAGAGAGAAAAAAAAAAGAUAAUAGGGAAAGGAUUGAACUCGCAAUAAUCGGAUCUUUCCAGUUAUGCACCUCAUUAAUGGAUUUAUUGAAGUGCACGAAAGGAAAGAAGAAAAGCUGUGGAUAGGAACCACUGAGUGGUUCAGGUUGAACUAGUACUAAGAUGGGGAAAAGGGAAACGGAUUAAUGGAACAAGGGAUAAUAAUUGAUCAUUAACUCCAAACUGCCAAGACUGCUGAUGGAUCUUUUCUUGUUGUAUCUCCUAUUUAGUUUUAAGGUGGAUGAUAUAUAGUUCAAUAGGGAUUUGAGUAUGAUGGAUGAUCCGAUCCCUUUACAAGAGACCUUUAUAUGGCGUUCACCAUAAAAUUCUUCCAACAAGCCAAUAAUGGCACCAAAAUGGAUCCUCACAGACAAACCAGUAAUACAUCAUCUGAAAUUGUGAUUAACUAUGAGUCCAAGAUGUGAAUUAUGUAACCAAUCUCCUUACAAUUUUUAACCAAUGCCCAAUUGAUUAAUGAGUCAUUCUAACAUCUUGCACCACUAAGAGCAACCUGAUAUCCAAGUCCAUAAAGCAAUCAUCCUCCCUGAGUUUAUGUACUACAGUAUUAUUGAGAGCAGAUAAGCCUAGAAUACUUUUUGGCAAAAUCUUGAUCUUGAAAACUCAUUCCUCUGUUCUUUUAGAACACUUUUAGGUAAACUAUGUCAUCCUAUCUGGAAAAUGAAGGUCAAACAGCAUGCAACUCUAGUCCAGUGCAGUCAUUGUACCACUUCACUCACUGAGAGUAUAUAUUUAUCAUUCCUGUGUCCUUUCCUAUGUUACUCUAUCACAAACUGCUGUUGAUUGCUGGGUAAUUUCCGGUCAGUAAAAUCCUUCCCUUGCACAUUCUAUUUUGAAUAACUUCAGACAAAUGACAAAAAAUGACAUCAAUUCAUUGCUAAAAGCAAGCUCUACACCAGAGCAUACAAGGAAUUGUUACUCUUAAUCUAUCCACUGUCAUGCAAACAGAGCUAAUGCAAUGGAGCAGCUUACAUUUAAUCAUUAAUUCAACAAGCAUUCACUCUAUCAUGUUUAAAUGCUCCAGAAACUUUCUCAUAUCACCAACAUUUUUUUUUGAAAAUAUUUUCUGGAGUAGCAAAGCAUGCUCAGGUUGGUUUCUCAUACGUUCUUAAGUUUCAAUCUCACUAACACUUCCCUAAAUCGGAAACAUUUCAACUAUACCACGAUCACCACCACCACCACCACCAGUCCUUCUCCUCCACCCAUCCGAAUCACCACCACCACCACUAGCUUCAAAAUUUGAACCUUAAAUUCCCCUCCUUCUCCAACCCCUACUUCUCCUACCAUGUUAGGCCUCUAAAUAUUACAGAUCUGUCGCUUCUCUUCGACAUUUAUCGAGCUCAACCUCUUCCUCUUUGGCACUGUUGCAUUUGUGCUGGCCAUCUUGAUGCCCCUCAGUCUCUCACCCAAUACUUUUUGGCAAAAUCUUGACCUUGAAAGAUCAACGGUAAACUAUGUCAUCCUGUCUGGAAAAUAAAGGUCAUAAAGCAUGCAACCCUAGUCCGAUACAGUCAUUUUACCGCUGGAAAAUGAAGGUCAGAGAAUGUGCUACGAUUGAAUUUAUAAUUAUAUAGAAGAAGAUGCAUCUUUCCUGUUCAGAGUCUAAAGCCUAUUAUUGGAUUGAUGGCACUGAAACAUUUUUUUAAAAAAAAAUGGAGAACAUAGAAUUGGAGUGUCAAUACAACAUAGAGCUUUACAAUUCUGCACCUGAUGAUUGGAUUUAUUGCAGUGCAUGCAACAAAAUAAGAAAGGAUGUGGAUAGGAAUAACUAGCCAUGAUAGAGUUUCUACGACUUUUUUUUUUUUUUUGGGUGUAAAUAGCCAUGAUUCACUUUAUUCCCUCCCUUGAAGGAAUAAAGAGACCUCUUGAAGGAAACUUGAAUUCAAGAUCAAAGUCGAAUUUUUGUGACAUAAAAACUCAAUUUUUUUAGAUAUCAUUCAGGUGACUCUUGUCAACUCUACAAUCAAAUCUAGUCAAUUAUCUUUUACAGUUAUGAGCACUACUCAAAAGUCCCAUAUAACCUUAUUCACUUGAAGACAUUAUAAUGUAUAAUCAUACACUAGGGCACACCAACUUCUAUUUGCAUAAUUAAUGGUAGAGCAAUAAUGCAGUGGAUGUACAGAAUCAAGGCCUUCUAUCAUCUUAGAACAAUAUUUUUAUGACAUGUCUCAUACAUGGCAUCAAAAAUGCUAUACAUGAUGUAAUUUGAGUCUUAUAUUUUCUUUCUUAGACCAAUCUUGACUCUUAACCCUUCAUGGAUAGUUUCUGUAGCAGCGAUUCCUGCCCUAAAUUCGAUACACGCUUAUAUAUUUGGCAGCUGUGCUGUUGACCGCAUAAAAUCAAUCAGGAAAAAAAAAUAACAAGGAGAAAAUGAAAGCAACCUCACCUGGGUCUUAUCUAAAGUGGAAAUUUUGAUCCACUUAAGAGCAUGGGGUUUUGUUUCAAUUCUGUGUUGAAUUGAAUGAAAGAGCUUGUCGUGGGGAAUUUUGCAUGCUUGGUUUUUGGACAAUUGUGAUGCUUAUGAAAGUGCAAUCGGCCGGCCCAAAAUCUUUCGUCUCAACAGAAUUGAGUUCCACUCCAUUUUGUGGCCUCAUUUGGAUUGAGACGCCAGUCCAGGAGAGCAUUGGCAGCAAAAACUUGGAAGAAGAAAAAUGUUUUCUAACACAUUACUUGUGAACUGUUGCCCUGUUUGGCAAGUGAGUUUUGUAAAUGUUUAUCUAAAAUUUUACUGUAGGUUACUGCAGAAAUUUUUUUUAAAAAAAUUUUUAAAGUGUGUAAAUUUUUGAAUAUUUUGAAAUGUAUAGUUUAAAAACUUUAAAAAGUUUUUUGAGACUACUAUAGCUAAAGUUUUUAAAAAAUUUGUGGCAGACAAACUUGGCAAAAAACUCAAGUGUUGUGAAGUGUUGGGGGUGGAUUGUGAACUGUGAAGCUUUGGGGAGGAUUUUGAUUUUUGAGUGCUCUGCUUGUGAACUGUGAAGUGUUGGGGUGAGAAUUAUUUAAACCCGAGUGUAUUAGUUUUAUUUUUGUUUAAUAAUUGGAUUUAAACGCGAGUGCUUUCGUCACAUUUGAUACUUUGUCAAGUUUUGUCAAGUUUCGAAGACCCCUAAGCUCUUCAAGAUCCUUAAAUUUUCUUUUCAAGCUAUCAUAUUACGGAAUAAUUUCUUGUGGUUUUAAUGCCAAAAGAUUGGAAGAAGGUACUGUAUAAAAUUUACUUGUUUUAAAAAGCAAUCUCCUUAGUUAGUAGGUUAUAUAAAACAACUCAUAAAAUGAAAGUUUAUCUGCAAAUUAUGUACAUCAUGUGUCUAGAGAUAAUUUAUCUUAUUGUAUGUUCAACCAAAACAGUUGUUGAAAUUAUAUGCUUAAUUUCUAUGACUUUCCAGUAAUCUUGAUAAAUUUUUAUUAAAAAAAGGCAAAGUAUAUGCCUUCAACGAAGAAUAUGAUGGCCAAUGUAGAACAAAAACACUAUUAUAUAUUUCCAAUUCAUUCAUCAAAUUAUAGUAACAGCAAAAUUUACUAAUCAAAGCAGGUGAUAGUUUGGAUUUUGAUUAGGUUCCGCGGGAAUGCACAAGCCUUAAAGAGGUAAAUGUGAUACCUCCAAUUUGUCCCAUACCGAAAAUUUGCGGUGAACUUGUUUGGGAUAUGACUUUAGAUUCAUUGGGCUAGGAAAAAAACCUUGCUAAAGGCUGUUGGGCUAAUCCUUGGGCUCAAGGAUACUCUCAUGGAAGAGAACCGAGUCAAGUUAAUCACUCGAUGAGGAGUAAGAUUUGUCAGACAUCUGAUGGGGUCUGAGAAUUCUAUCAGAAAUGAAUUCUACGAGAUCAUCUUAGUCUACUACGCUUAUGUCGCUUUCUUUUUUCCCUUAUGCCGCUUUCAUUUCUGAUAGAAUUCAUCCAUGUUUGCAUCUUAGUCUUUUUGAUAGAGAAUUCAUCCAUGUUUGCUCUUUUUGAUAGAGAAUUUUUGCUCUUUUUUCCCUUAUGUCGCUUUCAUUUCUGAUAGAAUUCAUCCAUGUUUGCAUCUUAGUCUACGACGCAAACAUGGAUGAAUUCUCUAUCAAAAAUGAUAGAGAAUUCAUCCAUGUUUGCGUCGUAGACUAAGAUGCAAACAUGGAUGAUGCAAACAUGGAUCAUUUCUGAUAGAAUUCAUCCAUGUUUGCAUCUUAGACUUGCAUCUUAGACUUAGUCUAAGAUGCAAACAUGGAUGAAUUCUAUCAGAAAUGAAAGCGGCAUAAGGGAAAAAAGAAAGCGACAUAAGGGAAAAAAUACGGAUUAAAUUAGUGAAUAAAGGGACUAACAUGGAUGAAUUCUAUCAGAAAUGAAAGCGACAUGGAUGAAAUUAGUCUUGACAGCCGACACUGAAAUUUGUCAUUCAGGCAACUCCUUGAUUGAGUGGUUAACGUAGUGUGAAUGGAAAUUGGAUGGAAAGCCUAGAUUAGGUCAAAAAUAUUUUCUUUGGAGGGCCAAUCGACUGAGAAAUUCUCAAGUUUUUUUGUCAAAAGAGAAAUUUUCAAUUUGAAGGGUAUGAUUUAAAGUUUUUGUGCGAUGUUCCAGUUUGCGAGUUUAUCUGCGGCACCCAUUUGUCCGAGUUCCCUCUACCAUAAAAAUGAAAAAGCUGUCAUGGUCCUAUGAAAAAUUUAAAACACCUGGGUCAGUGGCGGAGCUAGGAAUUGCAAUUUGGGGGGCGAGUCUCUGUUAUUUGGAUCAAGUCCAAAUAACUUUCAAAUAUUAUUGUUUGGGUCCUUGAGAGGGGGCAAAGUGAAAAUUUUUAUCAAUAUUUUGGGGGGACAAAGCAAUAUAAUAAAAAUUUUUUUACUUAGAAAUUUUUUUAUAACAAUUGGAGGGGGGGCAAAGUGAAAUUUUUUAUCAAUAUUUGGGGGGCAAAACAAUAUAAUAAAAAAAUUUUUACUUAGAAUUUUUUUUUUUUAACAAUUGGAGGGGGGGCGGUUGCCCCCCCUGGCCCCCCCUUCCCUCCGCCCCUGACCUGGGUGAAAGAUUAAUAAAUAAAGAAGCUGCACAAAUCUAAUAUUUGAGUUCUUUUACUCUAUUUUGGAGCAUAAGCAGGGCAAAUUUCACCCUAUUUGAUCACCACUUCAAGGGAGGUGAUCCAAUGAUUUUUUAGUGUAAUUGCAUGUUUUGAGUAUUUUUUCUUUAAUUAGUCAUUUUUAUUCAUUUUAAGUUUCAUUUGUUUUAUUUAAUUUUGAUGAUUAUUUGAGAGGCAUUAAAAUGUCAAGUUGUAAUAGAUAGGUGCUCAAGACAUGUAUUUAGCUAGUUUAUGUAAUAGAUAGAUUUUAAUUUUUGCUGAAAAUAUAUUUAGUUAGAUAAAUAUAAUAAUUAGAUUAUUAUUAUUUCAAUUUUCCCCUUAAAUUAUAGUUAGGGCUCUCGAAUAUAAUAAUUAGACUUUUAUUUGCGUUUAUAUGCUUGUGUGUUUGCAUACUUGUGUGUUUACGUGUUUAUUCGUUUUCACUAGGCUUUGAAAGUAAUUUUCACAUCCAGAAUAUGAAAGUCUCACAAAGGAUAUGAACCCAUUUAAACACAACUGCCAUAGAGGAUCCCAACUGCUAUAUAAACACAACACAACACCGGCAGCGAACCCAUUGAGAAGUUUUCUUCCGGAGAUUUACCCGUCUCAGAAAUUUUGGGCGAACUCAGGCUUUUGCAGCCAUCAACUUCUUCUUCACCUUGAUGGAGUUCGCUAAGGGCUUCCCGGUACGGAAAUGGUGGGAGUCUAGAAACAGGGCCGCCCAACUCCUCCCACCACCAUUGCCAACCGUGAAAAUCCAACAACUCCCACCACAAUUGCCAACCGUACAACUCAAACUCAAACCCAGUGCAGCAUCUCAACUUGAGGAGCAGCUGUCCCUGCCUGCCGUCCGGCAACCAAAUAAUAAUGGCGAUGAUCAGAACCCCAACUUCGUUGACUAUGUGAUGAAGAUGCAGUGGGCGUUGCUGGUCAUCGGAGUUUGUAUUGCAGCCUUUAGCGCCGCCUUGCAAGCUCUCCGUACUCCUGCACCUCUCCCUCCAACCUUUCACUGGCUUUGCAUGCUUCUGGAGCUGGCCGUUCUUGCUUUGUUGGUCUCCGUUUACAUCCGCCGCCGUUACGAGACGGCAUCUCUUAUCAUGGCACAUGUUGCAAUUUUCAUGGGCGCCACUGAUUCAUGCUGGCCAUUGCAGUGGCACUUCCGGCUCCGCUAAUGGGGAUAUCCAUCGCACUCUACAUCGUUGCAAUCCUCGCAAUCAUCUUUGCUAAUCGUUGAAUCUCCUGCUCAGGUAUUUGUUUAUUAACUUUUUCUUUUUCUUUUUGGCAUUUUUCAGCAUAUUUUGAAUUUGUUUUGUUAUAUACAUAUCUACCCGGCUGAAACAGGAAUUGCCAGGACGUACUACUGUGUUAUUCUCUGAAAUGCUCGAACAUCUUCGCUGAUUUGAUGACGACAAAAUUCUCCUAAAAGUUAAGCUCAUGCUUUUUCGCUUUGUCUUUUCAUUUGUGUAUUUUACGAAUCCGUGUAAACAGGGCAGAUGUUGUUGUUUUUGCUGUUGUUGUUUUCGGAAAUAAGCUCAAGGAUGUAUUAGGAUUACCAUGUUCGUACUAUUCCAUUCUUGGAAUGUGGACAUCAUGCUAUAUUUGAAUUUCUGGUUAUACGUAAGUGCAUCUUUCCUGUUAUGAAGAGUGUAAAGCCUAUUAUUUAUUGGAUUGAUGGCACUGAAUUAUUUAUUUCACAAAAAAGAAGAAAAAGAAGAGAUUCGAAAUUUCGAAUGUCAAGCCUAUAACAUAGUUGACCUGAUAAGGUCCUGAACGAAUGCUGCUCGCUGCGUUCUGUCCUCAGAAUCUUGUUCUUGAACUGCAUCUGGGAAAGAUGGCCAGUUACUGCAAGAAGAAAAUUCUGUCAUCCUGUCUUGAAAGCAGAGGUCAUGCACAAUAGAACUCUAAUCUUUCACCAGUUCACCAACGGAUGGAAUAUGGCAACUAUUCUGCUAUUCCUUCCUUUUAUUACAAAAUGUUGUUGAUCAUUUGGUGAUUUUCAGAGGAGCAAAAUCUUUAGGAUUGGAUUGGAUUGAAGAAAAAUUUGCAAUGACAUUACAUACUUGCUAAACAGAAGCUCUGCCACCAGAGCAAACAACAAAAACGCUACACUAUUAUCAAAUCAACUGGCAUGCAUACAUAGGAAAAGUAAUGCAGCAGCUUCUAUCGAGUAUGAUCGUUCACACAGACAUUAAUUUGACAAGCAUCGUUCACUGUUCUGCAUUUCCAUUUCACUGACUCUAUCCAAUUUACAUGCUCUGGCAACUUUCUUAUAAACUCACUGCAGUGGAUUGCCAUUAAAAUGCCUUCUAUUUUCCAAGUACCCCGGAUAUAGAUUGCCAUUUUCACUUUGAUUUUUCUUUUUCUUUUUUUGGGUUUGAGUGGAAGGAUUGGAGAGCAGGGGUGAGCGUGAUAAACUGCUCAAAGAGAUAGGCUAUCAUAUGAGUGGAAGUUAGACAAGAAACUUAGGCAUCAUCAACAAUGAAUCCACUUCAAUCUAAAGCGAAUCUUACGGCAUUUAUUGUUGGUGUUAAACCAUCUGCUCCACCUUAUUCCCUCUAUUUAGGCAAAGAACAAAAAGAAUUAUAAGAAAAGGAUAGCUUAUAUACACGAGGAAUAAAGUUACAUAAGACUAGUAGUGCUCUGUGCUCUUAUCGGUCUUGCCAUCCAAAGCAAACCCCCAGACACGUGAUAACUGACAUGGACAUGCUGAAAGACAAUAACUUUUUGGGCUGCAACCAAGAAACGAAAAGUUUGAUUUCUGGAUUUUCCUAAAAAUGUAAAAAAAAAUGCUUUUAUUAGACCAAAAAAAAAUGAUGCAUUCUCUUGUUCGGUUUUCUACCCAAAAAAAAAAAAAAUGAUACACUACAUCUCAGUUUAAACAGCUUUUUCAGCUUCAUCUGUAUUCGUUCAACUGCAAUUUUGGGCUUCACAAUCAAGAAUAUUAGCUAGGAUUUGAGUCAUGCUGAGAACUUCUCCUAUUGAAAUAAGGUACUUCUUGUGUCUUAUGUUCACUUUGAUGUAGAAUCAGAGAAUCCUCUUUUUCAUUCUCCAAUCAGAAAAUUUGCGAAGAAGCUAGUAGAACCUGAAAGCAUGUCAAAGUCUUAAUUCCUAUGAUAGUGAAGAUACUCACACCGCUUGAAAACUGUGAAGCUACCAUUACAAGUUUAUCAUCUACCAUAAAUUAUAGUAUGAUACGUAUGCAUUCUAUUAAGAUGAGUAAUCAAACAUUAAUAAUUACCAGAAAAGAAGUUCAGGCAGAAGACAUACUUUAUGGAAUUUCAUCCUGAGCAAAAUAAAAAUGCUUUUCAUUUUCCAAUUAAAUCAACCCAGAUGAUCUUAAAUUGGCGUGCUUUCAUCAAUAAAUCAAGGCGGAGGAGCAGAAGAGUGGGUUGCCCUGCCCCGAUUUAUUUUUUUAGUGUAGUAAUUUUUCUUUCUAGCGUUUCCAAUUAGUACCAUUAAUUUUUGGGCAAAAUAUCUUGGCGCCCAUUAAACUAUUUCCUACGUCUAUUUUUCAUCAUCAAACUAUUUUUCAUCACAAUUCAGCCACUCAACUAACUAAACGGUAUAUAUGUGGUCAUCUUGUCGGAUUUUGCUCUUAAUUUACAAAAUAAACCAAAUGCGUGCAAAUCACAUGUCAAAAUUUAAGGGUCAAUAUGUCCACUAAACUUCUCAAUCUGAACCUAAAAACUCUGAUGGCCACUAAACUUUUUCCACUCAUACACUUUUGACCACUCAAAUAUUUUUUGUUUCAAUAUAGUCACUUAACUCUUAAAUCCGUGUACUAGUGCUCAUUCCGUCAAACAUUUUUGUUAAUGCUAACGGACUGAGCUCCAUAUUCAUUUCACGUACCAAAAAUAAAGAUAAUUUCUUAAGAUCAAUUUUUUAGAUUUUUUCCAUCUAGAGUUUUAGAUUUUUUUAAUUGACAAAAAAAUAAAAUUUAGAAUAUUUUAUAGUUGCUUUAAUAUAUUCUAAUUUAAAAGUUUUGACAAAAAUUACUCUACAAUAAAAAGAUGUAACUAUUCGUUGUCCUUUGCUUUCCUUUCUUUGCCAAAAAAAAAAAAAAUUCAAUCCAAUCUCUGUUAAGUGUCUCUAUCAGAAUUGGAAUUGCAAUUAUGUCCAAUCAGAAUAUAGAACAGGACACAAUUGUAUCAAUUUGGUAGCUGACAUAGGAUGGAGGAAGAUCAUUUUAUGAGUCCUAAGGCUAAGGCACAAAAACAUUAGUCCUUCUAAUGCCAUAUUAUCAAGACAUUUCCUAGGCAUUUCGUUCAGCUUUGCAGAAACACAUUCCCCUUUGCCACCGAAAAAAAAUUCCCUUGAAGCACACAUUAAUUGUUCCGAUAAGGAAUGUGGUGGGGAAAAUUCAGGCUUGCAGUCAAUAUCGUGAUCGACCUGGCCAAGCAGCUCCCUCUAUGGAGGAGGGUAAGGCCAAUUCCACCAGAGUUGCCUACUGCCCAAGUUGAGCCUAGUGGUGAAGUAUCUGAAACAGAGGAGCUGCAGCCUGCGCGUAUGGUGGAGCAGCAGCAACCCGAUCAAAGUCAUCAUGAUCGAGCCCAGAUUGACAACGUGAUGAACAUGCAGUGGGUGUUGCUGGUUAUUGGAGCUUGUUUCGCGGCCAUUAGCGUCAUCUUGCAGGCUCUCCAAACUCGUGCAACUCUCCUUGUAGCUUCAACCUUUCCUUGGUUCUGCAUGGCUGUCGAGAUGGCCUUAUUAGCUUUGUUGGCAUCUGUUUACAUACGUCGCCAUUACCACAAAACAUCUCUUGUCAUGGAGCACGUUGCAAUUUUCUUCUGCGCUGUUGCGCUUCUCUUGGCCAUCUGGAUGAACCUCGAUCCCCUGCUCAAGCAGAAAUCCGUCGCCAUCUUCUUCAUUGGGUUCACAAUAAUAAUCCUAGCCAAUCGUUCUCUGCGUGACUGGUGAAUUUUUUCUUUCUUUCCAGUAUUUUUCACUUUAUUUUGGUUUUAUAACAUUUGUUAAUACAUAGAUAUAUCUGAAACAGGGUUUAACAGGACUACUGCAGUGUGAUCCUCUGAGAAGUUGGAAUUCUGUUUUCCACUUCGUCUUUUCAUUUUCAGUUUUUUAGUAAGUACUUUUUUUUUAUAUGCGUUGGACACGUACAUGUAAAACAGGGCAAACAGAGACCUUGUUGUUGUUGGAGGAGAUGCCUGGACUAUAAUUCCUUUAAAGAUACAUGUACUACUAUGUUUGACUUUUCCUUUCUUAAACUGUAUGCUGUCUAUAUUUAAGUGGAUCUUUUUUGCUUACAAGCCUGCCUGUUAUGGGAUUGAUGGCACUCAACUUUUUUUUCCCUUUUUAUCUUUUUUUUUAGAGAGAGAGAGUAAGGAAAGGAUUGGACUCGCAAUAAUUAGAUCUUUCCAGUUAUGCACCUCAGUAUUGGAUUUGUUGAAGUGCACGAAAGGAAAGAAGAAAGGCUGUGGAUAGGAAUUAAUGAGAUGGUUCAGGUUGAACUAGUACUAAGAUCGAGAAAAGAGAAAUGGAUUAAUGGAUAAUGAUUGAUCAUUGACUCCAAACUGCCUAGACUGCUGAUGGAUCUUUCCUAGACUGUUGAUAGCUCAAUAGCGUUUGAGUAUGAUGGAUGAUCCGAUCCCUUUACAAGAGACCUUUUAAUUGCGUUCACCAUAAAAUUCACCCAACAAGCCAAGAAUGACACCAAAAUGGAUCCUGACAGACAAACCAAUAAUACACCAUCUAAUAUUGUGAUUAAAUAUGAGUCCAAGGUGUGAAUUAUGUAACCAUUCCCUUUACAAGUUUAACCAAUGCCCAAUUGAUUAAUGAGUCAUUGUAACAUCUUGCACUGCUAAGAGCAACCUGAUACCCAAGUCCACAAAGCAAUGAUCCUCCCUAAGUUUAUCUAUCACAGUAUAUUGAGAGCAGACAAGCCUAGAAUACUGUAGGAAGGUCAAUGGUAAUUGUGUCAUCCUAUAUAGAAAAUGAAGGUCAUAAAGCAUGCAGCAUUAGUCCAAUCAUGGUUCAAAGUCGUGGUCGCGGUCACGGUCGCGGCCCGGAACGUUCCACAUCGGUUUCAGCAUAUCGGUCGCGGUCUCGGUGAGACGCAAAUUUUAAAGUAUUUAAUAUUCUAAAAAUUAUUAAUAAUAUAAAAAAAGUAUGCUAAACAAAAAUAAUAAAAAAUAGCAAAAGAAAUGGCCAAGUCAAUCCGUCACGGUGUAACUCGGCCGAUUUCUCGUCUUGACUCGGGAUAACUCGGAGUGACUCGGCCGAGUCAAUCCGUCGCGGUGACGUCUCGGCCGAUUUCUCGGCGAGUCAAGUAUCUCGGUAUCGUAUCGUCACGGUAUCGUAUCGGUAGGGGCCGAGACGGUGACGACUCGGCCGAGACUUCGAACCAUGAGUCCAAUGCAGUCAUUGUACCACUUCACUGACUGAGAGUACAUCUUUAUCGUUCCUCUGUUCUUUCCUAUCUUACCAUAUCACAAACUACUGUUGAUUGUUGGGAAAUUUCCAGUCAGUAAAAUCCUUCCCUUGCACGUUCUAUUUUGAAUAACUUCAGAAAAAUGACAAAAAAAUGACAGCAAUUAAUUGCUCAAAGCAUGCUCUACACCAGAGCAUACAAGGAAUUGGUUCUCUUAAUCUAUCCACUGCCAUGCAAACAGAGCUAAAGUAAUGGAGCAGCUUACAUCGAGUUCGACCUUUCAUUUAAUCAUUAAUUCGACAAGCAUUCACUCUAUCAUGUUUAAAUGCUCCAGCAACUUUCUCAUAGACUUACUACUGCUUUGGCUUACCGUAAUUGCCUCCGCCCCCCCUCUCUCUCUCUCUUUAGGUUGUGGUGGAGGUAUUCUUUGGUAUCCACUGGAUGUCAGAGAAGAAACUGGAGCAUUAUUAACAAAAUGGAUCCACUACACAAUCUGAGGAGUAUCGUAUGACUUUUAGUAAGGAAUGAAAAGAACAGUAAAUUUAAUGAAAACAAGAAGUUACUGUAUAAAAGAGGACCAGAGAUUCAAGAAAUACUGUCUAGAAUUCUUCUUCUCAGAAGCGAUCACUUUGCUCUUGUUUUUAUUGGAUUUUCCAUGCAAGCCUACCCUCCAGCAACAUGUGAUAACUCACAUUUGAUCUACUGAUAGAUGUUCAUUUGUGCAAGUAUAUUGUGGGCUUCAACUUAAUGACAAGCUAAUUAAUGUUAAUAGUUGUUAACCAAAAAAUGUUAAUUUGGCAGUUCAAAUUUUUUUUUUUUAGCUUCAUCUGAGUUUCAGUAACAACACUUUGGCUUCAAAAUCAAGAAGUCUAGGGAGAGAUUUAUGUGGAGAUUUUUUUCAAAAUAAGAGACUUCUGUAUGGUAUUUACUCUUUCCGGUUUUCUAGAGCUGUUCCAGUUAGAUGCUUAUCAACUAUCAUAUCCUUUUCUUUCCCUUUUUUUUGUUUUUUAACUUCUCCAAGCAGAAAAUUUAAACAGAAGCUAGCAGAACUAGAGAGCAUCUAAAGUUCUUCACUCCUCUGAGAUUAAAAAUCCUCAUAGCCAUGCUUGAAAACUAUGAAUGGAAGGGCUCAAGUUACUCAUCAAUCAGAAGACUAUACAGCUCCCUUUUAUCAAAGGAAGAACUAAAUUCUUAGGAUAAAUUACCAACAACAAAAAUAGAGAAGAUUUGCAGCUUGUAGAAAUGCAUUCUGAGCAGAAUACUAACUUACAUUUUUUUCAACAAACAGAAUACUGACUUACAUGUGUGAAGAGAUUGUGUUCCCGUAACUGGAAGUAUGUAAUUCCUUUGACGACUAGUGCUAUAAUUCAUCUGUCAUUGAUGUUUUAUGAUUACUGAAUUUAUCCCUUUCCUUUAAUUGUAGAGAUAACAUGAUUUGACAUCUCCAAUUGAGAUUGUCGUUCACGACCAGGAGCCAAAACCAAAGUUCUGGUUUACUUGUUUGAUCAUCCAUCUGCAAAGAAUUAAGGGAAUUUUGCAGGCAUGCAUAGUAGUGAUAAUAUUGGGAAAAAAAAAUGCCCGUGGAGCAAGGACAGAGGGAGUUAUGUUGCAUUAGAGAGAGUUAUCUCCUGCUUCAAACCUACCCGUUAUCAUCCUUAUUCAAAGAAGAAAGAAAUAGAAAGAACAAUUAGGGAAAAAAAAAAAAAGCUUAUCCCUAAAUAGUAGUAUUCAGAAUAAAUGUAUUACAAGUUUUAUGGAAUGCUCCAAGGUGGGGGAUGAUCAUCAAAGGGGUUUCAAAAACGAAAAUUAGUUUGUAGGGAUAAGGGGUAUAACAAUGUUUAAUUCGUGUACGGUAGUAGAAAGAUGGUCAUCAUCAUCACAUUGAAAUGUAUUACUACAAGUUUCGACUCAAAAUGAAAACUGGAAAUUUAGGGGAAUUGUAUAUACAAAAAAUCAAGAUUAGCCCACUUGAGUGAAAGUUACUAAAAUUUCAAAAGAAAAAAAAAAUGAGGGGAAUUCAAAUCUAUUGAGACUGAGAUUUUGGGCCAGCCCCAUUUCAUUUUCCUGAGCAUCCAACAGAACUACCCAAUAACUAAACAUGCAUAACACUCCAUGGCACAAGAUAUUUCUUGCACUAGAGAAUUUGAAAUUAAAGCCCAUGCUGUCUCAACUGGAUCAAAAUUUCAGCAGCCUGGAUCAAAAUUUCAUUUUCUCCUUGUCAUUAUUGUUUUCUUUUUGAUUCAUUCUUUGCAGUCAACGGUUCAGCAAAAAAUCAACGUGACGCGAGAGAUGUUUCAAUGAUUUUACUACUGCUAUAAUUUAAGUUUCUUAAUUUUUUGGAAUGUGGAAACGAUGCUUUGAUUGGAUUUCGUCUUUGUGGAUCACGUUGGCUCGAUUCCAAUGACUUGACCUAUGGCACGAAGUGUUUAUUAUAUAUAUUAUAAAAGAAACAGUAAAAAAAAAGACAGAGACAUGGAAACGUAAGGCACGAGACAUUUUUCCCCCCCUUUUUCUUUUUGUCAAAACCGGGCAUUUGUCUUGAUAUGACACGAACAAAAUAUAUUCACACUAACCGUAUCGACAACGACACGGCCAAGAUUAUGCAUUACUAGAUUUUACUUAUUUGGUUUUGUUCUAAAAUGGUUAAAUACAGAGUUACCAAAGUAAGAGUCCAAACUACCUGUACCCAAGAAAACUGCAUUACUUAUUUGGUUUUGUUUUUCUAUUGAGAAAAAGAAUGGCUUCCAUAGUGCAAUAGAAAUACAUACAUAUAUAUAUAUAUAUAUAUAUAUAUAUAUAAAGACUGCGAUCUCCCAUAAUGAGUUGGGACUGGGAAUAAAGAACGUUGAUAUUCCUAAAUUGAUUUGCUAAUUUAGCAAACUAAACAUAAACCUUAUUUUGUAUUAAGCAUAGGAUGGCAUGGAUAUAGCUUAAUUAAUAUAUUUUUUUUAAAGUAAAGAGGACUAAUUAGAUAUUUGGUUGUACGACUAGCUUUGAUGGGGGAAUUUUGGAAUACAGCAAAUUGUAAACUUAAAAACACCAAAAGCUGUUUGAACAUGUUGAUAUUCCUAAAUGCCAUUUUUCCACAUAAUUUAUACUUGCUAUGUUGAGUCACCAUUUCAUAGAGGUAAUGCGUACUUCUGUAAUUAGCUCAAUUCACGGUAGUUUGAAUCUAAGCAUUAGAUUGGAGAGUAGAGCUUCGAACAAAAGUGAUUAAGCAUAGCAUGGCAUGGAUACAGCUUAAUUUUUCCAUUCUAAGGAUUCAAGAAUUAUACUAUAAAAAAAAAAAGAGGGCACAGAAAGAUGUGUUUGUACAAUUUUCUUAGUACAAUUUUUAAAUUACUUUUUUUUCUACCUCACAUAUAUUACGCCUCAAUAAUUAAGUGCUAUAGGUUUUUUUUUACAAAAACUAAAAAAAAAAAAAAAUCCCCAAAAACGCAAUGCAGAUAGUCUCUUAAUGUGCUAAAAAUGUGCUCAAAUUAGAUUUGACAUCUACUAAUAAACGCUUCCAUGCUUACAAGGCCAGUUGAAUCGGUUUUGUGAUUCCUCUUGUCUAUUCUUUGCUUCUGUUUGGGAUGACGAAACUUUACCCAGAGGAUUAUUAGUAUGAAACACUUCCAAAAUGGAUUGAGCUUCCAAUAUUAACUGAAUAUAUUCUACGUACUAUGCCAUACUAUUGGUACUAAACUAAAAGAGCUCUUUGAUCAUUAACCCUAAUAUUGGAGAGACCAAUUCCAAAAGUGAGGGUGUCCAGAUGAGAUGAAUUGUUCUCAAUUAACUUUUACUGACUUUUUAGUGUGUAACUCGUAAGUCCUAACCCUAAUAUUGGAGAUGUCACAAGUGGGAAAAACAGUUGGGGUUGGUUGACUUUCUUAAUUGUCCCAUCGGUCGCCGAACAUUAUGUAACUCGUUAAAAAGUCGAUUAAUUCUGUGGGUCGUUAAGUUAAAAGCUAUUUGAGGUUAAAAAAAAUUAAAAUUUAGAAAACCGUGGAACGAAGUUACGGUUCACUUGGUUGCUAGCUCAUUACAUCAUUCCACUGCUAGCCGACAUCCCCCCGGGCACAAAAUUUUGGAGCGAAGUUUUCUUUGGGGCCCAAAAAUAUUUGCGCUGACAAGAAAAUUUUAGCACGGGCGAAAUCGUCGGCCAAACCUCGAAUUUCUCUUGACAAAACGUCGUUAAAUCGAUGCUUGAAAGCCGUUUAACACGAAGUGGUUAGUCUAGUCAUUCAUUGAAAUCGAUGCAGACAAUAUGAAUGACCACUUAUUAACAAACCAAACAACGCGAGGCAUUGGAUCGGGAGUUUUCCUUAUCUUUGGUAGGGAUGGGCCAAAAAACCUGCCGAUCCGAAAAAUCGAUCCGAAAAAUAGGAUAUUCGAUCCUAUUUUUUUUAGCGGGGUAAAUGAGGAUUGGGUACCCGCAAAAAUCGGAUACUGAUAUGGAUCAGAAAAAUAAAAACCCGCGGGUACCCGAACCGCAGGGUAUAUUAUAUAAAUAUUAAAAAAUUAGGGAUCAUUUUAUAACUUUAUAAUUUUUAAUUCUAAGUGCAAGUGAAGUGGCUUACAGUCUCAUAUUCUAAUCCCAUAUGAUCCACCUCUUCUCAUUUUGUUUGAAGAAAGCGAAUAUUUUCGGUGAAACAUAAAUCAAAUGAACAAAAUGAAAAAAUAUUUGUGAAGCCCUGUUACAAAAAUUGUUCAUUCCUUUCAUUCUUUUUAUUUUUAUUCAUCCUUUCAUCGAUUUUUCCUGCAAAUUUUGCAUCAACUCAAUCAAAGAUUUGUGUUUGGAGGUUCAAUUUUCUGUUAGCUAGAUAAUUAAAACAUUUGUGUCUUUCAUUUAUUUAUUUAUUUGAUUUAUUUUAUUGCAAUUAUGUCUCUUAAAUUUGUCUCUUUUAUUUAGUGUAAGAAAUUUAUUUUUCUUUUUCAUCACCUUUAAUACCAUAAGGUCUAUUCCAAAGAUAUAAAGAAGUUGGGGAAGAUUUUUCAAAGUUAUUUUGGUUAUACUUUUUCCAAAAAUAAUUAGUUCUAUUCAAUUCUUUUCCGAACUUGAUUUCACAAUCAACUUAUUUGGGAUGCAGUCUUGUACCAUAACAACCUUGAGGAAGUUGGGGAAGUUGCCAAAUACUUAUUAUCCUUGUGUUUGUUGUGUUGUAGAAGGAUGAAAUGUGUGAGAAUGGUGAUGUACUCAAAAUUAUUAUGAAAUUUCAUUUUGUCUAUUAGAUAUUAUAAUUCUAAUAUGUACUUAAUUUAUGAGAUCAAUUUGAUUGUUGGAUGAAAUGUGUGAGAAUGGUGAUAUAUGGACUUUAAUUACUAUAUAUGUACUAAUAUUAAUUGGAAAGCAUGUUUUUUUAUUGAAAAACAUGUUGACAUUAAGUGGAAAGCAAUUUUUUUUAUUGAAAAAUAGUUUUUUUUAGGGGUGGGUACCCUAUGACCCACCUCUUUUUUCGGAUACCCGAAGACAUUAGAAGCGGGUUAGGGUCACAAAAUGGCUGAUCCGAUAUAUUAGGGUCGGGUCAACCAAAUCAUAUUAAGAACGGGUACGCGAUCCGUGCUCACCCCUAAUCUUUGGCAAAGCUAAUACUUAAAGUCUAAAACUAGGGCACCGGUUGUGUGGGUGAAAAUGUGCCACGAAUUUGGAUUAAAAUAGGAAGUAAUUAAGAAUUCCUAAGCUGACUUGCACUUUUUAAUUAUACUAAUUGGCAUAGUUAAUCUUUAAAGAGCUAUUAGAUUUAAUGACGUGUAAAAAAAGUCUACAUUAAUUACGAUAAGAUUUUGCCGAAGGAUUUAUAUCUAACUUACCAUGCACACACUCAUAUUUAAUACGCACUACUAUUUAGACAUUUUUCAAAUUAGUUUUACAAUUGUCAAAAAAAAAUUUAAUAAUUGAGGCCCUUUUUAAUGAUUGUCUCUUGGGUACCUAUUAGCCAAAUUCUCAUAAUAAUAUCCAAUAGAGAUAUCAAAUUUUAGCACUACUAGCUUGCUCAUAAUUAAAAAUCCUGAAAUAGUAUCCUAUGUUACGUCUGAUUACCAAUUGCAACUUUUGUAAGUAAUUAUUAAGUUCUAAGGGCAACAUCCAGUUCAAGGACUAGCAUCAUUAACAACAUUAUUUUAAAUGAGGAAGUCUAGAGGUGGUCUUCAAAAUUGAGAUCAAUUAGCAAUUGCAAAUUUUGUUGGUAAUUAUAAAGUUCUAUGGUGGCAUCCAAUUAUAUGCCUAAUUAAUAUUGAUAAUAUUAGUUAAUAAUCGUUAAAAGGUCCUAACUGGCACCCAAUUUCAUAUCAAUUGCAACUUUUAUUAGUAAUUAUAAAGUCCUAAAGUGACAACCAAUUCAAAGACUAAUUAGUAAGUUGUUGAGUUAGAUAGUUCUAUGUAAUGCCAACUUUAUAUUUCCAGUUGUCGUCACCCAGGCGUAAUUAGUGUUUGUAUACUUUUGUUUUAUUUAUUCUUUUUAUAUAUAAUAAUAAUCAAAUCCAUUUCUCUUUACUUACUUUUUUUAAAAAAAUAAUUUUAAUGAAUUUUUAAUUUUCCUACCCUUUUUAUACAUUAUAAUUAAAUAUUACUAUUUUAAAAUUUUUUUUUAUCAAUCAACCCAUAAUAUUCCUACCUCAUGGUUUCCCUAAUAACAUGUUCUCACCUAAUUUCUUUUCAUGCCAAUGAUAAAGAAUAUUACAUAUACUCACGUCAUUGUGUAUGUGUAUUCCUAGCUUAAUUAUAUUUAUGAUUUUUAAAAAUCUUGACAACUUCAUAAUUCAAUAAUUCAUUUUCUUACUUUUAGCAUAUUGCUGGUACUAAUCCAUUUAGUAAGUAAUUAAUUAUAAAUGUGUAAGGUGACAAUUAUAUAUAGCAUUAAUUAGUCUUAACAAGUUUAGUAAUUGAUAUAAAGGCAAAAAGUGGCAAUUAUUUUUAGGCCAAAAUAGUAUUGACAAGUUUAAUAAGUGCUUAUAAAGUCCCAAGUUGAUAAUCAAUUUUAAGAAUGACUACUAUUGGCGACAUUAGCGAAACAAUUCCAGAAGUCUAAAGUGACAAAACAUGUUAAGGGUACUUAAUUUGUGUUAACAUAUUAGUCAAACUAUUAGAAAGGCCUGGGUUAAAAUCAAAUUUAAGCAUAAUUUGUAUAGGCAAUAUUAGUCAAACUAUUAGAAUUGUCUAAUGUGGCAAUCAAUUUUAUGCUAAUUAGUGUUAUCAAUAUUAGUCAAAUAAUUAAUAAAAGGAUAAGGUGACAAUCAAUUUUAAGCAUAACAAGGGUUGAUAAUUCAAUCAAAUAAACAAAAACGCAUGAGCUGACAAUCAAUUUUACAACUAAUUAGCAUUUACAAUUUUAAUAAAAAAAAUUAAAAGGUCUAUGCUACCAAUUAAUUAUAAAACAUGUUUAUUAAGUACUUACAAAGGCCUAACAUGCAAUCAAGUUUAAGGUUAAGUAAAUAUCAAAAUAUUAGUAAGUAAUUGCAAAAAACUAAUGUGGUAACCAAUUAUAAGGUUAAUUAGAAUGGACAAUUUUUAGUCAAAAAAAAAUUUGAGUAUGAGGUUUCACCUUUUUUAGUCCCUUACUUUUACAAUGGUGUUCUUUUGGCCCUUCACAUAUCCAAAAUGCACCAUUUUCAUCCCAAUUCUCAUUUUUAGCUAUAUUUUCACUUUUAAUUCUAAUUGUGAACUAAUUUGGACCAAAGCUCAAAAAAGGAAAAGAAAAGAAAAAAAGCCAUUCUUUAGGUUCCUAAGUUCAUUCUUUGAAAGUUUUCAAACUCAUAUUAUUCUUUUUAAGAUAUUCAAACUAAGUAAAGGUUGAAUGCUAGAUUUAGUAUUUAAAAUUUUAUUUGUGGUGUUUUCAGGGUCCAAACGAAAUGUUUUCUUUGUAAUAAUGUAUUAUGAGCGAAUUUCUAGAGUUUAGUAAAUUUUUUUUUGGUCUAAAUUAUGUAGCACUUAAAAUAAGGUAAUUUACUACAUCAAUUUAGUUUCAAAUAAUAUUUUUAUAAUUUCUUUUCAUGAUUCUACUCAUAUGAUCAAAUAAAGUGCUACGUGAUUUUGACAACAUUAAAAGAUAGAAUAUAAUUUAUGAAGAUCUAAAAAUUCAUUCAUAAAAUGAUAUUAUGAACAAAACAAAUCUUGGUUGGACCAUGAAAACACCUCAAAUAAAAUUUUAAACAUUGAAUCUUACAUUCAUCUUAUAAAGAAAAAAACAACUGAUCUUGGAAAUUUCCAAUUUUACAACAAUACUCUAAAUUUUGGAGAAUGAAUUUAGAAGCUUAAGAAUGAUUUUUUUUUGUUUUGUUUUUUCAGCUUUGGUUCAGUUUAGUUCAAAACUAGAAUUAAACGUGAUGAUGUGGCCAGAAAUGAGAAUAGAGAUGAAAAAUGAUACAUCCUAGAUAUGUUAAGGGCCAAAAAUCACCACCAUUAAUAAACCGGUUUUGACUUCCUCUCUUUCACCAAAGUAUUUUGUACUAUUCCCUCCGUCCCAUUUUAAUAGUGCUGUUUCUUUUUUCAUACAAUUUAAAAAAAAGUAGUUAAUUUUGUUGGAAAAAUAAAUUUAGAUUACUAUUUUCCUAAAAUAUCCUCACAUUAAAUAUGGUACAACUUUAUGGGAAAUUGAAUUGAUGGUAAAAAAAGAUUCAACUUUCAUUAAAUAGGGUAGGUUUAUAGUAACAAUUACUUAUAUUGAAUAAGGAUAUUUUAAAAAAAUUAAAAUACAAUUAUAUUUUUUAAUUAAAAAAUAGAUUACAAUUUGGAACAGAUGAAAAAGGAAUAGAGGAUCGUAAACGACACAUCAUGACGUAGAAAGUGGCCGGAACCUUGUAAACGUAAAUGUCUUCACCCACGUGGAAAAUGUGUUAUGCAUAGAAAAUGGGGCUAUGACUUAUGAAACACGCACACAGAGCAUGUCCUUAGAAAACACAACACAUUGAAAUCUGUGCAAUAUAUGGAAAGAGCUCUCAAGUACGGUACCGUACAGCACGCGUCAUGUGAUCAAGAUUUCCCAAUCCACGACUGUGUGGGUCAGCCAUUUUUUUAUCCCCUCUGGAAGCGACAAUACCCUAAAAUUUGAUCCCUAAGCGAAGUCUCUUUUUCAAUCUUGUUGACUUCUUUCAUUUUGUUUGCUCCUAAACUUGUGAAAGAUUAGUCCCUCUUAAUUGUAGUGCAGUGCUUCCUAAAUAUAUUAAUAUUAUCUCAAUAAGACCAUGUAAUGACUAUAGAUUUCAUUUGUGGAACUUGCAACCUGGCAAGGACGUGAAUGCAAUAGAAAAUAAUGGUAAAUAACGGGUAAUUUCAUACAAAAACUAGACUACGGUAAUGGAGCUAAUUACAACGAAUAAAUGUUACCUCCAUUAAAGGGAGAAUCAACGUAGGAAAGUAUGUUUCAUGUUACAAAGUAAAAAGUGGUCAUACACUUGCAUUCAGGGAUGGGCUGGAUGCCAACAUGAUUUUCUGUUUAAGUGUGUUUAUCACUGUAACCUAUUAUCCAUCAAAACUUACUCUACAAUAAAAGAUGUAAUUGUUCGUUGUCCUUUGCUUUCCUUUCUUUGCCAAAUUUUUUUUUUCAAUCCAAUCUCUGUUAAGUGUCUCUAUCAGAAUUGGAAUUGCAAUUACGUCCAAUCAGAAUAUAUAACAGGACACAAUUGUAUCAAUUUGAUAGCUGGCAUAGGAUGGAGGAAGAUCGUUUUAUGAGUCUUACGGCUAAGGCACAUAGAAUUGCUCCGAAACAUGUAAAAAUUAGUCUCUUUUAUGUAUGUAUGUAAACACGUCUAAUCUUUUUUAAUUCAAAAGUAUAUGAUGUUAGUAUGUCGCUCAUCCUCUAAUAUCUCUAUUUAAGUAAGAUAAGGACACAUUUGUUGAUAUUAAAACAGAAGUGACACAAAGUAGGAUAUAAUUUAUUUUCUAUUUCUCCUUUUUUCAUCUCUGUAUUUUAUUUUAUUUUUUAAAUUUAGUUUUGAUCUAUUGAAUAAAAACUUUUAGAAAAAAAAAACCAAAUUAUCAACCACGGGCACCCGCGGGGGAAGUGCAGCGGGGCAAGGGGAAUUUUUUGGCAACAGGAUGGAGGACAGGAGAGGGAUCUCCCACCCAAAACUCGCCCCGUUGCCAUCCCUACACGUGAGAGUUUUCUACAUGUUUUACUAUUGUGUGAAACAUCUUUAGGGAGAGGUAUUAGCAUUUGGCUUGGCUUUUUAACAAGCCAAUUGCAAUUAAAUCUCUAACUAUUUAUAAAAGGAAUAAUUUCACAUAUUUCUCCUAAAGUUUUUAAGAAUUACAAAAAGUUCCCCUCACGUUCUAAAAAUUACACCUACCUCUCGUAUUUUCAUUGUUUAAGUAACUUUUUAGGCCCGAAAUGCUCGACCUUUUUUUUUCAAAAAUCUUGUAAUGCCCUUGAGUUAUAAUUUUCAACAAAAAAAAAGGAAAAAAAUGGUUUACAGUCUCUAUUCAUUCAUCCUUACUUGUUAUCACUGUUAACUACUCAUCAACGUCUAAAUCACCAUUAAAUAAACACUUAUCUUUGUUCUAAUAUUUCUCUUUUACCUAAAAAUUUUCGAUGCAAACUAUUGUAUCACCUAUAAAUGCCGCAUUAAAUAUCCAAAACCUUACCUACAAUCUCAUAUCAAUAUCAAAUUUUGCUUAAUACAUAACAAUAUUCAUCAAUGUCCAUAAAUUUCAAUUCCAAGGUUUCCACCUUUUUAAUACAAAAUAAUUUAAGCCAUCACUACUAAUAUCAAUAUCCAAUAUACUCCAUUGAAAUAGAGUUCAAAAUCGACCAAAGUCCCUCUAUAGGAAUAAUAUCAAUAAUUGUAAAUCAAAAAUAGAAACACAAUCAACUAUAAAUAUACCAGGAAUAUUUUUUUUCAUAACAACCAUAACAAUAUAACCUAUAUUUAACCCUAUUCCACUUCCUAUCCUUAAUUUUUUUUUUAAUUUUUUUACCACUGCCACUAUCCUCAUCUCCAUCUAAUUUGAUAAUGAAAUUAUCACUCAAUUUGUCAUUUGACAAUUUCAAUUUGCUAAUGCCUAUCAAAAAUUGGAAACAAAAAUGAGCACAAAGAAACUAUUUAAUAAUAAUUAAAAAGAAAGAAUUGAGAAAGACACCAAGAUAGGUAAGUAUUGGUGGUUUGGUGUGUAUAGUGGUUUUAUUAGUGGCGACUAUACACAUUUGAUUAAUAAGAAUAAAUAAAAGAGUUUCAAAGAAAAACAGUUGUAGAAGAAAGAAAAUAGAGAGUUAAAUGGAAAAUAGUGUACUUUUAGUUAUUAGUUGACAAUAGAUGAGAGAGAUUUAAUAUUUCAUAAAGUUUUUCAAUGAGUUGACAAUUAAUAAAGACAUUGUUGUCUUCUUAACACAUUAAAGGAGGUCUCUGUAAUUAUGUAAACCUCAAAGGCGCCGAAUGAAAUUGUCAGAAACCUCAAAGGAGAUUUCUGAAAUUAUCCCUUUAUAAAAGACUGAUCUGUCCAUUGUUAGCAAUCUUAUUCAUGAAGACAACAGCAUGCGUGGUGAAGAUUGAUCAGGUAUAUCAGGAGUGCACAUCAAGAGUAGUGGGAAUGCACCUGCAUAUGUAAUGGCCAAAACGACAUUAUCUGUAAAUUCUUGUGGGAUGAUUUUCUUCCAAAUGUUUUCUUGCUCCUGCACAAGGCAUAUCUUAAUAAAUAGUUGCUGAUUCAAAAAAAAAAAAAAAGACUUUACUCUAAAAUAUGAUUGCAUCUAAUCUAGAAAUCAUGAUGAUGACUUUAUGCUAAACUUUGAUCAUGGAUGGAGCAAUUCUUUCAACACAAAUUUUUAUUAAACACAUCCAUCAUCAUGAUCAGUGACAAUACCCUAAAAUUUGAUCCCCGUAAAGUCUCUUUUUCAAUUUUGUUGGCUCCUAAACUUGUAAAGAUUAGUCUCUUUUAAUUGUAGUGUAGUGCUUCCUAAAUAUAUUACCUCAACAUGAGUAUGCAAUGACGUCACAUUCUUGUCCAAUGACUACAGAUUUCAUUUGUGGAACUCGCAACCUGGCAAGGACAUGAAUGCAAUAGAAAAUAAUUAUUGUUCCCAUCCCCGUUUUUAACUUUUUUUUAUCUUUUAUUUGAUGUAAUUAAGAGGGUACAAGUACAAAAAAGCAAAGACAAGAAAAAAAUGCGUGGUGUAUUCGUUGGAGUGAAAUUUUAAUCUUUUGCUAUCUUUUCAGUUUUGAUGACUUUUCAUUUUUUCUGGUAAACUUGUAAAAAUAUCUUUUCCCUGUUCAUUAGUGUGGUCUUAAACAUAUUUAUAGGCGUCAUUUGGGACCAUUUCAUGUCUAAAGAAUCUAUCUAUCUCUCUCUCUCUCUCUCUGAAGAAACAUUUGGGAUCAUUUUGAUUCUUCAGACAUGUUUCUUGAGAGAGAGAGAGAGAAGAAAUUCAACAUUCUUCUUCGAGUGUGAAAAUGUAAACUUCGUUGCACCUUACCACUAAAAUAUUACUAUCAAUGACUACAUGAAAAGCCCAAAACAUAUUUAAUGUGGUGCAAAUAAUGGUCCUGCUACAGCAUACAAGUGAUUGAUCAAUUAAUGGCCAGAAGUCUAAGAAGUGGAAUAAUGUUUCAUAUGAUAUCUUUACUUCAUACAGUAGGAAUUUGCGGGGAUGAGCUCAAUGUUAUAGAAAAGUAUACAUACACCGACUGAGCAAGCCAUACUAUAGAAAAGUUGGUAUAGUCAAUAAAUUAGACUUCACAUGAUUAAUUUAAUAUGCCAUGAACAAAAACUUUAUAUGGAACGACUAGUAAGCUAGCUUAAGCUCAAGAUUGAAUAGGUUGUUUCUGCCUCUAUUUUUCUUCUUUUUUUUUUCUUUACCAGUUUAUGAGCUCGCUCAUAUAUUUUGUGGUAUAGUUAAAUGCCAUGCGGUCAAUUAGUCAGAGUAUGUACGCGUUGAAUAUUUAUGUAUGAUUUUGUCUAACAGGUGCCUAUUGAAUACCCAUUAAUAUAUAUAUUUUAGGUAUUAUAUUUUUAAAAAUAUAAAAUUAAUUAUGAAAAAUAAAUAACUACAAGGGAGGAUAAAUAAGAUUAAGCAGAGAAAAUAUAGAAAUACAAUAGAGGGUAAUAAUUGUUAGUAUGUGUAUAUAUGUGAUAGGUUUGGUAAAUUUUAAAUGUGUUACAUACAUUGGGUUUCCAUUAAAAAAAUACUUUAUGUAAAAGGCUAAAGAGAGAUAUAAAAGGUGUUAUUUCUAGAUAUAGCUAGUCCAUCUAAUUAUUCCUCUAAAUAACUACGUAAUUAUUUAGCAGGUGAUUAGAUGUUUUAUGAUUGGUAAUAUUUUAGUCUUUUCUUUUCUUGGAUGUGGAUAACAUGCUAUGGUUAAGUAUCUAAUUGUCGAUAAUUAAAUCUUUUCAAUGCUCAAACCUGUCAUUGGUUUUACAGCUCUAUAAUUAAAAAGAGACAAAAGAUAAGUAAAGAAAAGAAAGAAAGGAACAACAAAUGAAGCUGUUGGGGAAAAACAGAAUAAAAGAUUUGGAGAGAAACAGAAAGGGCUAGGAAUGAAAGAUCCCUUCAGUUCUGAAGCUGUUGUGGAGGGACUUGAAAAGGGAAAAAAACCAAAAAAAGAAAAAACAAGGAUGGAGAAAAAUAGUUUCCGCUUUAUUUUUCCCGUCCCCGUUUUCACAAAGUCGAAACGUUCUUUCUUACCCUUUCUUUUUCUUUUCUUUUCUUUCUUUUUUUUUUUUUUUCUCAAAACCUCCUAUAUAAAGCAGCUUCAACCUCCCUCCCUUUCAACCCCUCCCUCCUUCAACAUUAGCACUAAAAUACUACUACGAUGACGAAUUUCUUGAUCUUUGUCAUCAAUCUUGUCAAGCGCAUCCAUCUCUUUGAAGCCUUCACUCGGAGACCAGGCAGUCCACAACAGUCCCCGUCCUCACCUCAGUUGCCAACUAUCCAAGGAACCCAGUCUAAUGCAACACAUCCCACUCACCAGCAGCCACCCCCAAGCAAUACCGAUGCUUACAUGAGGAUGCAAUUGGCAUUAUCAGUCAUAGGAGUUUGUUUUACGGCUGCUGGUACUACUCUGCUAGCUCUCCGGACUCCUAGACCACUUCCAACUAUUUUUCACUGGCUUUGCAUGGCUCUCAUGCUGUCUUUUCUCUGUGUGAUUGUGUCUAUGUAUAUCCGAAGAUGCAUUCAGGUAGCAUCUCUUGUGAUGGACCAUGUUGCCCUAUUCUUAGCCUUCACGGCGUUCAUGCUGGCCGUCUCGAUGAACUUUCCGACCCCAUUUCUGGGCAUCACCGUGGCUCUCUAUUUCAGUGCUAUCCUUCUCAUCAUCUUUGCCAAUCUUUUGAUGCCUCGAGACUUAUCAAAUCCAUAAUCGUACAGAGUUACUUGUUACGUCUCUCUCUCUCUUUUUAAUAUUAAUAAGUCUUUAGUAUUAAUAAGUCGAUGUUGUAUAUCAUCUGGGUUGCUUGUUAUGAUGUGUUUACAACAUCUAGGUUGCUUGUUAUGAUAUGUUUUAUGUAUUUUCUGUUAUUGUAAAUCGUAUUAGACUCUAAUAUAUAUAUAUAUAUAUAUAUAUAUAUAUUUUAUAAUUCUAACUCGUUUUAUUCAUCAAGAAACAACCCAAGUUCUCUUACAAAUGCCUAAUUCUCCGAAAUGAAGACACCCCUAGCCUAUCUAGUCUGACCCCCCCACGAGCCAGCGCCGGAAGUGCGUGGAAAUUAUCAUAGACCUUGAUAUGCUGUUCAGGAUGAGAGACGCCUAUAUUGGACAAAACAUCCGCCACGGUGUUCGCCUCCCUGUAACAAUGCGAGAAUCGAGCCGGAUCAUCCACUAGCUGCCAAAUUUUCCAUGCCUCUCGUCGGAUCUGCCACGGACAUUGAACCCGCCGCUUCAGGAUCCCAACUACGACCAAUGAAUCCGAUUGUAUACUUAGAUUACCAUAGCCCCUGUGGAUACACAAUUGAAGCUCCAUCAGCAAGGCCCGAACCUUCGCAUGUAGGGAAGUAACCUCCCCAAAGAAAGCCGAAAAGGCAAUCAGAGGCAACCCCGAUGCAUAUAUAUAUAUAUAUAUAUAUAUAUAUAUAUAUAUAAGAAGUUGUUAGUAAAAAAAAAGAGUAAAUCUUAUAUACAUUGACGGUGUAUACACUAUCACGGUUGGAUAUACGAUGCAUAUGCAAAAUUUGAGUUUUAAAUUCAAAUUCAGAUUAUAUGCCAUGUAUCUAAUGGUAAAAGUAUAUAUACUGUCAGUGUAUAGAAAAUUAAUCCAAAAAAAAUAUGUUUGUAGAAUGUUCUUAAAAGAAGAAAGAGAGAUCAAUGUUUUAUAUAUGGAAAUAGCUAGUCCAUGUGACUAUUUCUUUCAAUAACUAAGAUAUAAUUCAGCAGGUGAUAAAGAUUAUAAAUGAUGUUCUAAUAUUUUAGUCUUUUCUUUGUCGGAAUAUGGUUAUCAUGCUAUGAUCGAUCUUGUAUAUUAGUUACGUGUUAGAUUCUUAAUCCAACGUUAGAUUUAUAUGUGAAUAAUUAUGUAUUACAAUUUACAUCAAAUAAGGUUUAGUCUAAUCAAAGUGAUCAAUUAUAGUUUGAAUUUUAAUGUGUCUAAUAGCAUGUGAGCCUUUAAUAUAUAGAAAUUUAAAGAUUAUUCAUAUUUCUAUGAUGGGUUGAAUAGGAAUCCAAAAAUAACAAAAAAGUUAUCUAUAAAUGAAAUUAUGGAUAAUUGUAUGUUUCGACUUUCGUGUUUUCGUGUUUCGUGUUUCGGCUUUCGGGUUUUGUUUGGAAGUCUCGGUUGCUGAUGGCAUGAAUUGUUGUUCAAAUAUAAUCUUUAUGCCUUCGGUCAAGUCGCGCCAUUGAUUCACUGUUUUGGUUACAUUGAAUCCAGUGGGUCGCAUGAUAACCAAACUUUAGUUGGCUGAUCCACUGUUUUACUAUGCUAUUUUAGUUGGCCCAUUGUUCACUUUCACAUCUCAAGCAUUCUGCUUUGAUUGAAACUGUGACUAGUUCACUUUUACGUCUUAGUUGAUUGAAACUAAGAAUCAAGUUUCCUUGUCAUAGUUAAUUGUUUAAUUUGUUUAUAUCACUUGAAUCCAGCUAUGGGUAUGCCUUCGGUUAUAAAAUUAGAACUACUAACUUGAAUUCUUUGACUUGUUUUCUUGUUUAAGAGCCAAUAUGCUUAUAUUUGUGUUAAGAAAAUUAGGGUUUUUCUAAUUUAAGUGAACCCUAAUAAAAUAAAAUAAGAUAUUUAAGGUUUACAAAGUCUAUAAGAUUGGCCCACUAAAUACAUAGUAUUUUAAGAUAUUUUGGGUUUGAAUGAUACAUUUGGAUCAAAUUAUGGAUAUGGACUUUUAGUCCAAUAAGUUUUGAUCCAUUUGACUAAUUUGACCAUAUUUGAUUAGUUUAAUCACGCUUAACCAGAAUUGACUAGUUUGACUCGAAUUGACUGGUUUGACCACAUUUUGAUCAGAGUUGACCCAAGUUGACUUUGGUCAUGUAUAAUUUGUGUAAUUCUAAAUUUGAAUAUUGAUAUAAUUAUAUAUGUUUUGGAAUAAAUUAAUUGAAACAAUAUACCAUCAAAGUGACCUCUAUUGUGAAAAUUAAUUUAUUUUAGAAUAUAACUAGUUGAGUACUUGUAAUUUUGUGAAUAUUGAUCGGCUCAAAGGAAAGUCAAUAUUUAACAAAAUUGCAUAUACGUUUGUGAUAAUAAACACGUGAUGAUUAUUCAGAUUUUUACAUGUGAAUUAUAAACUGAUCCAAAGAAAAUUUUAUUUUUUGACAUGUUAUUAUUGUUACUAUUUAUUACUGCACCAAGAUAUCACUUAGAAGUUAAUAUUUUCGUCCAAAGAUAAAAUAUUAAUGGAAUAUCGAUAUCUUGAAAUGAGAUUACCAUUAUUUGAAUUUAUUAUUAUUUUGGUCUAUAUAAGUUUGUUUUAAUUAUUUCAUGUUUUCUAUUCAAUUGUGAAUGAUGUUACAAAUAUUACUAUCAACAUCAAUAAUAUUCCUAUGUUGAAUAGCACAAACUUCAAGUCCUGGAAAGAAAACCUCUUGAUAAUUCUUGGAAUAAUGGAUCUUGACUUUACUUUAAGGGUUGAUUCUCCUCCACCUCUUACAAAUCAGAGUACUUCUGAUGAAAAGAGGGAUAAAAAAAGGUGGGAGAUAUCAAAUCGUUUGUGUUUGAUGAUCAUUAAAAAGGCUGUUUCCAAAGCAUUCAUAAGAACAAUGUCAGAAACGACAACUACCAACCACUAAGGAAUUCCUUCAUUACGGUGUCUAUCAUUUAAUUUAUUAUCACUGGCAUAAAAAAAAAAAAAGAAAAGUCAGAGAUAGAGAAAGUAUAGGGACUAUGAAUAAAUAAAUAGAUCUUUUCAGUUUUUAGUUCUAAAGCUGAUAUGGAUUUAGUAAAUUCCAAAAAAAAAAAGGAGGAGGAGGAGGAGAGCUCAAGGGGUUGUUUUCCAUAUACUUCGUCCACCUAAUUUAUUCUUUUGACAACUGUGAAACGGCCCAGCAACUAAUCAGAGGUUUCAUGAUUUAUAAUUUGUUUGCCCAUUCUUUACCCUAUGAUUAAAUAUGUGAUUAUAGAUAGUUAAAUCUUUUCUGUUCUGAAGCUGGGGAAUUUAUAGAAUAACAGAACUGACAAUCAGAUGGUACAUGCUGGACUAGCAAAAUGGAGAUUUUUUUUUUUGCUUCGUCCUCGCCAUGCAUCCUUUGUUUAUUACAAAUAAAUUGUUCUGUGCAAUUGGGUUGAACAUUUUUUUUUUUUAAUGAAUGAACAAUAUUGCAUGUUUAAAUAGCAAUAUUGGAGAAUGCUGCCCCUUUCAUGGUGCACCAAUCCAGUAAAUUAAUUAGCUAGUUAUCAUUAAUUGAGAGAAGUUAAAAUUCGUUCGAAUGACCAUGUUAGGAGGGAUGGUCCUGAGGGAGCGAGACCAGAGCAGGUUUCGAAGAAAUUGGGUAGGGACAAACUGAAUGAAGCAACCCAAGACGGAGGAGGGGAGACAACCGUUCCAGAAGGUUCACGGCCAUGAUUAGGCCAAAAAAAUUUGUGCGGCUCAAAUCACUCAUUGUAACUCGAUUUUCACGGCAUGUGGAACCCACAAAAAUGUUGUUCUAGUGUUACUCGCUGUUGUUCUAUUGUUACACCUUGUACAAAUGAUGUUAUACCGUGUGCAAAUGGUGUUACACCUUCAGUCCCGGAUCCACCCAAGACAGGACGAAAGUGUAGGGCCUAGGAUGUGACUCUAGAGAUUAUUUUAUAGUACUUUUGGAUUGAGUAAAAAACCUUGGUUUAUUUUUUGUUCACUUUUAUUAUUGUUCACUUUUGACUCUUGAUCUAUUUUUUGUCUUCGACUGAUCUCUAACGAAUUAAAUGUGCAUAGUUUAAGAACUUUUAGUUAUUUUAAACAUCAAUUCAAUCAGAAUUCAAGGGCAUUUUUGUCCAAUCAUAAUCAAAAGUAUUGAGAACUUAACAAAACGCAUCGAGAGUAGGAGUAGAAAUCCUAAAAAGAAAAAAUCCUUCAUUUUCCUUGAACUUUUCAUCAGAUUUCUCUACAAAAUUUCUAAAUUCAUUGAUUUCACUCUCGAGUGGCCAAAGUUUCAUCAAAUUUUUUGUGUCUAUCUCAACUAUGAAAUCAAUGAAUUUGGAAAUUUUAUGGAGAAAUUUGAUGAAGAGAUUAAGGAAAAUGAAGGGUUUUCUUUUCUCGGAACUUCGAUUCCUAUCUUCGAUACUUUUGAUUAAGUUUUUGAUGCUUUUGAUUAAUAAUUGACAAAAAUGUCCUUCGAUUCCAUCUGGAUUUGAAAGUACUCUCUCUCAAUAUUCUUUCCUCUGAAUAUAGGAUUUCCAUUCCUUCGAAUAAUCAUGGACCUAAUCACUGUUACCAAUGAUGCGUCUAAUCACUCUAAUGAUGUGCUUAAUCUAGUCCCAACCGCACACUAUAACCAUGUUACGGCAAUAGGACAAACUAAAGGAAGCAAGAAUUUGUUGAUCUUGUUACCAAAUUGGCAAUAAGCUGAAAUUGGGGAUCAAUAUCAGGUGGAACCACGACAGUCAAUUGUCAAGUAGAUCUCAUUCGAGCAAGUCCAUGCCAAAUCCUAGCAUAUGAAGUAAGGCUCAUAUUUAAAUAGAUUCGAUUUUUAAAAAUUCAAUGGUCCAAAUUAUAUCAUAUCAUUUGAUGAAAUAAUGUGGCACAAUCUGAACUAUUAAAUCUAUAAAACCAAUCUACUCAAGUUUUGGCCCUGAAGUAAAGAUAUCAUAUGCUACUGCUAAGGACUGAAGGAAGAUAGGCACACCACGUGACCCAAGGGUGCACUACUAUCCACCUUUAGAUUGAGGGAAAAUCUCACCCUUAAGUUAAUUUUUAGAGUGAGAAGACCUAAUCGCACCCGACAUUAUAUGUGCAUAUCCUAAAAUUGAUUUAUUGAUGCAAAUCCUCUUCGUUAAAUGAACUCAACUUAUCAUUAAGAGAGUGGUAACAGGGCUUGAUUUUUCCCACUUAAAUUCCGACCUUGGUUUUGCUUUAAAGAUCAUAUUUACUGCAGAAAAUUUAAGGAACAAAGUACUAAAUUAUUAUAGGAUUAAUUUUUUGAAUACCAGCAAUACCCUUUGCCACCCAUACUUACCAUCCAAAUGGCCCUUUUUUUUGGGGGGGGGGGGUGUGUGUGUCUAAUGUCAGCAUUAGCAAAUGUGUCUAAAUUUUAUCCUUGACAUCUGAAAAUAGUUUUACUAAGUAGCACUAGCAACCGAACAACUUGACUUGCAGCGAAGAAUAGGGCAAGAACCGACAUUUCCCAUUGUGGGAGGAAACCUAAAUCUAGUGGACUGACAAUUUCAGUUUUUGGUACUAAACUUGUAAACAUUAGUCUCUUUUAUAAUUAUAGUGGCGAACUAAAUGUAUUAUCUCCUUAAGACUAUUUAAUAACGUAACAUCCUUGCCCAAUGAGUCAAUGACAAGAUUUCAUUUGUGGAACUUACAACCUGGCAAGUUCAUGAAUGCAAUAUAAGUAAUUGUGUACAUUGUUUACUACAUUCUUUUGCGUACAACAAAUUUAAAAAAAAAAAAAAUAUUUGCCGAUACCUUUUUUUUGGCUUUUCUUUAUUGUAGUCUACUAUCCAGAAUUAGUAACUCACCUUAUUUUACGCUAAAACCCUAGUUUCUUUUUGGGUUUUCUAUCACCUCAAAGAUUAGAAACUGGCCUAAUUUCCAAAAUUUUGAGGUUCUCCUUGUAACAAUAUAUGUAAACUUCAUCCUCCAUACUAUAUACAUCUACCGUAAAAAUUCACCAAAUCCAUCUCACUUGCUUCAUCAGAACAUCGUAUUUAUCUUUUCAUGGACUUCUUCUUUCCUCACAUUCCAAAUCCAGUGCCUCUGCGUGUGUUUGUCUGUUCCUUUUUAACUCUUUUGCUCCAAAAGAGGCAUAAAGUUCAUGCUAGAGUUUGCCUUCUUCAUAUUCAGUGCUUGAGUUUUCUUUAUGCAGUCAUGAACGAGUACAUUUGUCACUGUCAAUCGUAGAAUGCCAGGGCCAAAUUGAAUUGCCAAAUAUUAAUGUUUCUGGCCAUUAAAAUAGUAGCCUUUGUCAUUGCCAAUUGUAGAAUGGUUGGGCCAAAUAUUCUGUUUGGAUAGAGUGUUAUUUAAAAUAUUAUUUAGAAUAAUUACUAUAACACUUUUUGUGAUAUGAUGUAUGUGAGAUAAAAAGAUGAUUGGAAAUAUAAAAAGGUGGAUUGAGAAAUGUGUUUAUGAUACAAGUGAAAUAUUAUUUGGAAAAAAGGAGCUAGCAUUGCCAAAUAUUAAUGUUCAACUGAGUGAUCGUGUGUCUUUUUUUUUUUUGGGAAAGCUGGUCGUUGACUAUUGUUAAUUUUAUAACCUGUACUACAAAAAAAAAAUUUUUUUAACUAGCAAUUGCAUUGACUACUUUUCUUGAAGACCAUUGCCAUUUCCCGUCCACCCUUAUUUGGUAAACUCAAAUAAGCCCCUCCAAGAGUACAAUGUGCAGAAUUGGCAAUGGUAACUUGGUUCAGGUUGUGGACAGUAGCUAAGGAUGGAAUUUUUUUUUUUGAAGCAAAAUUUUAACCUUUCAUUGAUAUCAUGAACAUUUGUGGACUUAUAUACAUCAAACAAACGCCGUUGACAGCAUAAAGAAAACAUCAAUCACUGAACAUGAAGAAGGUAAACAUAUUUCCGUAACCAAGUUCCAAUUCGCCUUAGUUCUUGGAAUUUUUGCCCCGACCAAUAACUUAUAAUUAAGACUUAAAUACGUAUUUGUGACUUUCAAAAUCUUAAACUUUGCAAUUUCAAUUUAGCGUAUGGCUAAAGUGACGCUGUGAAAGACUGAAAGUCAUGUUUAAGAUGUGGAAAGUUGCAAAAGGGGAAAGAAACAAAAGGCGAGAAAAGUGUCAGACUCACCAGCAAUGAUCCCAAAUGACAAUUGUGAAGGGAAGAGGGGGAAUAGGUUUUAGAGAUUUAGAGGCUUUCAACUCAGCCUUGCUGGCUAAGCAAAUUUGGAGAUUCUUAACAGCUCCAAAUUUGCUAGUAAGCAAGGUAAUGAAGGCAAAGUACAUGAAGGACGCAAACUGGAUGGAAAAAAAUCCCUCCACCUCAGCUUCAUGGUGUUGGAAGAGCAUCCAUAGUGCAACAUCACUGCUGUUAGCUGGACUUUGGAAAAGAAUUGGGGACGGCAGGUCUGUGAGUAUAUGGGGUGACAGAUGGAUAGCUGGUUCAGAAAAUGGCUUUGUAUCAGACACAAAACCUGUGGAAUGCAAGUUGGAAUGGGUAAACGAGCUGAUAGAAGAAGGGAAGUGGAAAACUGAACUUAUCCACAAGUGGUUUAGUACAAAAGAUGCUGAGCUCAUCAAAGCCAUCCCGACAAGCAUAGGAAGAAGAAAGGAUAAGCUGGUAUGGAGCCAUUCCAAAUCAGGAAUAAACACUGUAAAGAUGGGUUAUGCGGUAGCAAGACAACAGGAAGUCAAACCAGGUAGUAAGAGAGGUCAUGAUACAGAGACAAGUUGGGAGAUACGAAAACACAGUGUGGAAGAAGUUAUGGCACAUGAAGGUGAAGGCAAAACUAAAACAGUUCAUGUGGAAAUGCUUGCAAAACUAUCUACCUGUCAACGAAUUGCUGUCAAAAAGGCUAGGAAGAGAAGAAGGAAGAUGUGGCUGCUGUGGAGAAGACAUGGAAACCAUUGAGCAUUUGUUCUUCUUCUGUGAAAAUGCAGUGGAAGUAUGGAAGUUGGCACCGGUAAGAUGGGAUGGGUUACAUGAAAAACAACAGAAUUUUUUGAUUUGGUGGGAGAAAGUUACCCAAACGCUUUCCAUGAAUCAAGGUCAGGAUAGAGUAAGUCUUACCAUUAAUAUCCUCUGGCAAAUUUGGAAAGCCACGAACAAAAAAAUCUUUGAACAGGCAAACCAGGAUCCAUUCAAAAUGGUACGGAAGGCACAAGAUGAGUGGCUAGAGUUUGAACAGGAAAGGGAGCCAGAACAGAAGGUGAGCGUAGGGAGGAUGAACAAAGACAUACCCACCAGUAGGGAGCGGCCAAGGAAGGAAGAGAUAAGAUUGUAUACAGAUGCGGCUAUAUCAGCAAAAAGAGUUAGGACAGGACAAGGGAUAAUAGCAAGGAAUUGGAAAGGACAGAUAAUGAAAGCUAAAAGAAUUGUCACACAGGGGAAGGGGACAGCAAGCAAAGAAGAAGCUCUUGCCGUAAGAAGUGCUCUACUGAUGGCCAAACAAGCAGGAUGGACAAAAAUUAUAGUCCAUACAGACUGCAAAUCAGUGGUUGAGCAGAUCAAUAAAGGCAGUGAGUAUGACUACAGUACUGCAACUAUCUUAGAAGACGUACAAGAACUUAGUUUAGGCUUUGAAAGAUGUUCUUUUGUGUUUAUCGCUAGAACUGAAAAUCAAAUCAGCCAUGCACUAGCACAAUAUGCAGUAAAGCUAGUACAUAAUAUUGACUGGAAGCAUGAUUUCCCAAUAUGGCUGACUGACUUAGUUAAGAAGGAUAUGAGGGCAGUAUCCCCUUUUUGUAACUUAUCCUUGUAAGGUCACGUGUUAAUAUCUAUAAAUUGUUAUCGUUUGUUAAAAAAAAAAGUAAGCAAAUGAAAAUUAAAAAGACGAAAAGAAAAUACAUAUGUAAAUAAAUGUUCAGCAAAACUUUUAUUUAAUCAUGGACUAGAGGCUUCACAAAUAAUUCGUAUGCCGAGUUGAGUCUAAGUUUAUCAUAGAUACUAACUGUAAAUAUUAAAUUACAAAAGAUUAAAAAAAGUUUCCGGGGUAUAUUAAGAGAAUAAAUAAAUUUUCUUGUACCUUAAGAAAUUUAAUAAACAAUGAACGUAAUUAGUACUUUCUAUUUCCUUCAUUUCCUUGUUUAGAACCACUAAUUAACUGUGACUAGAGGACUCUGACUGACUACAACCAUGACUUAGUAGAAAUCUAUGCAACUGCAGGUUGAAACCGAUGAAAGUUGUUCUAUGCAACUCGUCGUCUAUGUGAAGUAGGCUCAAAAGCAUUUAAACCAGACAAGAAAAUUGAAACGGAUUCAAUUGAAGAAGGGGAAAAAAAGUACUAGCUAGUGAAAUUUUGGAAGAUUUGUAAAGAAAAACUAAUGGAGUUUGUCUCUUACUUAUUUUUUAGUGUAUUUUGUUAGCAUUUGUUGGCGUAUUUCUUUACAAGCUUCAAUAAUCUGUUUAUGCACCGUUCCAUUCAAGUACAUAAUUUGUCGCUUUUUAUUUUUUCCUUGUCGCUUCUACAUAUAUAUAUAUAUAUAUAUAUAUAUAUAUAUAUAUAUUUAAUAGGGUGGUGUUCUACUUUAACCAUUUUUUUUGGGAUAAUUUUAGAAACCUCCCUUGAGGUUUCUUACUAUUCCACUUAGUUCCCUUGACAUUUUAAAAAUUGCAAUUGCCCCCCUUAAUUUAACACUUUGGUAACCAAACUUUAAAAUAGAGUCAAAAUUUAAUGAAUACCCUGAAAUGCCCUUAUCUUACAAAUUUCAAUUUGUUCUUCUAAACAAAAAGAGCGUCAAGUUUUUCAUGUCAAUAUUUGUUAUUAGAUAAUCAAUUAUAACAAUAAAUCUUUUGUUGUAAUAUGAUAUUUUUCAUAUUGCUUUAUUGGGAAUAUAAAUUCUUUUUAUGAUAGAGAAGAAAGUGCUAUUUUGUUUCUUUUAAAGUUCAUGGAGUAUUUUUUUAAUAAAAAUUUAUGGACUAGUUUAGUAGUAGAACUAUCAUAAUUUGGUAGUGAUUUUGGGUCAUUUGGUUUUAACAUUGUUGAUUUAUCCUUGAUUUUGAUACUAAAUAAAAGAGCUACAAAAAAAUUGGAGGAUAUUAAAGUUAUAAAAAAAAAUAUUACUAGUUUAACGUUUAAUUUGGAUAGAUAUUUGGGACAACAUUGAUAGUUCUUCUAUACUUCUAAUGAAAUAUAAGAAAAAAUGAAUAAGAAGGGAAAAGGUAAAAAAAAUUAUAAAAUCCUUUGCAUAAACAUGGCAACAAAAGAGUUUUAUUAAAAAUAUUAAAAUUAGUAUUGUCAUUUUAAAUGGAUAAGGGAGGUAGGUGUAAUUUUUAAAACCUUAGAAGAACCAAGUGGAAUUAUUAGAAACCUUAGGGGAGGUUUAUGAAAUUAUCCCCUUUUUUUUCCAUCUCCAUUAUCCUAAUCAACAACGGACAAAUACCGUAUGAUUUUGUCACCUGUGGAUUUGCAAAUACAAACCUACUGCUUCCCCUCAAUUCCUUCCUCGAUCUUUCUGUACAACGUACUAUCAAGUAUCAAUACAGCACACCAACCAGUUUACAACUUUCCCAUCUCUAUCUUCCACCUGCAUAUAAUUCCUUUCAUCUAAUCAAUUGAGAUGAGCAGUAAACUUCCCCUCAAUCUGUGGUGGACGCAUUCUGUAAUAUCCACUGGAAGUCAGACAAGAAACUCGAGCAUUAUUAACAAAAUGGAUCCACUACAAUCAGAGGAAUAUCGUAUGGCUUUUAGUGUUGGAAUUCAGUAGCUGCUCCGCCUUAUCCCCAUUACGUAAGUUUAAUGAAAACAAUAAGUUACAGCAUACAAGAGGUUAUGCAGAAGAUUUGCACCCUGUAGAAAUGAAAUCUGAGCAGCGUACUGACUUAUACGCGUGAAGGGAUUGUGAACCUGUAACUGGGCAGACCCACAAAAAAUUUUUUUGAGAGGAAUAUUUUCUGGAAUGGCAAAGCAUGCUCAGGAUGGUUCCUCAUGCGUUCAUAAGUUUCAAUCUCACUAACACUUCCCUAAAUCGGAAAGAUGUCAACCAUACCACUUCCUGUAUAUUCUCCACCAUCAUCAUCACAACCACCACCAUCCGCAGCCCUCACCAUCCACCACCACCACCUGUCCUUCUCCUCCGCCCAUCAGAAUCACCACCACCACCACCACCACUGGCUUCAAUUUGAUAAGCAUCAUUAGCUGUCCUUCAUUCCAGUUCACUCUGUCAUAUUUAAAUGUUCCAGUGACUUUCUUUCUCAUAGUGUUGCUGGUUAGUAAAGUUUCAUUGACAACAAGUGCCUUCUACCGUUUCCAUAUGUUCCAGCUUUAGCUGACCAUUUUUACUUGGAUUCUUUUUCCUAUUUUGGGUUGCCGUGGAGGGAUUGGGGUGCAGGGGUGAGACAGGGUGAUCAGUAAGACGAGGUAUUCAUAAGAUUCAGUUAAAAUCAGACAAGAAAAUCAAGCAUUAAUAGUAAAAUGAUACGGCUUCAAUCUGCAGAAUAUCUCAGGACUUCUAGAAUCGAAAUUAAAGCACCGACUCCACCAUAUCCCAAUUAUAUAAGGAACAGAAGAAGAACAAAUUUAAUGAAAAAACGAAGUUGUAGCGUACAAGAUGAAGAGCGUUCAACUAGUACUACUUAGAACUCUUCUUUGCCAUGCAAAAAAACUCUCCAGCCAUGUGUGUUGACUCACAAUUGAUCUUCUUAUAGACAUUCCUUAAGUGUACUGUGGGCUUCAAAUUAAUGACAAGUUAAUUUGAUUAGAUUUAUCCCAAAGUUAGUAAACUUCUCGCAGUUCAAAUAGCCUCUUCAGCUUCAUCUGUUAGUAAUUAACUGCAAUUUGGCUUAAAAAUCAAGAAGUCUAGGAAUAGAUUUAUGCCGAGAUCUUCUCAUACCAAAAUAAGAUCCUGUUGUAUGAUAUUUACUCUUUUUGCUGUUUUGGCAAGCUGUUAAAAUUAAAUGCUCAUCAACUAUUGUCUCCAUUUUCUCCUUCUCCAAGCAGAAAAUUUUUAAACAAGCUAGUAGAACUAGAGAGCAUCUCAUGUUCUUAGAUCCUAUUAUAUUAAACAUCCAGAGUAUCAUGCUUGAAAACUAUAAAUUCAACUGUGUGAUUUAUCAUCAAUCAAAAGAUAAUACGACCCCAUUCUAUCAAAAUGACUAACCAAAUAGAUUAAUUACCAAAAAAUAAAAGGCAGAAGAGUUGCAACUUAUAGAAUUGCAUUCUGAGCAAAAUACUGACAUGUACAUAUGAUGAGAUUAUGUUCCAUUACUUGAGCACACCAGCAAUUUUUUUAUGCUAAGGCUGAUUGCUUCCAUGUUCUUAAGUUUCAACCUGAGGAAAGCUUCACUAAAUUGAAAAUAUUGACUUCAUCAAUUCCACUUCCCAUACGUGCUCUCAUCCCUUAUGUUUCCUUAACACUUUUAUUAACCAUAUAAUUUCGACUAAAUGUGUCGAAGCAUUGUUUUCCAAUCUAAAACUUCAUAUUUAGAACAACCUUUCGUGUUUCUCAAAACAUAUACAUUUGCUAUCGAUAUAAAUGGAAUAGAAAAUUUUGGCACUAAUUUAGGUCAAGCCAAAGCAUACAUAGCAUACAUGGAGAUCAUCGCGUGACCAUGCAGUCAUGGCCUUUAUCUCUUCGGCUAAUUGACGAUCAUAUCUACUCGAAAUUGACAGUAUAGCGUUCAAUGUAUGUUUCUGCUAGCCAUAAUCUGCUCAGACAAGCUAUUAACUGCAAACUGAAAUUCUGACUUUUCCACGCCUAGUCCUAUAUAGGUGCUAACUUCUUCGUUUUGCCCUCCAUGUCUUGUUACAGAACAUUAUUUGUAAACUUAGUAAGGUCUCAGUUUGCUUAGCAUUUUAAGCCUCAUGAUAUCCAAAGAUUCAGGGAUAUAUGAUCUAUAUUAUGCAGAAUAAGUCAGCAAUAUGAAACCACCACCUGGUUAUUAGUUUUCUCCAAGCAAGUUGCAUUUGUCAACCGAUUACUAAUAUUCUGUAAGAAUAGAGCAAACCAGCAAAUUCCAAACAGCAGAUGCUAUGUUGUUUAGAUCUCAUCUCAUGUGGCUCAUUCACUUGAAAAUUAGCCAACUAAGUAGUAUGAGAUUUAGAUCUCUUCAUAUGGCAUGAAAUCCAAAAAAAAAAGUUCAUACAUCCAUAUUGUAGUAGGCCAGACUUACCUAUCUCCUUAGCAGUUGAGAUAGCAUAACCAGAAGAUGCAUCUUUUGUGUGGUCUUUAGGAUCUGAAAAAGGUUUUGAACAAAGAACUGUUGAUCAAGUGGCUAUGGAGCAGGUUUCAUGAAUCUGCACCAAGAAAUGGUGGUAAUUCCAGCAGUGCUUGCUACUGUUGCUGAGGCAACACUCCAGAAUUCCUGAUGCGUCUUUGUUAGAAUUAUCUGCGCAAAUAUCACAUUAAGUUCAAUUGCAAUUCUAGAUAUACCUUCAAAGAUUGAGCAUGCUGCAUUUAUGAAAUGCCCAAUUGCAUCUUUUCUUAGUUGCUGCACAUAUUGGGCAGACCUGGAAUGGAAUGGUCAAAAAAACCAUCAAAUUGCCACUGAGAAUUGAAAACCAAGAGAAUCAGCAUCCAAGAAAAAAUCAAUAAUCCAUGCGAUAAGGUAUUUGUUGGUUUCUUUCGAAUUAUUGGUUUGUGGUCAGUGACGGCCAGGAUUUUUUUUUUUGGGGGGCCAAAAUUGAAAUUCCAUUCAAAGAUGACUAAUUCAUAUAUAUAUAUAUAUAUCAACUCUCAUAAUAUAAACUAAAAUUGAAAAAAUUUAGGGGGGGCCAAUUUUAUUUUACACACAUAUUUACAUAUUAUGAAUUAAAAUUCUCAAAACUUAGGGGGGGCCAUGGCCCCCCUCUGCCCCCCUUGGCUCCGUCAUUGUUUGUGGUCCCAUGUAUCAAUUUGGAGUUUGUGUGGUUACACAAAAGAGUAUCAAUCAGGCUAUUUCUAAACAAAUCUAGUGGGGAAAAGAAAUAUGCCGCUGUAUUUGGGCUUGGGUUGCUAUUCAUUCUAAUAAACACGAAGAGUCCAUAGGGUUUCCUUUGUUUCCUAUUCUUAUGGAUUAAAAUUAGCAAGAAAACAUUUUGGGUUUGAACAUUCCGUCAAUAAGAUUAUUGAAUGGGAAAAAAAUUAUGGUUACAAAGUAUGAUGCAGUCUAGCAGUUGUUUCCCAUGCAAACAACUUGGAUGGAAAUUUUUCUUUUUUUGCAUAAGAAAUCUAAGUGGUUAUGGGGAACUUGUUCUGUGAGCUAUUGCAUGUUGUGGCUCAAUGUUUUCCAAUAGUUUGGCUGCAUCCUCAAUCAUUUUGCGUCUAUUUAAUUCUCUUUUAUUCGACCAUAGUUAAAAUCAUAAGAUUGACAUGGGUAUUCUGGUUUAGCUCUUUACAUGUCAAUUUCGUGAUUAUUUUAGCACAAUUUUCAUUUAUAGUUAAGAUUAAGAAUUAUGGAUAAAUAUGGAUGCUUUAAUUAGCCCCGUCUCAACGCGAUUAUUUAAUUGGAUAAUAUAUGCAUUGAGGGUCAACUUUAAGGUUUUGGAUCUCUUUUUAUGCUAAACACUGUCAUAUUCUAUAUGAAUCCUUCUAAGAAUUUUAUGAACAAAAGUGCCAUUUAUCUGUUUUGCUCUUCUAUAUAUGAAUGAUAUGGAGAAGAGUUUAUGGACAUAAAAUUUUUGUCUCAGUUAAAUAAUUGAUAAAUUUUAAUGAAUGGAAUCACCAAAGUAACUUUUAUUAUAUUUAUUGAUUUAUUUAAGGGCAAAAAACCUGGGCGGCCAUUAAACUUUUCCCAAGAUCAUGUUUUGGCCAUCGAACUAUUUUUUGUCAAUAAUUGUCCACUAAACAACUUAAUCAGGCCACCCGUGACCAUUUCGUCGAUAAUAGCUCUUAAUUUCUGAAAUUAGCAUUACACGUGGCAAACCACAGGGGCAAUUUUGUCCGUCAAUCCACUGACCGUUCACUUACAUUAAUACAUCAACUGAAAAGAAAAAAAAGAGCGGUAGAAACAAGCCAACUAAACAAACUGAAGUGUCUGGUCUUGUGGAGGAAAAAAUAGGGACUCAAUUUCUAGCCCUAAAUUCUGUGUCAGAAAUCGAAGAAGCCAAGAAUGUCGAGACGCUCUCCUAAACCCAUACCUAGAUGCUCCUGCGGAUUAACAGCAAUGGUGAAGACCUCAUGGACAAAUUGGAACCCAGCAAGAAGAUUUGUGGUCUGCACUUUAGGAGAGGUAAGAUCUUAGAGAGGUAAGAUGUUAGAUUUGUAAUGGAAAUAUUAUAACAAGAGGAUUUAGUCUUGGAAAAUGUAAAUUGCAGGAUGAGGGAUGUGGUUUUUGGGAAUGGUAUGAUCCAACAAUGUGCGAAAGAUCAACUCAAGUGAUUCCUGGUUUGCUGCGAAGAAUGAAUAGAAUGGAAAGUAAUAUGGAGGAAUUAGAAACUUCAGCAAGAAGAUGGGAAAAUAAAGCUCAAAAAUUGGAACUUAAAGUUGCAAAAUUGGAGGGUGAAGUGAAAAAGCACAAGACCAGAGAGCACUAUCUCAAAAGAGCUCUUCUCGGUACAUGGGCUUUUAUAUUGUUGUAUUGUUUUUGCUGCUAUCUGAAGACUGUUAUUAAGAGUGACCAUAUGUUGGCCAUCAAGGGAUAGUUAAUGUUGUUUGGUGAUUGUGAAGAAAUGGAAGUAGCAAGGUUGAGUGGAUACAGCUUUUGGUGGUAGUGUCCGUAGCAAUAGCAGACCAAAGAUUCCCAUGUUGUAUUUUAUAGUGAAUUUUUCAUUGGUUUGUUUUCUUAUGUAAUGGAAUCCUUGCUGUAAUUGUGUUACUUUUUACUGAAUGAAUGGAUGCAAGUUUUUUGUCGUUUCUUAUGAAUUGCUGUAAUUGUAGUUUCUUAUGAAUGCGGCAUUAUAACACAGUAAAUUAAGACAAAAGGAGUAUUUCCAUUGGAUAAAACUAACUACAAAAGUUUCCAAUUUGCAGAAGUACACAGCUUUCUGUUGAAUAUGCAAAAAGAUAGUGGAUGAAAAAUAAAAGGCAUCCACCAUAACAAAACAAAAGCCAUCCACUAUCAACAUGAAGUGGAUCCUGCAGUUAAACUUUAAUGCAUCUAUUUUAACAGCCCACUGAACUUAAAUAAACUAUUAUAAGUCAAAAGACUUAUGUACAUAUCAGUCACCAUCAUCAACAUCUCAGAUCACAUCUACAACUGUAUCCAAUUCCAUCUAACUUGCACCUGCACCUCUGCCUCUUGUAGAUCUAGAUCUAGAUCUACCAGCAUUUGCACAUCUUCUACCCCUCCACCUACCAACCUUGAAGGGUGGUUCCUUUCCCAAGUAGGCAUAGUUAGCAUUAAUCAUCCCUUUGUCAGCAUCAGUCAAGGGCCGUUUACCAUUUCUGUUGAAUUUCCUGCCAGAUCUAGAACUUGUAGCUGCUGGAUCUGGUUGCUGAACUACUGGUAUUGGCUGUUGAAGUGGUGGAGUUGGGUGUUGGGACAUUAGAUCUGAUUGCUGAGUUGCAGAUGCGAUUGGUUGGCUUGGUUGGCUAGCUGAUGGAGUUUCCUGUUGCUAUUGCCCUUGGGUCUCUAUACCUUGUGACUGAACUACUUUUGCUUGCUGUUUUCUUCUUGAAACCUUGUACAAAUGGAAGUUGAUUAGAGACUAUAUUUAUGUAUACUAUAUGACAUUUGAAAUACAUUGAACUGUAUGUAUACUCACAUGUUUUUUCUUCUUUGGCUGGCCAGAUUGUUGGUGCUCAGUCACCUCUUUGCAUGUUGCAGCAUUGUGCCCUGUUUUACCACAUUUUCUGCAAUGCAUGGUGACAUUUUUUCUAAGUUUUCUUCCAUGGUUCUUCCCUUCUGUCUCAUCUCUUCUCCUUGCCUUUUUUGGCCUCCCAGGCUGGACAGUGGGAAUUGGAGGAUCAAGUUGAAGCAUGCUGGACUCAGGCCACAGUACUUGGCUGCUGAUGGGUUGCAAGACAUUAUUAUAAAUCUGUAAAAAUAAGCUCUUGUAGUAACAUUCCACAAUCAUUUCAUGUGGAUCAUCCUCAGUUUGCUUAAUUGCUGCAAUGGCAUGGGUACAAGGUAAACCAGAUAAUUCCCAGAUUCGACAAGUGCAACUCUUCUUUCUCAAAUUCACAGCAAACUGGGAAUUCCUUGGGCCCUUUACCUAAUAACCAUCAAUCCCAUUGAACUGUGGGAACCACUGGAAAGACUCUUCAAUUCUGUCCUCAAUAAUUUUUCUAAUCAAAGGACCGGUUGAGUGUGGAUAUCUAGUCAUGGCAGCCUUUCUUUUUUGAAUUCUUUCCAUCAUCAGUUCUCUAAUAUUCUCCAAGCAAGAUAUAAUUGGUUUAUCCCUGGCCUCUAGUAUAUGUGAAUUGAAAGAUUCGCAUAGAUUAUUGACAAUCAUGUCACAUUUAGUGUGAGGAGAAAAGUAAGCCUUACACCAAUGCAUCGGAUGAGGAGCCUUCUCCACCCACUUGUAUGCUUCAUUGUCAUACUCUUUCAAGUCCUCAGCAGCUUUCUUGUACAUCUCAAUUGUACUGCUCCUAGCUAUAGCCCACAGCAUCCCUUUAAGUGCCUUUCCAGGAUGUUUCUUCUUGAAAUUUUGAUACAUGUGCUGCACACAGUAUCUAUGCUCAGAGUUGGGUAGCACCUCGGAUAAUGCUCUGUCCAAUCCCUGCAUAAAAAAUAAAUGAAUUAUUGGUUCAAACAGCCACAAGGCUCACAUCAAAUGUUGGAUAAUAAGAUCCAUACCUUUUGUUGAUCAGAGAUGAAAGUGUAGUGACACUGAUUAUCUAUUUCCAGAUCCGCUUGGAGAAGUUGUAAGAACCAUUUCCACUGUAUUGUAGCUUCCUUCUCCACUAUGGCCCAAGCAAUAGGCCACCAACCAUUGUUGGGAUCAACUGCCACUGCUGAUAACAGUUGACCAGGGUAAGGCCCUUUUAUAUGGCAGCCAUCAAGUCCAAUCACAGGUCUACACAUUUUGAAUCCUUCUUUUAGUGCACCUAAACAACAGUACAGUCUCAUGAACCUAGGAUUCGAACCUGGAUCUCUAAAUGGAGUGAACUCGACUACCAUGGUAGAAUUAGUAUGAGUCUUCUUAAUCUCCUCACAAUAUUCCCAUAUAUGCUUAUACUGCUCGACUGCACAACCUUUGAUUCUGUCAACAGCUAUACCUCUAGCAUUUCUGGCUAUUGUUUUCGAUAUUUGUAUCUUGUACUCCUCAUGCACUGUCUGCCUUAAAGAAUGGAUUGGAAUGUUCAUAUUGGCCCUAAUUCUGUUCUCAUAUCUCUCAGCAACCCAUUUAGCAGUCAUCAUUUUAUUUUUCCAGGCAUGACUGCAGUUUUCAUGUACAUCAUAAAGGGUCUUAAUCACCAAAUCAUUCGUCCCAAGUGCUUUCUCUUGAGAAGCAUAACACUCCCAGUUACAUGGAUCCUUGCACCUUACCCUUACUCUUAGUUCCUCAUUAGUGUAAUACCAAACAGGUCUACCAUUAGCAAUCGAAUAAUUCUGCAUUGCGGCCUUAAACUCAGCUGAUGAUGCAAAUCGCAUCCCAACCUGGAAAUGUGGAUUUCUCAUGUUCUUUUCAGCAUUGAAGUCAACAUAUUUGAUUCCCUUCUGCACUUCAUCAUCUUCAUCAGAAGAAGCAUCAAUGCUAUGCAGGUCAUCCUCCAUCAUACUGUCAUGCAACACAUCUUCAUCAUCAGCUUCUUCCAUUUCCUCAGCAGCUUCCUGUGAUGAUGUGUUAUGGUCAGCCUGUGCUGAUGAUGUCUUCUCCCUUCUUGCUGACCACUUUCUUUUUCCUCUUGUUGUUUUUCUAGGAUACUUUUUCUUUGCUCUCUUGCUGCCACCAGAUGAUCCAUCAGUUGCCUGUGAUUGUUUUUCAGCUUGGGCAUCGCGUUGACCAUCUCCAUGUGUACCACUUUCCAAGCCAUUUACAUCCUGGCUCUCAUGGAGUAUAGAUUCAGUAGUUCUCCUCAUAACAGGUGAGGGAAUUUCAACUGUGGGAGUUGGUUUCUCACUCCCAAGCAUUUGAUCAUCUUUGCAAAACUCUUCAUCAUCAGUGAAAUGCUCCCUUUCUGAACUGCUGUCAUUUUUAUCAUCUUCUUCACCUGCCCUUGCAUUCACAUCAGUUUUAUCUCCUUGACUCCUACUCUUUACACCAGUCCCACUAGUUUCUCCCUCAAUGACAACACUUACUCUUACACCUUUACCUCUACUUGUACCUCCUAUUGCUGGUCCAGGGGCAGUCAUAUUUGUACUAACAAAAGAGCUAUCAAAAAGAUUUUUUCUAACCACCAAUUGUUUAUCAAGUUCUACAACUCCACUGCCAUAUUCAUCUACAACUACACUACCAUGUUCAUCAAUUUCUUCAAUUACAACCCCUGUUUUUUUCUUACUACCUAACAGCGGGGAAUGUGACUGGAUGUCAAGAAUUUCAUGUAAAGGCCUAUGGUCACAGUAAACAUCUAUCAGUUUGUGCUCGUACGCCCAUUUGCACAUUGCCACUAUAUCUGCAUCUCCUUGUAACUCUCUUAAUCCCUUAUUCAAAUCACUCCCAGGUUCUAAGUAAUAGUAAAGCAUUGCACCAUUAUAUCCUAAUUCCUCAACCAUGUCAUUUAUCUCAUGGACAGACAUUCUCUCCGCAUCACACGCAUCAACAUAAUCUAUUUCACCACCAACGUAUGUUUUAUACUGACGCCCACUAAAUCUACCACCAUGAAACAUUCUAAUACUGAAUAGUUCAGAAUUAGGCACUGCAAUGAAAUGGGAAAAAAAAGGAAUCAUUUCAUUUGAAAAAAAAAGACUAAAAAAAACACUUGUUUAUUUCAAAAUUUCCCACUUUUACAACCGGCAGUUGGAUGAAAACCCUAACAUUUAAACUCCAUAAUGCUGCUACAUAUUCACAACCCACAAAUAAGCACCUUCGAUUUCAGACACAAACUUGAGUAAUACACCCAUUACAUUUAGUUUAAAGUAUAGUUUCAGUUCAUUCACAUGAUUUUCCCCAAAAAAUAACUUACCGUAAAUUUCAUAUGGAUCAAUGUCGAUGUCUCUUCUCCUGAUUUUCCACUCCAUAGAUUCACCACGAUUUUCCCUUCUCUUCGAUCUUCAAAACCCUUCUCUUCGAUCUUCCUACAACGAUUUUGAGAACUUCAGUUUGUUUAGUUGGCUUGUUUCUACCGCUCUUUUUUUUCUUUUCAGUUGAUGUAUUAAUGUAAGUGAACGGUCAGUGGAUUGACGGACAAAAUUGCCCCUGUGGUUUGCCACGUGUAAUGCUAAUUUCAGAAAUUAAGAGUUAUUAUCGACGAAAUGGUCACGGGUGGCCUGAUUAAGUUGUUUAGUGGCCAAUUAUUGACAAAAAAUAGUUCAAUGGCCAAAAUAUGAUCUUGGGAAAAGUUUAAUGGCCGCUCAGGUUUUUUGCCCUUUAUUUAAUAAGGAUUCUGAGAUGUUCAUGUUUCAAAGUUCUGUGUUAGUUUUCAGCUUGAAUUUUUAUUAAAAGUUGAAAUUGCUUUUUGAUAUAUGAACCUUUGUUAUUAUAAUUACUGAUUGUCUUCUUGGUUCAUCUACUUGUGAAGAAUAUGUCAUCUACCUGUGAAAUUGCGUUUUGAUAAAUGUGCAUCACUUUGUCUUGUUGGUAUUAUAAUUAAGAAGUUGUUGUUGUCGUCGGAAACACGCAGAUCAUGUAAUUUGUUUGACGACCAAUACCAUAUACUACAUGGUUCACUUCAGGGGAUGUUUUAUGAUUACUAUGUUUACACUGUUCCAUUUUUGGGAUGCAUCUUUCCUUUUCAGAGUCUAAAGCCUAUUAUUGGAUUGAAGGAAACUUGAAUUUAAGAUCGAAAUUGAAUUUUGUGCCAUAAAAAGUCAAUAAAUUUUUUUUUGGAGUGAAUUACCGUACUACAUCAUUCUUGUUAAUCAUAUAAGUUGGUGAGUUUUUCUCCUUCAAGGACUUUACUAUUGACAGGUAGCUCAUUCAAUUGAUUUAUCAAAUAAAACUGUUUUAGAUCGUUCAGGUGACUCUUGUCAACUCCACAAUCCAAAUGUAAUCACCUACCUUUUACAUUUAUGAACAAUGCUCAAAAGUCCCAUAUAGGUUAUAUACACUUGAAAAGAUUAUACUCCCUCUGUCCCACUUUGAUAGUCCUGUAUUCAUUUUUCAUCUGUCCCAAAUUAUGGUCCACUUUCCAAUUGAAGAAUGUAAUUGUAUUUUAAUUUUUCUAAAAUACCCUUAUUCAAUGUAAGUAGUUGUUACUAUAAAUCUAUCCCAUUUAAUGAGAAUUGAUUCUUUUUUUACCAUCAAUUCAAGUUCCCGUAAAGUUGUACCAUAUUUAAUAUGAGAGUAUUUUAGAAAAAUAGCAAUCUAAAUUUAUUUUUCCAACAAAGUUAACUAAUUUUUUUUAAACUGUGUGGAAAAAGAAACAGGACUAUCAAAGUGAGACAGAGGGAGUAAUUUAUAAUCGUAUAGUUGGGCACACCAACUUCCAUUUGCAUAAUUAAUGGUAAAGCAAUAAUGCACUGGAUGUACGAAUCCGAACCCAGGUAUGGUUUAAAUCGAGGCCUUCUAUCAUACAACAAAAAUUUAUACGUCCCACAUAUGGCAUCGAAAACAUUAUACAUAAUAUGAUUUGAAUCUUAUAUCUUCUUUUUUAGAUCAAUCUUAUCUCUUAACCUUUUAGGAAUGGUCACAUUAGCAACCUUUCCUAUCCAAAUUCGAUACACAAUUUCGUCAAAAUUUCAGGAAGAUAACAAUAACAAGGAGAAAAUGAAUAAAUGACUCGAGCAAAGCUACAUAGGUCUUUAAUUAACGCCGAAAUUUUGAUGCAGUAAAGAGCGAGCGUGGGGUUUUGUUUCCAAUUCUCUGUUGAAUGAAAGUUCUUGUCACUUGGGGAAUUUUGCAUGUUUAGUUAUUGGGUAGUACUGCUGAAUAAUAGGAUACUCAUGAACAUGAAAUGGGCCGACCCAAAAUCUUAGUCUCAAGCUAUUUUAUGGCCUCAUUCUGAUUGAGAUUUGAGACGCCAGUCUAGGAGAGCAUGGGGCCACAAAAAGUUGGAAAAAAAAAAAAAAAAAAAAGGUUUCUAGUGGGGCCCUGGGGAAGAUUUUGAUUUUUGAGUGCUCUCUGCUUGUGAACUGUGAAGUGCUUGGUGAGAAUUAUUUAAACGAGUAUUAGUUUUAUUUUUGUUUAAUAAUUGGAUUUAAAUACGGGUACUUUUUUCUUUUGUUUUUCUUUUUUUUUUCAAUGAUAGAAUUUAGACACAAGUUUAAUUCAGGACAGAAAUUUCCGGGACAUUGCGCUAUAAAAGUAGAUAAAGAUAGAUUGGCACUUAACUAUCAAAGUUCUAAAGGACGUGUCAAAACAAACGGAGGGUCCCGCAUGCCAAUUCACCCCGUAACAAAGUUCCAAAGAAGUGUCAAAACAAACGGAGGGUGUCAAAACAAACGGAGGGUCAGGCAGAGCAGAUACCUAUGUGGCAAAAAGACCUAAGUAACAAAAUGAUAAUGACCUGAAAGGAUGUUUAGACUUUAGACAGACAGAACACAAACCUGCGUGACAAAAAUACCUCUGUAACAAAAAGACAACGACCUGGUGAAGAAAGUCAAGGAGACAUCUAGGCUCACACAUGGCUAAUUGUCAUUGGACUUAGCGGCAGUGGGGCUCACCACACCAGGCACCUGCACUACUACGUAAAUGCUUGUGCGACGAUAUAAAAUUAUAAAUACGGCGCCACACAACACCGGUGGGGUAGCGAACCCAUUGAGAAUUUUUCUUCCGGCGACUCAGAAAUGUUGGGAGAACUCAAGCGUGCAGCUCUCAACUUCUUCAACACCUUGAAGAUGUUCGUUCAGGGCUUCCCGGUAUGGAAAUGGCGGGGGUCUCGAACUCAAGGGCAAAGUUGUCUCGUAAAGUGAAAUUUGCUCUCUACUUCCUAUUUUUUGCUCUUGCAGUAUCAUCUGGUAAUUAUGCCAAUACAUAUUAUUAGCUCACCAGUCAGAGUAUGGCGAUUCACCUAAAAGUAAACUAUUUGCCUUAUACUAGGACUUUAAAUACAUAUGACGUAUCUUGUACUUGACUUAAUACUAGAACUUUAACAACAGCAUAAAUACUUUAAAUGCCAACACAUAUUAGUUUAGUUGAUAAGUAUAGGUCAUAGAGAAAUCGUGUGUAAUGGUCUCAGUGGUAAUGUUCUAGUAACACUCAUUAGAGGCGAAACUACCCUUAAAAAAAAAACUUAAAAUAGUCAAACAUAAAAUAGCACCAAAUACUGUAUGAGAUAUUUUAUGCUGAGCAUGCAAUUGGUUCCUUAGACAACAAAGACCAAUAACUUCCCGACAUAAUUGAUUUAAAUGAAUUGUAAAGCCAAACUAAAAAUUCGUUUUUUUUAUGUUUGAUUUAUUAUUAGGAUACAACUUGCUUUCUUCAUUUUUUUUUUAUUGUAGUCAAACCUCACGACUAAACCCUAUCAAAAAAAAAAACUUCACGACUAAACCAAGGUAGUGCAUUAUAUUUAUGCUCUCUAAGCUUAAUGAGGAGAUAUUCUUUGAUGCUCUUCCCUUUCCAAAAUAGGCUAAGCCUACUCAUUGAUCAUAUGUUAUUUACGUAAAUACAUUUUGUAACAUGACGCAUGAGUUGCUUUUAUUUCCUUACAUUUUACUAUUACAUGACUCUUUCCACUAGCAAUUUGAAAAAAAAUCCGUCAAGAAGAAUAUUUUAUAUUUUUUCACAUUUUUUGUAAAAUAGUUGCAAGAUAUGUGACUAUUACGUGACUCUAUUCCGUAGCAAUUUGGAAAAAAAAAAUCAUCAAGGGUACUAAAUGUGCUCAAAAGUUGUAGGAUUGAAUACCAAAUUUGUUUGGGAUAAUUUCAUAAACCUCCCGUGAGGUUUUAUGAAAUAUCACCUAACUCCCUUGAGGUUUUCAAAAUCUCACUUAGCACCCCUUGAAUUGACAUUUUGGUAACAUUGGAAGCCCUUCUAACCAAAAGUAAUAUUAAAAAAUUCAUGUUUGAGGAGAGAGAUUAUUUUAUUGCCUUUAAUACCCUUAGGCUAUAAAAAAAAAUUAAACAUUUUACAAAACAAGGAAAAAAAAUACUAAAUUGGAACCAUUUUAAAAGUGAGGAGAUGAAAAUUGGUAAAAUUUUAUGUUACAACCAAUAGUCACUUCUACAGUAAGAAGAGAUAGUAAAAACAAAUACUAUUUUUUAAACCAUUUCUACAAAUAGAAUUCUUCAUAGCGUUGAAGGUAAUUAGCAUGUAAAAUCAUACAUUUGAGCAAAAAAAACUUAGUAGUAGAUGAAAUUCAACUUCAAUAUCAUACAAAAAAUUUACUCAAAAUAGACAGACUUUUUUUAUGGGUAUGAAAUAUGAAAAUCUUAUUAUAGAAAAAAUCAGAAUUUGAAAAAUUAUUUGGAGUUUCAAUUACUUUAUUUCUCUUGGGCUCUACAUGAAUAGGAAUAAAUAAAUAAAUAAAGUUGUGAAACACCAAAAAAGGAAAAAAAUAAAAAGAACCUGCAGCUAUUCUUCUCCAAAUGCAUUGAAUAUUUCAUUGAUUAAAUCCUAUAUUUCAUUGACAUUUGCAAUUCAAUUAUGCAUACAUAUAUGUAUGUAUGUAUGUAUAGACAUUGUUAAAGAAAAGUAGGAAAUUUAGAGAAAGAAAAAUAAGUUCAGAAAAUUUAAAUAUGAGGGUAUUAUUGACAAUUCAUCACUUUUGAUAUUAGUAUAUGGCCCUACCAUCACUUCAAGGGUGUUAAGUGAGAUUUUGAAAAGUUUAGGGGAACUAGGUGAUAUUUCACGAAACCUCAAGGGAGGUUUCUGAAAUUAUCCCAAUUUGUUUUGCUCCAAAAUUUGGGAAUUAAAACUACUCAUGCAUCAAAGUUUGGGUGUUGCAUUUUUCUAUUUGUUUAAUAAUUGGAUUUAAACAGAGUGCUUUUUUUCUUUUCUUUUCUUUUAAUGAGAGGAUUUAGACACAAGUUUAAUUUAGGGCAGAAACUUCGAGGACAUUGCGCUAUAAAAGUUAGAUAAUGACAAAUUGGCACUUAACUGUCAAAGUUCUAAAGAAGGUGCCAAAACAAACAGAUGGUCACCGGUCAGCGUAUGGCGAUUCACCUCAAAAGUAAACUACUUGCCUCAUACUAGGACUUUAAAUACGUAUCUUAUACUUGACUUAAUACUAGAACUUUAACAACAACAUAAAUAAAUUAAAUGCCAACACACAUUAGUUUAGUUGAUAAGUAUAGGUCACUUCCUCAUAGAGAAAUCGUGUGUCUAAUGGUCUGAGGGGUAUUGUCCUAAUGACAGUCAUUAGAGGCGAAAAUACCCUGAAACAAAAAACUUUAAAUAGUCAAACAUGAAAUGGCACCAAAUACUGUAUGAGAUAUUUUAUGCUGAGCAUGCAAUCGGUUCCUUAGACAACAAAGACGAAUAACUUCCUGACAUAAUUAAUUUAAAUGAAUUGUACAGCCAAACUAAAAAUUCAUUUUUUUGAUGUUUUAUUUAUUUAUUUAUUAGGAUACAACUUGCUUUCUUCAUCAUUUUUUUAUUGUAGUCAAACCUCACGACUAAACCCUAUUAAAAAAAAUUUACAGUCCAUUUUAUAUUUAAUUAUGCUCUCUAAGCUUAAUGAGGAGAUAUUCUUUGAUGCUCUUCCCUUUCCAAAAUAGGCUAAGCCUACUCAUUGAUCAUAUGUAAUUUAAGUAAAUACAUUUUGUAAACAAGACGCAUGAGUUGCUUUUAUUUCCCUACAUUGUGGCAAAAUACAAGGAAUAAAAUUUACAGUCCAGGCUUUGCAUGAAACUGUUUAUCAUUUCCUAUCCUAUCUUUCUAGUGUCUUUAUCAUAUAAGGUGAUCCAACUAAAGGUAAUUAGUGAAGAGAACUUGGGAGGCUUAAGGAAAUGACUGUGCCUUUUUUUUUUUUUUUUUGGGUAAAAGAAAAAAUAAGUGUGCUUGAUGUCAAGUGUGACCUUAGUUUGUUUUAUGAUAUUUGUGUGCACAAAGAGCAAGGUACAACCUGACUUGGGUUUAAACUUUUUUUCCCUUCCUCUGGGUGGGGGGGCUCUUACCUAUUUUUUUGGGAGUUCACUUAUAUAGAAAAUGACUUUGAAAAUCACGACAACCAUGAGUUAAUUUGUAUUUGUUAUACAAGUCGUAUGUCGUUUGGAAUAAAAUUUUCUUAUUUUUAUGUCCAAUGGAUUAUUUUUGCACACUAUUAUAUACCAAAAUAGAGAUCUGAUAUUGUCUGCCUAGAGCAGAUAGUAGUCUAAUAAAGUCUUUCUGUAAUUUACAAAAUAAACAAAUCACGAUUACUUUGAGUUAUUUUACAAGUCUAUCAAAGAUUAUCUAACUUUGUUUUGCAUUACUUGAGAAAAACAAUGGAAUGGAGUUUGCUUCUGUUGAUUCUUGAACAAGUCCUUCUCCAAAAACUAAAGAUAAGGCUCUGCUAAAAAGAAUAAAAAUAAAGAAGGUAAGGUCCUAAUGUUGAAAUGAGUGAAGAUGUGGACAAAGUACCGACUUAAAGGCGGUUCUUCUCUUGACAAUAAUAUACGAACACUAUCACAAUGACCUUGUGAAGAAAGUGGAGCUACAGUUUCUUCACCAGGUCAUUGUCAAGUGAAGAUGGUGUUCGUAUAUAUAGAUCCUGCAUAGUGUCCGAAGAUUAGUUAAGUGAUAAUAUGGUAGAAUUAGAGCUCAUACGAAUAUCGUCUUCACUUUCUUCAGCAGGUCAUUGUCGAGUGAAGGUGGUGUUCGCAUGGGUCCUUCCUGCGUAUUGUUCGAAGAUUAGUUAAGUAGUGUUGUGGUAGAAUAUUAGAAGAGUGGGGCUCCAAAAUAGGUGAUCAUAUGGUUUUAUUUAUUCGAACACCAUCACAAUGACCUUGUGAAGAAAGUGGAGCUGGUGUGCUGGAGCUACAGUUUCUUCACCAGGUCAUUGUCAAGUGAAGAUGGUGUUCGUAUAUAUAGAUCCUGCAUAUAUAGUGUCCGAAGAUUAGUUAAGUGAUAAUACGGCAGAAUUAGAGCUCAUACGAAUAUCGUCUUCACUUUCUUCACCAGGUCAUUGUCGAGUGAAGGUGGUGUUCGCAUGGGUCCUUCCUGCGUAUUCUCAGAAGAUUAGUUAAGUAGUGUUGUGGUAGAAUAUUAGACGGUUGGGGCUCCAAAAUUGGCAUUCACUUGAUAAUGACCUGGUGAAGAAAGUCAAGACGAUCUGCGCUCAAAAGAUCAUUCACUUUCUUCACCAUGUCAUUGUCAAGUGAAGGUGGUGUCUGCGUAUUGUUAGAAGAUUAGCUAAAUAGUAAUGUGGUAGAAGUAGAAUAGACUAGAAGAGUGGGGCUCCAAAAUUGGCAUUCACAGGAGUGUCUUGUCAUUGGAUAUUCUAGAAAUUAAUAUGCAUGGCUACAUGUUUUGUUUUAUAGAUUCACACUUACAGGUGCCUGAAUGCAAUUGGCAGUCUUAAAUUUGAGAACAAGUCAUCGUUGCGAUGCAGUCUUUCACCUAAAACGUUCCGUCGUUUAGUUCAGCACAGGCUGCACAGCAGCAGUGUGUAAUUUUCUCCAGUCCUAGUGUCUGUGGCGCCCACCGGGCCACCACCCUUUCCGUGGGAACGCACCUACAAGGCAAAGAGUCUAUGUAUAUGCUUGUCCGACGAUAUAAAUAGAGGCGCAACACAACAGAGGUGGCAAACCCAUUGAGAAUUUUUCUUCCGGAGAAUUACCAGUCUCAGAAAUGUGGGGAGAACUCAGGCUUGCAGCUAUCAACUUCAUCUUGACCUUGAAGAAUUUCGCUGAGGGUCAGGGCUUCCCGGCAUGGAAAUGGUGGGAGUCUCGAAACGGGGGCGCCCAACAGUCGCCAACCAUGGAACUCCAACUCCAACCUAGUGCAGCAUCUCAACUUGAGGAGCAGCCGUCCCUGCCUACCUUCCGGCAACCAAAUAAUAAUGGCGAUGAUCAGAACCCCAACUUCGUCGACUAUGUGAUGAAGAUGCAGUGGGCGUUUCUGGUCAUUGGAGUUUGUAUUGCAGCCUUUAGCGCCGCCUUGCAAGCUCUCAAAACCCCUGCACCUAUCCCUCCAACCUUUCACUGGUGUUGCAUGCUUCUGGAGCUGGCCGUUCUUGCUUUGUUGGUCUCCGUUUACGUCUGCCGCCGUUACGAGACGGCAUCUCUUGUCAUGGCACAUGUUGCAAUUUUCUUGGGCGCCACUGCAUUCGUGCUGGCCAUUGGAGUGACUUUUCCGGCUCCGCUCACUGGGAUAUCCAUCGCACUCUACUUCGUUGCAAUCCUCGCAAUCAUCUUUGCAAAUCGUUGAAUCUCCUGCUCAGGUAUUUGUUUAUUAACUUUUUUCUUUUUCUUUUUGGCAUUUUUCAGCAUAUUUUGAUUUUUGUUUUGCUAUAUACAUAUCUACCUGGCUGAAACAGGGCUUGCCAGGACGUACUACUGUGUUAUUCUCUGAAAUGCUCGAACAUCUUCGCUGAUUUGAUGAUACCAAAAUUCUCCUAAAAGUUAAGCUCAUGCUUCUUCGCUUUGUCUUUUCAUUUGUGUGUGUGUUUUUGGAAGGAUUGUUAUCCAUGUAUUUUACGAAUGCGUGUAAACAGGCCAAACAGACAAGAUGUUGUUGUUGUCGGAAAUAUGCAAGUCACGUACUUCAUUUGCCGACUAGUCCAGUUGUUAAAUUCUCAAGGAUGUUUUAUGAUUUCCAUGUUCGUACUGUUCCAUUCUUGGAAUGUGAACAUCAUGCUAUAAUUGAAUUUCUGGUUAUAUAUAAGUGGAUCUUUUCCUGUUCUGAAGACUGUGAAACCUAUUAUUUAUUGGAUUGACGGCACUGAAUUAUUUAUUUCACAAAAAAGAAAAAGACAGAACAGAAAAUUCGAGUGUCAAUAUAUAGAGGUUUUAAUUUCUGCACCUGAUGAUUGGUUUUAUUGCAGUGCAUGCAACGAAGGAAGAAAGGAUGUGGAUAAGAAAUUAGGAAUAAUUAGAAUUGUUAACCAUAAUCCAACAUAAAAAAAAAAAAAAAAAAGAAGAAGAAGAAGCAGAAGCCAUGAUUGACUUUUUAUUCUCUUUAAGAAAUAAAGAGAUCCCUUCAAGGAAACUUGAAUUCAACAUCGAAGUUGAAAUUCCACAAAUCUUGUGCCAUAAAGACUUAAUUAAUGGUAGGGCAAGAAUGCACUGGAUGUACAAAUCAGAACCCAGGUAUAAUUAAAAUCUUGGUCUUCUAUCAUAGAGCUUCUGAUGAAGUAAUUAAGCACAGGAAAGUACUGAUAUGCUAGCUUUUUUCCUUCUAAUAUCUCCUGCAAAUUAGAGCUUCAAGAUAAUAUAUAAUAGUUCAAUAGCAUAAAAGUGCCAUUCAUACCCUGUGAUAACCGAUGAUGCAGUGCUGCCAUAAUGCUUGCUCAAGAGUACAAGUAAGAAAGCAAAAUGGCUCCUCCUCACAGAUAAAAGAAUACUGAUGCAUUAUCUGGUAUCAUGAUUCAUUACAAACAUACAAUGCAAUGCCACCCCAAAAUGUAACACGCUGAUUACUUUUCUGUCGUGAUUUAACCAAGCCUAUUUGACUGACAUCAAGGUAAACUGUAGUGUCUUCCACCACUAAAGAGUAACCUGAUAUCCAAAUUGUGUUGUAUUACAUAGAGAACAGACAAGCCUAGAAAAUAGUUGAUAUGAUGACUUCCUGAAAGAAAGCAGCUCGCUGCGUUCUCUCCUCAUAAUUUUGUUCUUGAACUGCAUCUGGAAAAGAUGGUCUGUUGCUGCAAGAAGAAAAUUGAUCAGAAUUUUGUCACCCUAUCUUGAAAGUCAAGGUGAUGCACAAUGGAACUCUAAUCUUUCACCAGUUCACCAACGGAGAGAAUAUGGCAACUAUUCUGUUAUUCCUUCCUUUUAUUACAAAAUGCUGUUGAUCAUUUGGUAAUUUUCAGAUGAGUAAAAUCUUUAAAUUGCACAUUCAUUCUUGAUUAACUUCAGACAGAUUGGAUUGAAGAAAAAUUUGCAAUGACAUGACAUAUUUGCUAAACAGAGGCUCUGCCGCCAGAGCAAACAACAAAAAUGCUACACUAUUUUCAAAUCAACUGGCAAGCAGACAUAGGAAAAGUAAUGAAGCAGCUUCUAUCGAGUACGAUCGUUCGCAUAGACAUUAAUUUGUCAAGCAUCAUUCACUGUUCUGCAUUUCCAGUUCACUCUAUCCUGUUUACAUGCUCUGGCAACUUUCUCAUAAACUCACUGCAGUGGAUUGCCAUUAAAAUGCCUUCCAUUUUCCAAAUAGCCCUACUUUAGCUUACUAUUUUCACUUCGAUUUUUUUGGUUUUUGGGGGAGAGAGGUGAGGAGGGGGGGGGGGGGUUGUGGUGGAGGGAUUGGAGAGCAGAGGUGAGACAUGAUAAACUACACAGAGAGGUAGGCUAUAAUAUCAAGUGAAAGUCAGACAAGAAACUCGAGCAUCACCAAUAAUAUGAAUUCACUUCAAUCUAAGGAGAAUCUUAUGAGAUCUUUUAUUCAUGUUAAGCUAUCCGCUCCACCUUAUUCCCACUACAAAAAGGAAUGAAAGGACAAAAAGGAUUAAAUGAAAAAGAUAGCUUAUAUCCAAGAGGAAUAAAGAUACAAGUAAUACUAGUUAGAACUCACCUUAUUCCCACUACAAAAGGAAUGAAAGAACAAAAAGGAUUAAAUGAAAAAGAUAACUUAUAUCCAAGAGGAAUAAAGAUACAAGUAAUACUAGUUAGAACUCACCUUAUUCCCACUACAAAAGGAAUGAAAGAACAAAAAGGAUUAAAUGAAAAAGAUAACUUAUAUCCAAGAGGAAUAAAGAUACAAGUAAUACUAGUUAGAACUCUUCUUCUUGGUAGUGCUCUUAUUGGGCUUGCCAUGCAAACAACUCUCCAGACACGUGAUAACUGACAUUGAUAUACUGAAAGGCAAUAAUUAGGUGGUGAAUAUUGUUCUGUAACUUAGAAAGUUUGUUUUCUGGAUUUCCAAAAGAAUACAAAGAAUGUUUUGAUCAGUUGUUGUCAUUGCAUUUUAAAUCAUCUGUAAUUCUUUUAUCUGCAAUUUGGCUUCAAAAUCAAGAAGACUGGUCAGCGUCAGAGUCAUGUAUAGAUCUUCUCCUAUUGAAAUAAGGUACUUCUAUGCUAUAUCUACACUUUGCUGUUCUGGCAAGCUGUUCCCGCUAAAUAAUAAAACAUUUAUAUCCUCCUUUUCCUCCUCCAGCAGAAAAUUUACGUAGAAUCCUGUAGAAUUAGAGAGCAUCUCAAAGUCUUAAUUCCUAUGAUAGUGAUGAUCCUCAGUGUGACACUUGAAAACUUAGAAUGCAAUGGUUACAGGUUUAUCAUCUAUCAUGAAAUUAUACAGCUACUUUUUAUCAAGAUGAGUAACCCAAUAUUAUCAAUUACUAGAAAAGAAGUUUAGGAAGCAGACAUUUUAUGGCAUUACAUCUUAAGUAAAAUACCAAUGCUAUUCAUUUUCCAAUCAAAGCAACCUAGAUGAUCUUAAGUUGGUGUUCUUUUCUCUUUAAAUUAUUGCCUUUGAUAAGGUUAGCCCAUUCAAAUGUUUUAUGACUUUCUUAUUUAUUUAUCUCCAUGAAAGCCAUAGCUAUUUCACAUCCUCUACGUGGCUCAUUAUAACUCCAAAAGCCAAAAUUAUAUAUUUUACUUAAAUUACAGCUACAAACACCACUCAAAGAGCCAGAUCAUCUUAUACAAGUGAAAAAAUUAUGUUCAUAUAAUUGGGCACACCAAAUUUUGCUUUUGAAUAUUUCUGGAAGAGCAAAGAAUGUUCAGCUUGAAAAUAUUGAGUUUAUCAACUUCACUUCCUGUAUAUUCUUUCAUCCUUUAUGUCUUCUUAACACUUCAAUAAACAAUUUUUUUCAAGUAAAUAUGUCAAAGUAGUGUAAUCCAAUUUAGCAAUUCGUAUUUAGAACAAUCUUUCCUGUUAUACUGUGAACAUGUCUGGGAAAAACUUAAUUCAGGUCAAACCAAAGAAACUAUAACAGAUGGAGAGUAUUUUGAGAUUAUGCAUUCAUGACCUUUAUCUCUUCAGUUCAUUGAUCAUUGCUUCUCCUCCAACAUACAGGCAUGGUCUUCAAUGUACAGUUCUGCUAGCCAUAUCCUAUCAGGCGUGUUAUUCAGAAAGUGACUCACUACAAAGUGAAACUCUGACCUUGCCAUGCCCAGUCCUAAUAGGUAUUACCUUAUUCUUGAUUUUGCUCUAGAUGUCUCGUUAUAGAACAUUAAAAGGUAACUUCUAAGUUCGCUUGGAUCUUUUGGCCUCAUAAUGUUCAAAGGUUCAGGGGUCCUAUGUGAUCUGUAUGCACAACUAGUUAGAAAAAUGAAACCACCAUCUGAUUCUAAGUUUGUCUCCCCUCAAAACAGGUGACAUUUGACGACCUGUUAAAAUACUUGAAUGUACAAGAAUUGUACAAGUUCCUACAGAACAAGCAAAUUCCAAACAAAUGGUAUUAUGUUGUUUACAUCUCAUCUCAUGUGGCCUUUUUAGUUCAUAAUGAGCUUAAAUUAGGUUCCCUUAAUUAAAAAAUUAGCCAACCAACACCAGCAGUAUGAGCUUUAGAGCUCUUUAUAUAGCAUGAAAUUUAAGUUCAUAAAUGCAUAUAGUAGUAGGCUAGACUGAAAUCUUAGGGAGGAAGAAUUUACCUGUCUGCAUUAGCAGUUGAGUCAGUGCAACUAGAAGACACAUCUUUUUUGCUGUCUUUAGGGUCUAAAAAAGGUCUUGAACAAAGAAAUGGUGAAAGGAGUGGAUCUGGAGCAGGUUCGUGCCCGUCAGACUGACUACUUAAUGAAUUUGAACCAAGAAAUGAUGUUAACUCUCGCAAGUCCUUGCCUACUGUUGCUGAGGUGUUACUCCACAUGCCUGAUUUUUGAGAUUUUCUCCGGCGCUUCAAUAGUUUAACAUUGUUCAGUUAUCGGUCGAUAUCACAUCAAGUUGAAGUCCAGAAAGGGAUAUACCUUCACCGAUUGAGAAUGCUGCAUUGUGAAAUGCCCGAUUGCAUCUUUUCCCAGAGUUGCUGCACAUAUUGGGCAGACCUGGAAUAUAGGAUAGAAAAAGACCAUCAAAUUGCGACACCAAAUUAACAGAAUCAGCAAAGAAAAUCCUUUCAAAUUGACCAAACUAAAAGCAGAGAAAAAAAAAAGGAAAGGAAGUUGGUUUUUUUCCCUAUCUGACAGAUUAAAGCACACUACAGGCGCAAAGAUCAUCAUCAAAAUUUUGUGCUUCUUAUUUGUCAGAAAGACAGAGUACAGUGACAUGUAAGGCCUUCAAAUGCAAAGAAGUAGAUAUAAUAGGAGUAACGUUUGUUAACAAUGUUAAUGGAUUAUACCGCAUUUUUCAAGUCAAAACAAUGCUCUUCUUGCAAAUGGCUACACAGCACUGGAACUUCAAUUUCUACAUAACAGAAAGGGCAGGGAAACCAUGCUCUAACAUCAUCUUCACCUUCAUCUCCUAUGGCCAAAUGGCUAUCUGUGCAAUUAGGAAAAAAAUAAACAAUUUAAAGAUGGGAGUUUGAUGAACUUAUCAUCUUUAUCAUCACCACCACCAAAAAUAAAAAAUCAAGGUUGACUGCAGAAAACAGCAAUUGGUCCAUCAAGCAACAUUACAAGUUCAAGAACUUUGCUCCUGAAUAGACUCACUUGUUAAUUAGAUAAUAAAAGUUAAUUAGCCAUGUAUAGAGACCCUGACAACUACUAUCUUUCUAAAAAUUUGUCUAACAAAAAGUAAGUCCAGAACAGUGGAAAAAGAAACUGAAUAUCAAGAUUUAGCUAUAUCUUGCAAGGCAAAAUCUAGAGAAACUAUCAAGUCAAUAAUCAGUUCCAUAACCACGCCUCAGCAGAACAAAAGAUUAAUCAUUUACCUUCUAUUACCUCAAAAAUCCAUAACCUUCGCAAAUUUUGAAAGAAAAAACAAGAAAAACAAAAAGGGCUGGGUUGAAAUUACUUGUAUUUACCAGAAUUGUUCAGUCUGGCAGCUUGGACAGCUGAAAAAUGUUUAGCUGUGUGAAUUCUAGCAGCCCAGAAAUCCACAUCCAUUUCUGCUUCGCUUCGCUUACUUCUCUGACAAAUGAAAAAUGAGAAGUACUUAAAGAAGAACUGAUUCACCAGACAGUGAAAUCUAACAAAACCAAUUGGUUAGAUUGACUUCAGAAGAUCAUGAGAGAUUGAAGUGAAGAAAAGAAGAGUGGCUGCUGCUGCUUUUUGAUUGCUCAUGUGCUCAUGAUGUGCUGUUGUGUUGUACUAAUUUGUAUUCUUGUGAUGAGUGAGGUGUGAGGAAAGCUUUUUAUAAGAGAGGGAGGGGGGAUCUGGCCUGACAUUUCAGUAAGCUUUUCUGACACUCAAAAGGUUGGUUUAUAGAUGUCUGACACGUGGCAUCUUAAUCUCAUCUUUCUCUUUCUUUUGGAUAAUUUCAGAAACCUUCUAUGAGGUUUUCGACUCCUUCAUUGGCUUCUUUUCAGAUUUUGAAAGUUGCACUAAUCUCUCUUAAAGUUAAUUAUCUUAUAAUAUUUAAAUUUAACUAAUCAUUAAAAAAUAAUAUUAAAAGAAAAAAAAAUAUAAUAUCAUUAUUAUCUUUCAUUUAUUAUAUUAUUUAAUUAAUUUAAUACCAACUCAUACAUUAAAGAAAAAUAUUAAAAUUUGUUAAUUAUUAUUAGGGAUCAAAUUAUAUAUAGCAUCAAAAAAUAAAAAAGUUAUCUUAUAUUUUUCACUUAACACAAAAUUCAAAUUACUCUUUUCACUUAUAUAUCCAUUGUCAAACAUGAUUAACAAUAAAUAAUCAAAAAAUUUACAAUUAAAAUAUUAUAGAGAACAAAUUUUAACAUCAUAAAUAUUUUUGUCAACAUAUUAAGGCUAGUUGUUGAGAUUUUUAUGAUAUUGAAGUUCACCCCUUGUAAUACUUUGGUUGCAGAUUUUUUUUAUUAUUUGUUGUUAAUUGUGUUAAACAAUGGAUUCGUAAUUGAAAAGAGUAAUUUGGAUCUUAUAUUAAGUGAAAUAUAUAGAAUGAUACACUAGUUUUUAUGCUAUGUGCGAUUUAAACUUUGAUAAUAAACAGUAAAUUCUUGUAUUUUCUUAAUGUUUGGGUUGGUAUUAAACUAAUAAAACAAUUUAGUAGAUGGGAGACAAUGGAAAAAUCAUAUUAGCUAUUUUUUAGAGUGUUUUUGAAAUAUUUUACUGUAGCAGUGUAUAUGAAAAACUUUUCCUAUAGAUGUUUUUUUGAAAUAUUUGAUAUAUUAUAUGAAUGAAAUGUUUUUGAGUUGUUUUUAUUUGUUUAUUACUGUAGCAUUGUAUUUGAAAAACUUAUUUUUGAAAAAUAGGCCAAUCCAAACAGAGCCAUUAUUUUUUCAGUCCUAAUAUCACUUUUUAAUUGAUGAUUGGACACAGAUUUAUAAGAUAAUAAAUCUAAAGGGAGGCCAAUGAAAUAAUUAAAAAUCUCAAGGGAGGUUUCUAAAAUUAUUCCUUUUCUUUUUUUUAUUGCCAACCAAUGGUCGUUAUCUCUGUACAUUUUACUCAUCAAAAUUCUAAUGUCACUUUCUACUUUUGUUUUCUUCCUUGAGAAGAAAAGUUAAUCAUGAAAAUUGCAAAUUUUCAUUAUUGUGGACGUACAUCAGAAGUUUCUAAGCUACUUCUGAAUCAUUAAUUUUGGUUAUAGGAAAGUGUAAAUUGUAGUGAUUUGUGUAAGUAAGGAUUAAUUAUAGAUGUAAUUUACUCUUGAUUCACAUGUGACUAAUAUGUUUACUUGUUUUAUUAUUAAAAGAAAGAUGUCUUCCUCGUCUAGCAGCAAACAUCUUCUAAUUUGUGAAUCUGAUCUACAUACUGAAGGUGAACCUUUGAUUAUAGAACAAAAAAAAAUUCAAGAAGUGACAAAGCUAUUCUCAAUAUAAAGGCUUAAAAAUUUUGUACCUAAAGUUUUUAUAAUUAUUGUUGUUAAUCAAUUCGAGCAAUUCAAAAGCUUAAUAAAACUUAGCUCGCAAAAGCUCAAACUCGACUCAUUAAUUUCAAUAAACGAGUGAAGUUCGAAUUAAAAAAGUAUUCCAAUUACAAACGAGCCGAGGCAGCUCGACUUGUCUCUCAAUCAACCAGCCCAAUUGAACUUGUUAGUGAUGGCAUAUGUCUCAUUUCACAAUACACAACAAAUAGAAUUAGGGGUUAGAUUUUUCGAGUUCAAGCUCAUACAAGCUCAACUCUUUUGUGAUUAACGAGUCAAAUUUGAACUCGAGAUCGAGCCCCGCACCUCUUUUAUCGAAUCGAUCUGGACUAGAUUUUAGGACUCAUUCAAUUAAAGGAGUGAGUUUGAGCCUAACUUGACAGAGUGUCGAGUAGAGUUUGAACUCGACUAUUAACACCCUAUUUAUAAUGCACGACUUGUUAGAUUGGCAUGGUGGCCUCACCCAUUACGCUUUUGUAGCAUAUGAAGUCAUUUCUUGAUAUGGUUUAUUUCAUCAAAGCUUUUGGGCUGUCCUCUACUAAUAUUUCUUCUACACUAAUAUCCCAACUGCCUUUUAUUGUCCUUGCAGCCAUGGGCUAAAAAUGAGCCUAAUUUUAGUCAGCCAACGAAUUACUCCUGUUAUCAAAAAGGAAUUUCUAAAGUAAUUGUUGUAUUUCACAUUAUUUUGUUGUCUAGUUUGCGUUUAGAUUGAGAAAUUUGAUGAAAGAUUUAAAAUCAUUUAAAAUUCUUAUAAUUAUUUAAAUUAUUUAAGAGGUAUUUAAAUUUAUAAAUUACAAAUUAUUAUGGUAUUUAAAAUAUAUUUUAAUAAUUAGUGAAUUAUAAAUCCAAAUAACUUAUAAGCAAUCUAAAUAAUUAAAAGAAUAUUGAUGAAUUUCAAAUCUUUCCUCAAAUUCUUUAAUCCAAACGGAGAAUUUUCAACUUAAAAUAGAGAAGUAUUCGAUGUAAGAUCACUACAACCAUAGGUCGGUUGGUAAGAUGUCACAUCUUCUUCCCAUCAGUAGUCAUAUUCAUUACGAGGAUUAACUAGCAAACGAGUACUAGUAAACAGCAUUAGACUCAUAUGCCUAGCUCCCAAAAAAAAAAAAAGGUGCUAUUCGACCUGAUUUAAAAAUUAGAAUACACACUUGGAUGGGGAUGCGCCAGUCAAUUUAGUCCGACCAAAUUUCACAAAAUCCAAGGAAUUGGAAACAAGAUGAGACCUUAAAGCUCACAUGACACUACUGAUAUUUAUGAAACCUUUGACUUGAUUUCUGGCUAAGACAAAUUUGCACCAAAAGAAGAAAGAAAUAAUCCAGAUGGUGAUUAACCCCUAUACUUAAUUAGUGUCGAUUAGUACCUAAGCCUCAAUAGUCCCUAAAUCUUAUAUUUCCUUGUCGGAAAGUAGGAAUUAAUAAGUAAAACAAAAAAUUUGUUCAAGAAACAUGUCAGGAUUGAAAACCAAUAAAACCAGAUCAAAAUUUUGUCAAAAUCAGGAUGAUUUAAAGUUUUAACCAAUGUGUUGUAAUUUUUUUUCUUUCCAUAUUUUUUUCUUGUAUAUCUUAACCCUUGUGCUUGUUUCCAGACGAAGCCAAAUGGAUUCAUUGAAUGUAUGGUUUUGACUGAAAUUUUCAGGAUCGAGUUUAGAAACACAUAUUCGAUAGAAUUAUUACUAUAAUACACUUUAAAAAAAAAUGCUGUCACCGACCCUUUUCAGAUAGAAAGAAGUAUGUUCUUCCUAUUAUCCAUUGUAAAUAACUCUAUAUGGCCAAACAAAGGGGGAAAUUAGGUUGGGGAUAAAAAUAAUGUACUAUUUAACUAAAAUAGAAUAGUUCUGAUACUCAAAAGACAGAAUUCUAACUCAAUAAAUUAUAGGAAUUAGUUAAAUCUAUUUUUAGGCGUACCUACCAAUUAAGUUUAAAAUAUGAGGGAUGCAGAUCUGGCAAGUUGUUGUAAAGUUUUGAUCUGUCUCAGCCCAUAUGGAUAUUCAAGCCAGUGAUUGGCAAUAAAAGGUUACUUUGCACCUAAAAGAUUCAUUAAAAGAAGUCACUCAUGGAUUUACUAAAAUAGGGCAAACCUAACUAAGGCAUUAAGAAACUACCAGCCUUUGGGUUGGUGGCCACCACUAAACCAUUUAAGGCUUGGUGGAGUGGAAGGCAAGGGUUCAAACCUUACCUCCCACCAACUGCUACAUUAAGUGGCUUCUUAAAAAAUGCAGCAGACGGGUAUGUAGUGCACCCGUCUAAUUCGGUGGUGGUUCAAUCCCCACCGGCCCCCCUAGACCCACUUGGAUCUCCCCCUUAGAUUAGGAUAGUGUAGGAUCCUAUAGAUAAAAAAGUGAUGAUUGAAAAAAAAAAAAAAACUAAGGCAUUAAGCAUGGAAGAACAAGUUGAGAAAAAUAUGGCUUUAUGACAAAGGAUGGUGACUAAGACUAUUGUUUAGUGCAUGGAAUAUGGAGCAAGAAUGUGGCUUUAUUAACGAGGAUAGUGACUAAACUGUAGUUUAGUGCAUGGAAUAUGGAACAAUUCGUCAAAUGGCCACACAGAAAAGUUGACGGCACCCAGAAAAGGCCAAACAGAAAAGUGUAUAAAGGGUUAAAGUGUCAAUUCUCAACGGUAAAUCUAUGAAGUGACAAUUGAACGGAAUAAAUUGUGGUGGAGAUGAGAAGGUUGAAUGCUUUAUUGAAAUAUAUAAUUUAUGUUAUAAAGAUUUUUAUAUUUUGUCUACAUGGGCUCUAGGAGGGUAUUAGAUUUGAUCUGUUGUGUUUUUGUUUCUUUCGGUUGCGGGCUAUACCCCAUUUCUUGAGCUUCUUUUGGGCCUCAAAGACUUAAUUUGGCUAAGAUUGGGCUGCAAAAUUAGUGCUCAAGAGCUUAUUGGUGAACUGGGUUUAAACAUCAAUAUCCUAAUCAUGCAUAAAUACACUGUAAAAACAUUGUUUAAUUUUGAUGGAGAAUUGUAUGAUUGCGACUCAAAGGAGAUUUAUCUCUGUGUAGCUAGGCUUUACACCUCCGUCCGAUCUGAAAAAAACAAAAAAAAAAAAAGAAAAAAAUUAUAUAUGUGUGUGUGUGUUAAUGAAUCAAUGCAAGUGAAAAUACUGUUGUUUUCAGAAAUUAAAAUAUUUUUCAAUAUCUGCAUGUUUACAGUGUAUUGUGGAAUUUGAGUCAGAAAGUGUUGGCACUGGCCGUAGAGAGUUGUUAAAGCUUUGUUCAAUUGUAGGCAAAGAUAGCUGAUACUUGAUUUCAACUCGAAUUCUUUUUUAUGGUAGAUUUUCUCUAGAAUACUUAAAAAUUGUUCCUUGGACCCAUUUUCUUGGGGUUUAAUUCGACUUUGCAUCCUUUAACUAUUUUUUAAUUUUUACUUUGAUCUCUAAACUUCAAAAUAGGGCAUUUUGGUCCCUGAAAUAUGAAACUUGUUCCGCUUAAGUAAAAUCUUUAAUGGAAGUGGGAGAAAUUUAAUACUUAAGGUGAAUGAAUUUUUUUAAUUUAGAGAAUAAAGUGAGAUGAAUUCUAUACUUUAGAAACUAAAGUGGGACAAAUUUUAUAUUUUAGAGGUUAAAGUGCGACAUAAUAUCUACUUUAAGAACUAAAAAUAUUCCGCUUUGAAAUUUAAGAAUCAAAUUGAAAAUUUCACUGCAGUUGAAGGGUGCAAAGCAAAAUUAAUUCAGUUUUGUUUAUUCUUUUGCUGCCAUAUUUGCCCCAUUUUUCCUUUUGGAAAACUCUCAAUAAUUUAAAGUUUUCAGGAGAAUUGGCAUUCUGGGCUUCCUUUUUAAUUAAUACUAAUUGUUUCCAAUCGUCAAAUUUGCAUUCUCAAGCCACGCAUCAAAGUCAAUCAAAGCCUAUGCUGGUGUUUAUAAUGUGCAUUUGUCGUAGUAUAUAAUUGAUGAGCACCAAAACAAAAUCCAUCUUGCAAAUUGAGGUUCUCAAAAUUUAUUUCUUAGAAAAAUCUUGUUCUAAAACUUCUGGCUAACCUAUCACCUUGCUUGAAUUGAAAUACAAAUAAUAAAUGGUGUGUCUUUUCGUCGAAUCUCAGCUAAACGAUCCAUAACCCUUUUAUGUUUGGAAGAAAUGGAUAUAUGACAAGAACAUAUUGUAUAGUUCGUAAAACAGGAACUGAAAAUGAAAUUCCCUUAGACCUUGAUAAUGCAAUCUAGUACAAAUAAGUCAAAUAACUUUAAAAGAAAAUCUGGGGGAGGGUUGGGUUGGAUGGUAGGGGGAGGAAGUGUAUACAAGAGGUCUCGGGUUCGAGUCCUCCUGCUUACACUAAAAAAAAAAAAAAACUUUAAAAGAAAAUCUAAAUUCGUACCUAGCUUGAAUAUGGAGAAUACGCUUCAGAAAGUAAGGGUUUUCAUAGUUUUAUAUGCCACCAAAUUCUACAGUAGCAGAAUCACAUACUUGUUUUUAUUUUCAUUGUAACCACUUAUACAUGGAAAUUAUUUACCUUACAAAAAUUUACUCCAUGUGGGGUUCUUACCUUUCUAGUGCAGGAAAACAUGAAGAAUCAUGUUAGCUUUUGCAUAUGGAAUUGAAUAAUUUUGGUGGGGUAACAAUGCCCCUAGAAGUACUAAACAACCUCUUCCAAAAAAUAGGUCAAAGAACCACUUUCGUUAAUUAAUUCUGAUCAUUAACCUUUAGACAGAAUAAAGAGGAGAGAAAUCAGAAAAGUUGAUUGCAAUCAGAAAAAAGAUUUCCCAAGUUUGUGGCUACCAGAGAAUAUCCAGCAGGUUGAAACUUGAAACUCGAAACUGCUUAAACUUCAGUAGGCAGUAAAUUACUCUGGUCAACUGGCUUUUCAAACAAAAAUACUUUUUUUUCUCAAGCUUUUUUUGACACAAAAACAUAAAAGCAAAAAGGGCAUCAAUGGACAGAGGAAUCAAGCACAGCUAUUCGACAUAAAGUUUUUUGUUAGAUCUCUAAUUAAUUCUAUAACUGACUAAAAGUAAGCCAAGGUGAAGAGAACUAAAAUUUAAAACGUCCAAGCCACAUGUUUACCACAUCCACCUUCAGCACAUAAAUGUUGUUACGACAUAUUUCAGGAUCGUAGGUUUAGCUUCUUCAGCCCCUUUUGACAAUUAUAGAAGACAAAUGAUCUAAUUACACCAUAUAUCAUAUGCUAACCAAUUUGAUAACUUCAUUUACUCUCUCUAUCUCUCUCUGUGUAUAUAUAUAUGUAUAUUGUGGAUAUAGUUAUUAAUUCAUGAUCUGACAUAUAUAACACGGGACCUUCAUUCUCGAGUCUGCGAGAAUUUUUAUGAAAGCCUUUCAGUGACAUCUCUUCCAUGGGAGUUUGAUUUAUUAUCCCUCUCGAAAACAAAGAUUUGAAGUAGUUUAUAACUUAUUGAUCAGUACAUGAUGAAUGAUAGUUCUCUUUUCUAGUCUAAUUCAAUUACUCAUCAAGAAAGUACACUUUAGUGUAACAUUAGCUAGUCACUUUUUCUUACAUUUUUGAAUUCCUGAGACAUUUUUCUUUCCACCGUUCACAUUAGUAUGAAAGUCAAAUUUGUUACUUUUCUUGGGUGUGAAUUGCUUCGAGCCUUUCAACGAAUUGCAAUCCUUUCUAAUAUGUGUAGUUCUUGGUAUGAGUAAACAACACAUCAGUCCUACUGUAUAUGCCCCUUGCCAAAUGUGAUGGCCUACACUAGCAUAUUAUUUUAUGGUAGUAGCUUUUCUUUGAGCUUUUGUGUUGAUAUAGAUGGAAAAGAAUUUCCACCAUGGCUGGUGAAGAUUUUCAGCAAAGUCUGCUCUGACCAUGAUUACGAUAUUAUUGAACCUAAUGGCUACUGGUCACUGCAAUUCCUUACACUUGGGAAGAAAUUGUCCCUUGCAAUUGUAGUUUUUAUGCAACAAUCAUGAGGAUACAAACAGACAGAUAUAUAGGACAAAUAGUUGAAAGCAGGAAAAUGUAGAGCUUCUGCUUGCAAUCAUGGUCAAAUAGAGUAAAAAAAAAGUAUCAUUUUCUCCACUGAAGAAAGUAAAAAUGCCUUCUAAGCAAGCUUGUUUAAGUGAUCAUACUCUCACUGUUUAUCUGAAUCUAGUUAAGCAUGUUUGCUACUUAAUUCUCCAUUACGUGUUGUGUAAAAUGAGCAUGCGCAAAAUGAUUCUCCUGGAAAAUCAAGGGGAAAUCUUAGCACAAAAACACGAUCAGUUUAGCUUUUAAAGAGUCAAAGAAAAGCUCUACAAAUUAAGCUUCAAGUUCACAUUCAGCAUAUACAUCGCACAUGAAAAGCGAAAAGAAAUGUAGAGAGAAAAAAAAAACAGAAAGGAAAUAUCUACUGCUCAGAUUUCAAAAAUGCUGAUGCUUGAAUUUUAGAAUGCUCAAGUGGGGAAAGUUUUGCAAUCUACAAUCACCAGUGAAGAAAGGAGAGACCUGGCUGCAGGCAUUUAGAUGCUAUUAUUGGUUUCAAGCAGUAUUGAACAAAAUCAAAACGAACUCAAUCGGAUACAAGACAUGAAUCUAUGUCCCAGGAAAGCUGUUCAAGAGAUGUUAUACAUUCCAAACUGCAGUAUAUCAGUCUCAUACAUUAACUCCAUAAUAAACUAUUUAUUUCCUCAUCAAAACAGCUACUAUAAUUCUUCAAGUUACAAAUCUGAAACCUUGAAACUAACCUAGUCAAUGGAAAAACAGAAGAUCAAGAACAAGAUAACACCCUAUUGCAUAAACUCAAAGGGAAAAAAUUACAAGGAAGAAAACAAUGCAAUUAUUUAUAGUAGUAUAUCUGAAAUCGGACCAGGAGCGCUUGAUUCCCCAUUAAAGAAACUCACAGGAGUAUCAUGGCUGUUCUUCUCUUCAAAUUUGAUCCAUCAGAAGAAGAAGGCUACAAUAGCUUCCAAAUUUUUCCAAGUAACCCUGGUGAAUAUGCUGGACUUGGAACCUGGAACCAUUGAAUAUCCUCAUAUUUUGUGCUGUAACCACUGUUCUGAAUAAGGAAAUCAACCAAUACUUAUCUGAAGUCGGUUACAAAAUGGACACUGCAUUUAUAAACAAGACUGUAGGGGGGUUGUGGGCUAGGGCACUUGUAAAAUUGCAGAGCACGCAUACUGUAGAUAUAUUUAUCUUAUAUUCCCGCAUGCAUCUGGGACUCCCUUUAAGGCACUAGUUACUUUUCCACAAGACAGUGAAAGAAAGGUGGGGGGACGGUU
rnacentral:lncRNA from 1 species